rnacentral:lncRNA from 1 species
GAACUUCUUCCUUGGACUUCAAGUCAAGCAAAUGAAACAUGGAACCUUCCUAUGUCAGAAAAAAUACAAAAUAUUGCACAAAACUAAUUAAGAAAUUCAGCAUGGAAAAGUGCAAAGAAGCAUCAACAUCAAUGGCAACAUCAACUUAUCUUAACUUAGGUGAAAAAGGUAAAUUAGUGGAGGAGUCAAGGUAUAGAAGUAUGAUUGGUUCAGUUCUUUACUUAACUAAAAGUUGAUCCAAAUAUUAUGCUUAUUGUUUGCUUGUGUUCAAGAUAUCAAGCUAAUCCUAAUGGAUCUCACUUAACAACUGUUAAAAAAAACAUUAAGUACUUUAAGGGCAAAACCAAUAUUGGUUUGUGGUAUCCCAAAGGUACCUUCUUAAAUCUAAUUGGUUUUUCAGACUCUGACUUUGCAGGAUGCAAGCUAGACAGGAAAAGCACAAGUGGGACAUACCAUCUUUUAGGUAGCUCUCUUGUAUCUUGGAAUUGCAAGAAACAAGCUUGUGUAAUACUAUCCACUGCAGAAGCAAAAUAUAUUGCAGCUAGAAGUUGUUGUGCUCAAAGUCUCUGGAUGAAACAACAACUUGAAGAUUUUGGAGUAAUCCUUGAUCAUAUUCCUUUGAAAUGUGACAGCACAAGUGCUAUUUAUCUGGCUAAAAAUCCUAUCAUGCAUUCUAAAACCAAACAUAUAGAGAUAAGACAUCAUUUUCUUAGAGAUCAUAUAUUAAAGGGUGAUUGCUGCAUUGAGUUUAUUUAUAGUGAACAUCAACUAGCUGACAUCUUCACUAAACCUCUAGCUAGAGACAGGUUCUAGCAUUGAAUGAUGUUAUGCUUUGUACAUGUAGCCUAUUUAUAUGCUCUCUAUGUCUAUUAUUUUCUUUUAUGUCUUAGUAUGUUGAUAUGUUGAUGUGUAGUUGAUUUUUCUCUAAAAAUACAUGUUUACUCUGUCAUUUCGUGUUUUUCAUUGUUUUAAUUGAUUAUUCUCUUGUGUAAAUCGAUUACACUACAUUGUUGUGUGUUUAUCAGUUUUUUAAACCGUCUGUUUCAAUCGAUUACCUUAUGGUUUAAUCGAUUACCAUUUAUGCGUUUGUGGUGUUAUGGUUCAAAGUUUGUUGUUUUAAUCGAUUACUAAAUUGUUUUAAUCAAUCACGUGUUGGACUUAAAACUUUUUCCUAGCGUUUUGUUCUAUUGUAAUCGAUUAUGGCUUCAAUUUAAUCGAUUACAUGUUGUGGUUUAUGGAUUCUUUUGGCUUUAUGUUCUGUUUUGUCGAUUACUAUACAUUUUAAUCGACUACAAAGGCCUCAGGGGGAGUUUUAUUGGCAUAUUUAAUCGAUUACACUUGUGUUUUAAUCAAUUACUUAUACUAGCUUUUGUUUUGGGUGAAAACAAGGGCCAAUUUAAUUGAUUACUAUGUUGUUCUAAUCGAUUACUUGCAUGUUUUUUUGUGUGUAAUCCGUUACAUAUUUUCAUCUUCACCUCAUCAACCACCAUUAUUACUGCCUCACCACCCACCUCAGCCAACCAAAAUGAUUCAGCCUCUCUUUAUAAGCCAACCCAAACCUAUCCACAAAUCACACUAACACCUCUUCUAAAACCUCCUGUUACCACCCCUCUCUGAACCCAAGCAUUUUAUACUCUCAAACCCUUUGUCUCCUUUUCAAGAUGACAAAUAAUCCUUCAAGAGCAUAGUAGAAAGCAAAAACUUCCAAGAGGAAGCAAGAAGAAUGCUCACAGGCUGCUCUCAACCAUUUAGAUACAUGGUUCACAAAUUAUAGCAAGAAGAAUGACUACAUGAUGAUUUAUGCUAUAAAAAAUGUGAGGAUCCCUAAGUAUUUUGACUUGGAAUGGUUCUCUCAACAAGGGUUUAACUUUCCUAAUCUACUGAAAGCACAAAGAUUGUCAAAGCUGGUGCAAAUGAAAUGAACUUUUUAUCCAAAGCUAGUCAAGGUUUUCUACACCUGUGCACGUAUUGACCUUGAAGGUAACGUCUUCUCUACUGUAAUUGGAGUAAAAAUGGUCAUUGAUGUUGUUGUGUGAAAGAAAGUAGUUGGUCUGGACAUGGGUGGAGUCCACAAGUUCGAUGAAACGCCUGAUGGGUACAGUAAGAUGCAGACAUAUAGGGGAAUGCUUCUUGACCCUACUAGGAACUUGAGGAAUCACUUAAGAGUUGGUGGAAAAAUUACAGAGGAUAGAAUGCUAGUUUAACUCAUUACCUACAUUCUCACUCCAAGGUCAAGUUAUCACGCUUAGGUAACGAAUGAUGAUCUAUAAAUUGUUUAUGGUUGAAAUCAGGUAUCAAGAUAAACUAGGUACUGCUGAUAAAGACAUUAUGCUGAAACGUCAUCGCCUUGUGGAUUUAUGAAUUUCCUUAUGAUAUACUUGCCUCAAGAUUCAUUAACUACUUCAAUGUUGAUGUCUCUAAUGAGAUUAUGGACUUUACCAAAACAUCUAGUGAAAUAACCAAAAAGACACCUCAAGAAGCUUGGAAUGAGGUUUGUUGAUCAUGAAUGGAUAAUGGUUGGAGAGCCAGCAGCUGAAAACAUUGAUCAAAUGGAAGAAUAUGCUAAAGUUGAAGCUCCAUAAGAGCCAGCACAUCAACAAAGUCCUUUUGAGUCACUUAUUAUUCCAAAGAUGGACGUUGUGUUUCACCUCUAUCAAGAGCACUCAACUAAAGUUCACAAUUAGUUGGAGAAUAUAACUACCCGACUGGAAAACAUUGAAACUAGGUUGACCCUUAGCAACUUCCUUAACCCUGGUGAGGAUUAAGCUUAGUUGUGUUUGAAGUGCUUAGUUCUGUUGUUUGGUUGUCCUUUCUGAUUAUGUUCAAUUCUGUUUCUGUCUUUAUUUUUGAUUAAGUAGCUAUGGUCUUUUAAAAUGAUAUAAUGAUUAGUUGUAAUUUUUUUUAUGAAUGAAAUGCUAUGAUCUUUUCCUUUAUCACAUCAUAUGUUUCUCUAUUUACUCUAUGAGUAGUUGUGACUUUUUGGCCUUGUUAUACUAAAAGGGAGAUAAACAUUGCAUUAGUAUUGCAUUAGGAAGUAUUAAUGCAUUGUAUACAUAUAUUCAUACACAACUCUACCUAAUGAUGAUGAUGAUAUGAAUUAACACUUCUCUUAGUAUUCAGAAACUUUUAGGUUUUCUAAGAAAAGUCUCUACUCUUAAGACUCUCCAAAUGCACUCAAAUGACAAUUCAAGUUCGGCAUCAUCAAAGCCAAAAAGGGGGAAUUUGUUGGAGAUAGGGGGAACAACAUGAAUAAGCUUUGGAGCUUGAAGACGUUUUGUUUUUUUACAUGCUCAACUCUUUAAGUGACAUUUGUAUUGAUUGUUGCAUCUUAGUCUUUAUAUUUUCAUAUGUAGAUCAUCCAUAAUCAUAUAGAGGAAAUAAGAUUGUUUCUAAAGUUAGAAACUUCUUCAGUGCAUAAAAUUCUCUAUUUUAAUCAAUUACAAGGUUAAUCGUAAUCGAUUACACAAGUGUUUGAAACUUGUAGAGAGAUCCUCAUUUUGGUUUAAUCAAUUACCAGUUAACUGUAAUCGAUUGCACAAUUCAGUUGGGACCAUGUCUAAUUUUUAUGAGUCUCUACUUUAAUCGAUUACCUGGUGAUCGUAAUUGAUUACUUCACUCUUAAAAGUGUUCCCAGAAAUGAUCAAGAACACUUUAGUCGAUUACAUCAAGAAUCUAAUUGAUUACAUUGUUCUUGAAAGUUUUUAAGAUAUUGGGAAUAUCACUUUAAUCGAUUGAAAUUAUAAUAUAAUUGGUUACUUCUUCGAAAUAAUCGAUUAUAUUGAAUAUUUAAUUGAUUACAGGCGGUUAUAAAUUUUUUCUCUAUAAAUAAUCACCUUGUGCUCUCACUUUAACAACAACGAAUAGAAGAAAAAAGAAAGAAAGAAGAAAAAGUGCAUAGAAAAAGGUAGAGAUUGUUUCCACAUGUAUAUGGAUGAAAAAGGUAGGCUAAAGUCUUUCUUUAAGGUUGAAUGUGCUAAGGUAGCCCUCACCACAAAAUGCUGGACUUCUAUUCAGAAUUUGGAUUACUUGACACUAACAUAUCACUUUAUAGAUACUGAAUGGAAGUACCAAAAGAGGAUUACUAGCUUUAGUGUAAUUCCUAACUAUAAAUGGAGAUAAUAGGUAAGAAAGUGGAAAAACUGCUAAAGGAAUAAGGCAUUAGAAAUGUAUCCACAAUAAUAGUAGAUAAUGCUUCAUCUAAUGAUACAAUGGUGGCACAUAAAAAAAAAUUGAAGAUUAUGGGUGGUCUAGUGAUGGAUGGUGAGUAUUUUCAUGUUAGAUGUUGUGCUCUUAUAUUAAAUUUAGUUGUGAGUGAUGGCUUGAAAGAAAACCAAAAUUCCCUAAAUAACAUUUGAAAUGUCAUAAGAUUUGUACGAUCUUCACCCCAAAGGUCUGCCAAAUUUAAAGAAUGGAUAGAGUUUUUAGGUAUAUCGUGGAAAAAAUUGUUGUGUCUUGAUGUUUCAACAAGGUGGAACUCCUCCUAUUUGAAGCUAGACGCUGCUAAGAAGUAUCAAGAGGCCUUUGAGAAGAUUGUGGAAUAAGACCCACAAUGUAUACCCUUUUUUGGGGAUGAUGGCCCCCAAAUAAUGAUGAUUGGGAAAAUGUUCGAGCAUUGACAAAAAAUUUGAAAAUUUUCUAUGAUGCCACUAAUGUGUUUCCAACUUCACAACAUGUAAGCUUAGACACUACAUUUCACCAAUUGGCUAACAUCCAUUUUGAACUUCAUGAGUCAGCCAUGAACUUGAAUACCAUUUUGGCCACUAUGAGUUAAGCGCAAGUAUGAGAAGUAUUGGGGUGAUAUUGAUAAGGUGAAUAACUUUUUGUAUUUUGGUGUGAUGUUUGACCCCGAUUUCAAGCAUGAGAUUUUGAUGUGGUCUUUUGUAACCUUGUUUAAGUAUAACAACAUCUUUACUGAAAAAUUAUGCACUUCUAUAAGAAAAAAUUGUAAAAAGGCCUAUAAGGAACAAACUAAAUCCGAACAGUCUUCUCAUGGUCUAGGAAACUUUGCUUCUGCAGCUAAAACAAGUGUCUGUGCUGAAACUUCAUCAUACUUGGCUAGGACUAAUGCAUUUAAGAGGCAUUUAGCAGAGAAAGAUUCCAUUGAUAUACAAAAUGAGUUUGAGAGGUAUUUGGCUGAAAAAUGUGUAGAUGUUGAUGAUAGUUUUGAUGUUCUUGUUUGGUGGAAACAAAAUGCCUCAAGGUUUCCUACACUUUCAAGAAUGGUUAAAGAUAUUUUGGCCACUCCUAUUUCAAUAGUUGCUUCUGAGAGUGAUUUUAGCAUUGGGGGUAGGGUUAUAGAUUGUUUUCGAAGCUCUCUAAAUCCUCAAAUGGAAGAGGCACUAAUUUUUGCACAAAAUUGGUUGAGGCCAAUUUUAGCCCAAUUGAAAGGACUCAAAAUUAUUGAAGACAUUGAAAUUUCAGAGGCUCAAUAGGGGGAGCAUCAGGAGGAGUUGGAUCUGCAGUUGAUUAUCCCCAAGUUGAGUUCAUGUUGUGAUUGUAAAUUGGCCAGUUUUAGCAGGAAAGUAGCAAGUGGGAGGGAAACAUAUUGGUUAUGUUAGGUUCAUUGAAGUGCUUAUGAAAAAUCCGAUCACAUAAGGGUGACGUUUAUGGGCAAUCACAUAAAGGAACUUAACACCACACAUUAACCCAAAACCUUAAGGCUUGGGUUUAUGAGUCUUCUCCUCAAUUAUAUGAUAUUCAACUUUUCCACUUUUACUCGAUGUGAGACUUUAUCUCACACUUGUACUCUAACACAAGUUGAGGUUUUGAUCUUAUAGAAGAAAGACUCCCCACUAUGAAAGUUAAAAGCUAGAAUUAGAUGUUACAUGAAGUCAUGAAUAUCAAAUUGACCGUUGUUUUUAAAAUGUAAAAUGUAUUUAUCAUUAUGACAUGUAAUAGCCUAUGGAAGUAGUACAUUAUUAGGCUGAAUAUUUGGUGCUUCAAAACUUUUCUAUGCUUUAGAGAUUCAGUUUAUAUUUGAACAUCAUUUACUCAUCCAAUCAUUUAUUGUUUUAUUUUUAGCCUUCUGACCAUUUAAUUUCAAUUAAAGAGUCCAAUACAAAAUUUUAUGGACAGUAAACAACAAAGAAAAAAAUUGAAUGAUAAAAUUUGACUUGAGAAUAUAGGCCCAACCCAAAUGAAUAAAUUAAGUAGGAAUUUAAAAAAAAUUAAGCCCAAAGUGUCUUGGCCCAACUCGUUUGGAUCUAACCGAUCAAACUGUAACCCGUCCACCUCGAAGACAAAAAAUAGUCAGAAUUAGACCUUUCUGUAACUUAUCCAAUUCACCUGAAUUACUUGAAUUAGGCUCGAAUUUGCUCAAACUCGAUCCAUGCUUAGCCCUACUCUGCACUACACUGGUUUUGGAGUUAAAAAAAAAAAAAAAGAUGCUUGGUUUUUGGUUUGUCUUCACUCCUAUGAACAAACACACAAACUUCAUUUCUUUAGUUCCGUCGGCCAUUAAUCCUCCAUAAUAAUAAUAAUAAUAAUAAUAAUAAUAAUAAUAAUAAUAAUAAUAAUAACAUCUUUAUAAAUACCUAUAGAAGAAUUAAUUAAAAUAAUAAAAUUGAUUUUUUAUAUAAAUAAAAUUUAAUUUAUGCAUACAUGAGUUAAUUUUAAUUUAUAGAAAAUAAAAUAAUUUUAUUUUUCUUUCUUAAUUAUUUUUGUAAGUGUUUAUUAUAAAAAUUAUCCCAACAUAGUAGGAAAUAGAAUGAAAAUAGAAAAAUAAUAGUAUUAGGUAAGACAAUUCCAAAGUCAAAAUUCACCCGGUAAAAUAAUAAAAAUGGAGAAAAGGUUAAAAUGUAUACAUUUAAAAGUUUAAAAACACAAAAAAAUAAGAUUGAAUGAUUGCGCUGAUUUAUGAUAUUAAAAUCCCUUUUUCAAUUAUAUUUUCUCAUUUAUACUAUUCAAAUCUCAAAUAUCAAAUUUAAUUUCAUUCAAACUAAUAGCUUAUUAGUUAACUAUCUGAUAAUAGCUUAUCGAAAUUCUAAAACCUUAUUUUUAAUUUAUAGGUAAGUUAGUUUGAUUUUAUGAUUUUUUUUCUUCUCUAACCAUUUAUAUUAUUUAUAGAAAAAUUUAUCUAAACAAUAUCCCUUAACCCCGGUGGCCCCAUCCUCUGGACAUCUAAGUAAGAUUAUGGAUCUAUGGCUUAGAUUAGUCAUAAUCUAAUGAAGCACGCUUUCAUAAGUUUGUGGUCCAGGGUGCGUGAAUCCAAACACCCACCUUCUUCAGAACCUUCAUUUUUAGUUCUUUAUUAAUCAGAAAUAUAUACUCUUCUUUAUAGAAAUAAUCAAACCGCACCUUCCUAAUUUUAACGAUGAAGUUAAAUCCUUAAAUCCUCUAAAUUAUAAUAGGAUGUCGGUCGUGUAAUGUAUUUUAUGUGUAUUGUACAGUCACCAAAGGGCAAAUGUUCAAACUUCGUGCUCGAAUCAAAAUUAUAUGAUUGAGGCUUCACUCCGUAAGACUUGCUUCUCAAGGCAUAUAUUUAUUAUAUGGGUGUACAGUUUUUUUUUUUCACAAUUGUUUUAUAAUUUUUAAUUAAUAAUAGAGUAUGGGUAAAUUUGUUUUUUCCUAACACUCCUCUAUUUUCAAAUCACGUUACAAAUUUUGGUUUGUUUGACAUUUCAAUUCAUUUUUAUUUUUUUAUCAGUUGAAAAAAUUCAUUUUAUUAUUUGAUAAAUAAAAUUUUUAGUAAUUUUUAGUAUUUUUGAAAUGUUAUUUAAAAUAAUAUUUUUUUAACAACUAACUUCUAAAUUUUAAUUUUUUUUAUAUAUAUUUUUAUUCUUAAUAUAUUUAUUAAAUCUUUCUUUUAUUAUUUUUAAAUAAAUCAUAAUUUUAUUAUUUUUUAGUUAUUUUAUAAUUUUUUAUUAUUUUAAUAACUAAUUUUAUCAAAUACUUAUAAUUUAAUAAAUUAAUUUUUUAAAUUUUAACUAUUCAUUUUCAAUUAACUUUUCAGCUUUCGAUUAACUCAACAUAACCUUUAAAGUUACAAAACUUGGAAAGUCAGGGGACAACCACAUCUAGUUACAGAUCUCAAAGUCCUGUUCAUUUUCACCCACUAGAUGUUAAUUUUAACUCUUAAAGAUUAAGCUACCUUGCUAGAGAAUGUAUCAUUAAAGAAUAAAUUUUCCAUAUCUUCAUUUUCUUGAAAACAAACAAGUGUCAAGUUUAUGAAACAAUAUAUUUAUUAUGUUAUUUAAAAUGUUUUUUGUUAAAUAUAAUUUUUCUUAUAACUAUCUAGGACAUCUUAAUUUGGCUCUCCUAUGAUUCGGGAAUCCCAAAUUAUAAGACUAAUCCUAUAACCUAUUAACUAAAGGAAAGAAAUAACUAGUAUUUAAAAAGUACAAUUUUUUGUAUAAUUAAAAUUUAAUCUAUAUACAUUAUUAUUGUAGGAUAUUUUUACACAUAUAUAUUAAAUAAAAUUUGAUGAUUUUAUCAUGUCAUACAAUUCAUUAAUACAAAGUGAGAACAAAAAUAAAUUCCUAUUAAGUAUUUUGUAAUAUUAUUUUCAUACUAGUAAUAUAUAUAAAUUAAACCCUUAUAAUUAUCUUAAAAGUAAAUUUAGUUUAUCUUGAAAGUUGAAACAGAAUUAAUUAUUUCAAUACUUAAGUAAAAUCUAAGCUAAACCGGUUCAAAUAGGAUACAAACCGAACCGGCUUUAAAAAAAAGCGUUAUAUCAUUUAUUUGAUUGAGGUGCUAGUUUCAUAGGCUCUUAUUUUUUAUAUUAAGUUCCAAUAAAAAAUAAUUUGAAAAAAAAAGUUACUUUUUAAUUGAAAUUAAUAUAACUAUAUACGGCUAAUUAACUUUCUUAGUGAGCCUGAAAUGUUUUUUUCUUCUUCUUAUAUUUGAGAUGGGAAGAAAUACAUUUUAAGUUGCUAAGGAAAUGUCAGUAUUUAAUCUUUUAAUCUCCUGAAAAAAAAGUUAUAUGUUUUAAGUUUCUUAAAAUGUGUUAAGUGUAGUAUCUGUUCUUUUCUUGGACUUAGUACUAGUAACAUGAAAUACAACGCCAAUUUUAUAAACAAAAAUGAUUCAUCGACACCUUAUGCUAAUGUACUCCUAAAGAGAGAAACGUGGAUGUGAUAAGAAGAGACAUUGAAAAAAAUGAGAAGUGCCAAUAAAGUGUUUGUAUUAUAACAGAUGUCCCUGGAUCAUUUUUCUUUUAUAGACAAGGAAUUAAAAAGAUGAUUUUAUUUAAGGAACAUUUUCUUAUUUACAGGAAUAAAAAUAUACUAUUCAAACUUUUUUUUUCCUGCAGGGUGAAAAUUUGAGUAUUAUUAUCCUUUUGACUGUGUUUACCAGAGCGCCACCUGCAACAUUUCCUAGAGCUGAAAAAAAGUAGAAUAUGCUCUGCUCUUAAGCAUGAAUAUUUAUCUGAAUUUUUAGGAUAAAUUUUCCUUUGAGGGUUCCAUUUAAAAAGUAUUUAUUAAACAGGAUCUCUUUUUAAACUAUUUACAAAAGGGGUUCGUUUUUACAAGGAAGUCGCAGGAGCUAUUGGCGAUAUAUGCUUUCCGUGCAUGCCACCAUUCUCAUUGGCGAAUCUGCUGCCAUUCUCAUUGGCGAAUCUGGUGACGUGGAGAGCAGAUUGCGAGAAUAGUUUACCAUGUUUCGCUUCUAGUACCUGCGAUAUAUAGUUUUUAUGAGCAGUUCUUAUAUAGCUUUUUCUGAGCAUAAAUAGUUUUUAUGUAUUCUGUUANNNNNNNNNNNNNNNNNNNNNNNNNNNNNNNNNNNNNNNNNNNNNNNNNNNNNNNNNNNNNNNNNNNNNNNNNNNNNNNNNNNNNNNNNNNNNNNNNNNNUGAUAUCUUCAUACUAACUAACCUAAGCUAAGAAUACCUAUUAACACAAAUAGUUUUUUUAUAAUAUUAAUAACAGAAUACAUAAAAAGUAUUUAUGCUCAGAAAAAGCUAUAUAAAAACUGCUCAUAAAAACUAUAUAUCGCAGGUACUAAAAGCGAAACAUGACAAAUUAUUCUCGCAAUUGGUAAUUGACAAAUUAUUCUCGCAAUUGGUAAUAGCGAUAUAUGCUGGCCUCCUGCAACCUGCUGCCUCUGCAAGCUGCUCUCCACGUCACCAGAUUCGCCAAUGAGAAUGGCGGCAUGCAGGAAAAGCCUAUAUCGUCAGUAGCUCCUGCGACUUCCUUGUAAAAACGAACCCUUUUUGUAAAUAGUUUAAAAAAAGAUCAUGUUUAGUAAAUACUUUCUAAAUGGAAUUCUCUUGAGGGAAAUUUGCCGAAUUUCUUUGCCGAAUUUCUAAAUAAGCGCAGAAACUACUUAGUUUGGCUUUAUGUUGACAGCUAAAAUAUUGAAAAUGUUGAGUUCAGUAUGAUUGUUGUACCAUUGUUCUCAAUAAUAUUGAUCAUAUUCAUGACUGAUGUUUAUUCAAUUGAUUGGAGGCUAUGUUAGCCUUUAGUGCUGCUCAAGUAUUUUUAUGUGACAGAUCUGUCAUAAUGAAUAUGGUAUUUCAAAUGCAUGUGGAAUAUGGUAUUUUUCUCUAGUUAUAAUGAAUAUUUCUCAUCUGUAGUCUGUUAUACAAAUGUUUUUAUAUGAUAGAUCUGUCACAUGGUGUUUUUAAACAAAUGUUUCAGACUUAGUGAGUAGUGUAGGUCACAUGUUGUACAGAUGUCGAGAAAGUGUUGGUGCUAAAAAUUUGUCUAAUCACUGUGCUUAACAAGCUUCACUUAUCAUUCCGUAACUAUUGUGUUUUCCUUUAGCAGCCUUUUCCACUACUUUUAUCUCUUGUUCUGUUCUUGUCAUCCCCACUUGUACUCACGGUCACUUGUUGCAUCUUAUUCUCUUGAUCUUUGUAUGUAGUUAAGUACAUUAUCAGAUUUUGUGGCAUGCAGACACGAGAUCUCUCAUGUUUUUUUUACCAAUUGGGGGUAAAAAAAUUCUCAAUUUUUUAUUUGGGAAUAUAUUUCAAAAAAUUAUCUAAAACAGGGUAAGUCGUAACAGUUGUUACGACUUCUGAAGUCAGAAGUCGUAACACCUGUUACGACUUUUUAAUUUUUUUUAUUUUUUAACUGAAGUCGUAAAAAUAUUUACAACUUCAGUGUAAAUAUAAUUUUUUUUACGACUUUAAAUUUGUAUUUUUUUUAAAAAAAAUCAAAGUCGUAAAACUGUCUUAUUUAUUUUUUAAAUUUUUUUUGAGGUAUACAACUUUGAAGUAGUAACCUUCCUUUUUUUUUAAACGUUAUUUUACUAUUUGCAGUCUAUUUUUAAUUUGUUAACCUUUUCAUAAAUUUGUUUUUUUAAUUUAAUAAUGUUAACGAUUUUAUUUUUUUAAAAUAAAAAAGUUAAAAAAAAUAUAUAUUUAAAUAUAUAAUAAAUAAUAUUAAGUUGAUUUUAUUAGUAUAUUUUUUAUGAUUUUAUUUGAUAUGUUAUUAUUUUAUUUUAAUGUUUAAUUAUUUAAAACAUGUUAUAUAUAUUUUUAUUAUAGUUUACUUUAAAUGUUUUUUUAUUUAAAGUUUAAAUAAUCUAUCAAUAAAAAUUAAAAACAACAUAAUUAAUACAUUAAUAUAAAACACACAAUACAAAUGAAAGAAAAACAUAAAAAUUACAAGUUAUUUUAGUCAUGUACUUGUUUGUAUGGACAGUUACUCCAAUUAUGUCUUUCAGUUUUGCAUAAUGAGCAUUUCUUAGGCCUAUUUGAAAUUGGUUCAUCCAUCUCAUUAUGUAUCUGAGUAGUGGUCGGCCUGCCUGAUGUCUGUCGCCAUUUUGAAGGAUCAGACAUAAAAUGCGGACCUAAAUAUUGGGGUCAUGUGUCUUCACUUCCAAGGGAAUGAAAAUGAUGUUGAUAAACUUUGAAAAUAUUUUCCAACUUGUAUACAGGGUCAACAAAGUCAUCAUAAUUUAAAUUGCAAAAAGCACACGCUGCAAUUGCAUGUGAGCAAGGUAGUCGAAGUGCUUGAAAUUGUCCACAAUCACACAACCAUUCAUUCAAUUUGACAGUGCAUGUCAUUGCUCGUCGACCAAGUCGCGUAUUUGCAAUUUCUUGAACCUCAAACUCCCCUGUUUCUUGAACAUACAUGCGAACAUAAUGUGAGGUAGCAAUGUGUUGAUUUUCUUGCAUCAUGGCAUAUACGUCUUCAGAGUACCUAUGCUCUGCCUUUAUCAUAUUCAUGAUUUUGAUGCCGUUAGUGACAAAUGAAUCAUUUAUUUUAUUAAAUGUUUCAUUGACUAAGGAAGUAAUAGGUAAUGCUCAGGCUCUUUUCAAAAUAGAAUUCAUACAUUCAGCAAGGUUGGUAGUCAUAUGACCAUAUCAUUUUCGUUCAUCGUAGGCCUGAGUCCAUUUACUCUUAGGAAUUUGAUCCAACCAAUCUGCUGCUUGUGGAAACUCUUCUCGCAUAGCGAGCAACUCAGCCUCUAAUCGUGAUUUCCUCAUCUCAUACCCUAUGCGAAAAGAUAGAAUAAUGAGUAAAAAAUUUAGUGAACAUGUAAUAAAGCAAGAAUAUGAUGCAUGAAAUAGGAAGAAACAUACCCAUAUUGAUGACUUGUUUUUUUAAGUCAACAUUUUUAAACUGUUUGUUGAAAUUUGAUGCAAUGUGGCGAAUGCAAUACACAGACGAAACAUCUAGUCCAUUCCAGCCAACGCGUUCGGAUUGUAAAGCUGCUAGCAAACCGGUUCCCCUGUCUGAUAUAAUACACAAAUUUAGUUGUGGAGUAACAUAUCUUUGCAAAUAAUGCAAGAACCACAUCCAAGCUUCUUUAGUCUCGCUCUCAACAAUUGCAAAAGUAAGUAAAAAAUUGUUCCUACUACCAUCUUGUCUGAUGACAGUCAACAAAGUACCAUGAUAUUUGCCAGUUAAAAAUGUCUCAUCUACUUGCACAAGUGGCUUGCAAUAUUUGAAGCCUUCAAUGCAUGGAUUAAACGCCCAAAAUACACGGUUAAGAAUCACCCUGGGAGGGUUAUCGUCACCUUCCUCCAUUGAAGAUGAAGUUUUGUAUUUUACUAUGGUACCUGGUACAAAGUGUUAAGCAGCUGUGAACCAUAUAGGCAGGUAACUAUAUGAUUGUUCCCAACUUCCAAAUGCCAUUUCAAGAGCUUUUUGUUUAGUUGUCCAUGCCUUUUUGUAUGAAACAGUGUAAUGAAAUCGUUGUUGCAUGUCUGCAAUCAAGGUUUUGAUUUUGAUACUUGGAUUUGUUUUCACUAAAUGAACAAUAUUAUGGGCAAUUACAGAAGAAUCUAACCUAACAUGAUCUUGUGAUAUGGUAGAAUUUGUGCAUGUGUGAAUACCGUUUAAUUUCUUCAACUCCUACCUUUCGCGUAUUUUGCUGAACGAUACUCUCGCCCUCCAAUAACAUCCAUUACCAUAUUGAUUACACAUGACAACAUACUUGUCACUCUUGUUCUCGACCACAUCAAAAUUAAAUGAAUGCAUAAAAUGGAAUUGUUUAAUGGCAUUCACAGCGGCUUGUUUUGAUUCAAAUGUCAACCCUUCAUAAAGGUCAUUUGUACUAACACUCGCUGUCAUUUGAUAAGGAUUUGAGUAUUCUUGAUUUUCAGAAAGUUGGCUACUAAUAGUUUCAAAAUAUGAAGAUGACUCACUUUGAUUGCUUGGUUCACCAUGUUCACUAAAAUCAUGUUGUUGCUCGUCAUCACUGAAGUCACUAACAUUAUCUCUUAUUAUGGGUUCUUCAGUAGCCAUCUGCAAAAAAAAAAUAUUGAUUAGUAAGAAAUCAUUGGAUUACAUGUAACGUAAAAAAUUAAAACCUUUUUAAAUAUCUUUUUCGUGUAUGUAAUACUAAAAAAAUUAUCUCAGUAUGACUUUAACACGUCAAAAUCAGAGAACCAGGCUGAUUGUUGGAAUGCAACAGAUGCACCGAAGUGAGAAUGAACCCUCCUUUUAUAGGUUUCACGGGAGUGAACAGUGUAAUAAUAAUUUGUCUAACUCAUAUUCUAAAACACAAAAUAAUAACUAAACCGUAAAUUAAUAAUAACUAAACACUAUUAUUCUAAAACAUAAAUAAUAAUUUAACAAAAUUAAUUGAUCAUCUAUAAUAAUUUAUGUAACUAAACUGUAAAUUAAUAAUAACUAAACACUAAUAUUCUAAAACACAAAAUAAUAAUUUAACAAAAUUAAUUUAACAUCUAUAAUAAUUUAUCUAACUAAAUCGUAAAUUAAUAAUAAUUAAACACUAAUAUUAUAAAACAUAAAAUAAUAAUUUAACAAAAUUAAUUGAUCAUCUAUAAUAAUUUAUAUAACUAAACCGUAAAUUAAUAAUAACUAAACACUAAUAUUCUAAAACAAAAAAUAAUAAUUUAACAAAAUUAAUUGAUCAUCUAUAAUAAUUUAUAUAAUUAAACCGUAAAUUAAUAAUAACUAAACACUAAUAUUCUAAAACACAAAAUAAUAAUUUAACAAAAUUAGUUUAACAUGUAUAAUAAUUUAUCUAACUAAAACGUAAAUUAAUAAUAACUAAACACUAAUAUUCUAAAAUACUAAACCAUAAAUUAAUAAUAACUAAGUGAUAUUAAAAAUGUAAAACUAAUUAAUAGUGAAGUCGUACUCCAAAGUAAAAAGCAGUUUAUAAACAAAAAAAGAAUUAGAAAAUUGAAAGGCCAUCACUUGUGCAGCACAGAAAACAGCAAAGAAAAUCAGAAAACAGGUCCUUGAAAACAGCAUGUGCAGUGUAUUGUUAACUCAUGUUGUAGCACUGAAAUAACAAAAAACUGCAGGCAAGGGAAUAGCUUUAGAACCCGUGAAGGUUGCAUAGACAAGGCAGUGUAUUGUUAACUCAUGUAGUCAUGAAGCAUGCUUACACGAUUCCCAACUUGCAAUAAUUAACACCUAUAGCUGUUUCAUGAAGCAUAUUUUAGAAGUUGAAAAAUAAUUAACACGACUGCUAUAUAUAUAUAUAUAUAUAUAUAUAUAUAUAUAUAUAUAUAUAUAUAUUAUUAAUAAAGCUUUAUUAUAUGAUAGCAUGGGAAUUAACACGUAUAACAAUUACUUUCAAGUUUUAUCAUGUUUUGCUUUAAAACAUAUUUACUUAAGAUGAAUUAAAAAUGGGGUGUAGAAUUUUUUAUGGUUAAAAAUUGUCACAAAUAAUUUAAUAUUUAAUAAAUAGUCACACAAGCAAUUUCUACCGUCAGAAAAUAAACACUAAAUAAAAUAAUAAUAAAAUUAACAUUACAUCAUCAUUUAAUGGCAUAAAUAGAAGGUAAAUACUAAAAUCUUAAUGAAAAAAUUGUUUAGAGACUUUAGUCAGUUAAAUUUUAAGGACUAAAACUUAAAAUUUGAUUUUUAAGAUUAAGAACUUAGUUAACUCUUGAAAGCAUAUUUUAAGUCAAAUAAAAAUCACUCACAAAAUGUGUACGUAAGGGAAUCCAACUUUUAUGAUUUAUGAUAGACAAUGGACAAUUUAUGAUAGCAUGGGAAUCUUGCAGCUGCUACUAGCAACCUACAUAGUGAAAUGAUUUAUCAUAAAAUAGAAUCUUGACAAAAAGCAAUAAAGUAGUCAAAUUUAACUUAUUUUGUACAAAUGAUUUAUCAUAGCACGGACCAACUUCAUUGUGUAUAUUAUACUUAAAAAAUUGUUGAGCAAUAUUCUACAAGUUAACAUAUUAGACUUCAAAAAUUGUUGAGCACGGACCACCCUCCUUUCAUACCUCCCCCCUUUCACUUUUCCUCAUUCUUAUUUUCAUCCUUGUAUCCAUUUACCAAUGGCAUAUGCACAACCCGAACCAGUUGAUUGUUCGUUGUUGCGCUUACAAGACAAUCAUAUUUCAAAUCAAGUGUGGGAAGACCAAGAGAGAAUCAUCUGUCCGAGGUAUACUUCUGUUUGGGCUUUUACCCACUUGGAUCAAAUAGAUAAUCGGGUAAAAAAUCUAAUCAAUUUAGCUGGUUUCGGACAUAUUAUAAAUGCUGGAAAAGUUGAUAUUAACCAGCAUGUGGUUAGUGCAUUGGUUGAACGUUGGAAAACAGAGACACACACAUUUCAUUUUCCACAUAGAGAGGCAACCAUCACUUUACAGGAUGUGGCCCUACAAUUGGGCUUGAAGAUUGAUGGAUUGCCGGUAACCGAUUUCAUCACCGGCAAUGUACGUGUUGCUUGUUAGACAUUACUCGGGGAAACUCCACCUGAUAAGUAUGUAAAAGGUAAAAUGAUUUACCUAACUUGGUUGCGGCAAAAUUUUCAGCAACUUCCCGUUGAUGCUGAUGAUGUUGUCAUUGCACAACAUGCUAGAGCUCAUAUGAUGAUGAUUAUAGGCGGUUGUUUGAUGCCAGAUACAUCAGGUGCAAGAGUUCAUUUUAUGUAUCUUCUUUUAUUAUCAAAUUUAACCGAGGCAAGUCAUUAUAGUUGGGGUGCAACAGUAUUAACAUCCCUUUUCCGAGCUCUAGAUCGGGCUGUGAAACCGGACCAAACAGAAAUUUGUGGAUGUUUGUUGUUGCUACAGUCAUGGGCGUGGGACCGCAUUAAAUGUAUUACUCCAAAGAUAGAUCACCUAUCCAUGGAAGAAGUACAACAAGGACUCAGAUUUCCUCUUGCACGAAGGUGGUCUCAUCCAAGGACCGAACCAAAUAUUCCUAACAAUUCAGUGAGAUUGAUACACAUCAUAUUUGAUAAACUACAUAUUAAUGAGAUUCAUUUUUUAAUUUUCAUGAAUUAACUAUUUUUUCUAGUUUCCUAUUCCAUUAUAAAUAUGUUACAAUAAUAAUGUAUGUGUUGCAGUUCUUGUAGUUUCCUAUUCCAUUAUAAAUAUGUUACAAUAAUAAUGUAUGUGUUGCAGUUCUUGUAGACUUCUUAUGACACACCAGAAAUAAGGCCAUUAAUUAAUGAUGUAGAGGUAUCAAUGAUUGUUCGAGCAAAAGUCCCUUUCAUAUGUUUUGCAAUUGUCGAAUGGUAUCCAAUAGACAGGGUCAUGAGACAAUUUGGACUGCGACAAAUUAUUCCAGAUGACCCACCAAACCUAGAUCUAAUCCACGACAUAGAUAUGAGAGGGAGAACAGAUAUUUUUUGGUCUCACCAUCAUCGUCAGUGGAUUCUCAAAUGGAAUCAUUGGAAUAAUUAUAUUGUUCAUGGUGAAAUGGACCAAGGUCUUUUACAUGAAAAUUCAGAAUACAUGCAAUGGUAUAUACGUUGAACAAGACGAUAUAUAUCAUGUGAAGGAGCAGUAUCUACAAAGGUUGUAAAUCUACUUUACAAUUUUAAUCAUUCUUGAUAUCAUUAUUCAUUGUUAUUUCUAACUUUAUAAAUUUGAAUCACAGUAUUAUCCUGGUCAUCACCAACAUCAGUCAUAUGUGGAACCUAAUGUACCUCCGGUGCAUGUUCCUGAAUUUAUGUCCCAACAUCAUCCAUCACAAGCACAAUAUCAAUCAACAAGUUUUUCCGGUCAUGCAUCUCAAGGAUGUCAACAAAGUUUUCAACCACUGGGAUUCUCAUCAUAUAUACCUCAAUAUUCAUUUCAAGUCCCUUCUAUCUCAAAUGUUUUUUUUGGCUCCUCACAAAUGCUUGCCACCACUUUCAACACUCCUCCAUCUACAUAUAAUCUUGCACCAUUGAGUUCUUGUUAUCGUCCAUCAUUAGCUACUCAAAUAUGUGACAUGAGUCACGAAGAUGAGGACGAGAAUGAGGACGAGGAUGUGUUGGAAGCCCACGUUAUGUGCACGUUGCACGUUCCUUUAUAUUUUAUUACUUUGGAAAAAUUUGUUACUUCUGAAUCUGGUCCAUUUUCCAUCCACAUUCAUCUCAUAUCUUUGUAAAUAUAUUUGCAACCACCUUCAGUAACAAAUCACGUACCCAUCAUUUAUCUCACGUACCCAUCAUUUAUCUCACGUACUGAUAACUUCUUAUCUCACGUCUGAUAACUUCCUAUCUCACGUUCUGAUAAUAAGUUAAGAGCUCUGUGAUGGGCAGACUCUAUAAAUAGGAUGGGGUGCUCUCAGUUUUGUAUCACCAAAUCCACUUCUCUAUUCAGAAAAAAUACACCAUCUAUUCAGAGUGAGUAAGGGUCUGGAAGAACAAAACUGUCUUUCAGGUUCGUGUGUGUGCCGCUUCUCGUUCAAUUUGCAAUGGCUGGAGGUACGCUCGUAAUUUUUUUUAAUUUUCGCUGUUUGAUCUAAAUAUGCUAUUUAAAUUUAUUUGCAUGUUUAGAUCAGUAUAUGUAUAUUUUUACAUUUGGUAUCAGAGCCUAUUUGUACCUCUGUCUUGCUUAUUGGGUCGUUCCUAUGCGAAGUUUAUUUUCUGAGUAUAUGGGUGUUAUGUUUUAAGCCUCCUUAAUUCAAAAUAACAUCAAAAUUAGGAAUGAUAUGAGCUUUCUAAUUUUUCUAUGAUUUAAAACGUAUUUUUGGGUGUCUAAAAUACAUAUAAUGAUAUGGGUUUUUCGAAAUUGAGGUAAUAAUUUUUUUUCCACUGCUGGAGGUUGAAGACAAAGUUUUGCGAGUUUUGUUUACUGUCUUGGAAUUGUUAAUGUACAUUUUAAAUUAACAAUAUUAAACAAAGCAUGAGUUUGUCCAGUGGUAGAUGUGAUGUGUAUUACCUCAUUGUUCUGGGUUUGAAUCUCAUUGCUGCCUUUUGUUGCUUGUUUUCGUUUUAAUUAAUUAAAAGGAAUGUAUAAAUGAAACGAAAACACCUUGGGUUGGUUUCGAACUCUCACCUUACAAGCAUGAAAGGACUCCCUUUGCCGCUAAGCUAUUGCAAUUUAAUUAUUUAUUAAUUGCAGUUCAUGUAUAUUUAUAACUUCUGAAGGAUAAAUUAUUUAUGCACAAACUGUUUAAAAUUGUGUGUCUCUUAAGUUAUGCUGAACAUGCAAUAUUAUGUUAAAUACUGGUAUGCAUUGGAUUUAAUCCUUUAAAGUUUAUUACAUGUUGAAUGAAUAUAUGUGCAAUGUUAUUGGUAUACAUGUAAUUUUUAUGAUUCAAUAUUGAGCACAUUUGCAUUAUUAAAUAUGUUUAUGCAAGGAUUAUUUUUGAAUGUUAAGUGAUUAAUAUAAUUUUAUUAAAUUAGAGAAUAGCCACAACGUCUUUAAUUGAGUAAAAUUAUAUGCUAAAUUUAUAAUCACAUUAGAAAUAUUAAUUGUGAUUAAUCAUAUGUAAUGUGAUGAAAUCUACCCACAAGAAUUUUGUUAUAUUUGUAUGAUUAAUUAGGAUAAAAUAUUAAAUUAUAUUUCUUAAUUUACCCACAGGAAUUAAGGAAAAGAACAUGAUUUAAUAGUUUUAUCAUAAAGUUGCAUGAUGAAUCUAAUUGAGUAGGACUUUAGCCCACAAGCAAGUUUUGUGUCACUAGAUUCAUAUAUUGAGACAUGAUUUGCAUUGACAAAACAUGACAUUUGUUUAGUCUCAAUUUUUCUUAAUGAGCAUGUGUGUUUGUUUGCAGUUUCACAAUCUAUGAAUAUUUCUUGUGACCUUCCCAUUUUGAAAGGUGAUAAUUAUAAGGUUUGGAAGGAAAGAGUUCUCCUUCAUUUGGGCUGGAUGGAUAUUGACUAUGCUAUAAGGAAGGAUGAGCCACCGGCUAUUACUGAAACUAGCGAACCUGAUGCUGUUGAUCUUUAUGAAAAGUGGGAGAGAUCUAAUCGUCUCUCUGUUAUGUUCAUAAAAACCAACAUAUCCGCUAGUAUCCGGGGUUCAGUUGACCAGCAUGAUAAGGUCAGAGAUCUGUUGAAAGCCAUUGAUGAACAGUUUACGACCUCUGAGAAGUCACUUGCUAGCACACUCAUUAUGCAAUUCUCUUCCAUUAAGCUUACUGGAACGAGAGGUGUGCGUGAACAUAUCAUGCGCUUAAGGGACAUAGUGGCUCAGUUGAAAACCUUGGAAGUUACCAUGUCUGAAUCCUUCCUGGUACAUUUCAUUUUGUGCACCCUACCUCAACAGUAUACACCCUUCAAAAUCUCCUACAACACACAUAAGGAUAAAUGGUCUAUUAAUAAAUUGAUGACCAUGUGUGUUCAAUAAGAGGAGAGAUUGAUAAUGGAAGAGGGUGAGAAGGUAAAUUUUACUACUUCUACUUCUGGAAAGGAUAGGAAGAAGUCUGUAGGCACCAAUAAAGGAAAGAUUCCGACUCAACCAACAAUUAAAAAGGAGUCAAAGUCUUUCUUCUGUAAAAAGAAAGGACACAUGAAGAAGGACUGCCCCAAAUUUAAAAGUUGGUUUGAGAAGAAAGGUACACCAUUUGCCUUUGUUUGUUAUGAAUCUAAUAUGAUUAAUGUGAAUCAUAAUACAUGGUGGAUUGACUCUGGUUCUACAAUCCAUGUUUCUAAUACCUUGCAGGGUAUGGAAAGCCUAAGGAAGCCAGUGGGAAGUGAGCAGUGCAUCUACUCAGGGAGUAGGAUGAGCUCGCAUGUAGAGGCCAUUGGAACGUGCGUCUUAGUUUUAAGUAGUGGCUUUAAAUUACAUUUGGAGAAAGUUUUUUAUGUUCCUAGUUUCUGUAAAAACUUAAUUUCUGUUUCUAAACUUGCACCUUUGGGAUUUUAUUUUUACAGACUUUGGUUUUAAUUUACUAAAUAAAUAUGAAAUUAUUGGUUGUGGUCAAUUGGUUGAUGGUCUUUAUUCAAUUGAAUUGCAAAAUGAUGCUACUUCUAUGCACGUUUCUGUUGGGUUAAAACGAUGUAUUGUGAAUGAAUAAUCCUCUAUGUUGUGGCACCGGAGAUUAGGACAUAUCUCUAUUGAGAAAAUCAAGCGAUUAGUAAAUGAAGGAGUACUUAGUACUUUGGAUUUCGCUGAUUUUGAGACUUGUGUAGAUUGCAUUAAGGGUAAGCAAACUAACAAGUCUAAAAAGGGUUCAAAGAGGAGUUCUAAUUUAUUAGAAAUCAUACAUACAGACAUAUGUUGUCCAGACAUGGAUGCAAAUAGUCCGAAAUACUUCAUAACCUUUAUAGAUGAUUAUUCACAAUAUAUGUAUCUCUACUUACUUCAUUCUAAGAAUGGAGCUUUAGAUGCCUUUAAAGUUUUUAAGGCUGAAGUUGAGAAACAAUGUGGAAAACAAAUUAAGAUCGUGAGAUCAGAUAGAGGUGGGGAGUACUAUGGUAGAUACACAGAGGAUGGACAAGCACCAGGUUCAUUUGCGAAAUUUCUUCAAGAACAUGGGAUUGUUGCCCAAUACACUAUGCCUGGUUCUCCGGAUCAGAAUGGUGUGGCAGAACGAAGAAAUCGAACCUUAUUAGACAUGGUGAGAAGCAUGAGGAGUAAUGUAAAGCUUCCUCAAUUUUUGUGGAUUGAUGCUCUUAAGACGGCUGCGUAUAUAUUAAACCGAGUUCCAACCAAGGCUGUCUCAAAGACACCUUUUGAAUUAUUCAAGGGUUGGAAACCAAGUUUGCGACAUAUACGCGUUUGGGGAUGCCCGUCUGAAGUAAGAAUUUAUAAUCCACAAGAGAAGAAACUAGACCCUAAGACUAUUAUUGGGUAUUUCAUUGGAUAUGUUGAAAGGUCUAAAGGGUAUAGGUUCUAUUGUCCAUCCCACAACACUAGGAUUGUGGAAUCAAGGAAUGCAAAGUUUCUUGAAAAUGAUUUGAUCAGUGGGAGUGAUCAAUUUCAGAAUAUUUCUUCUGAAAGGGAUCACUAUGAAGCUGAACCUUCUGGGACAAGUAAUAAGUUGGUAGUCAUUCCCACGCCUCAAGUUAAAAUGGGUGUUAGACAACCAGUGAUUGAAGUUCCACAAGCUGUUGAAAGUGAUCAUGUAGAUCAAGUUGUUUGUGAGGAACAACAUGAUGAUAUUGAACAAACUGGUGAAGAACCAGUUGAACAAGUUCCUCAGCAAGAUGACCAAACAACAUUAAGAAGAUCUACUAGAAUAAAAAAGACAACAAUUCCUAGUGAUUAUGUAGUGUACCUACAAGAAUCAGACUACAACAUUGGAGCCAAAAAUGAUCCUGAGACGUUUUCACAAGCCAUGAGUUCUAAGGAAUCAAAUUUGUGGUAUAAUGCUAUGAGGGAUGAGAUGGAUUCUAUGGCAUCUAACCAAGUUUGGGAUCUCGUUGAGUUGCCUGUUGGUGUAAAAGCCAUCGGAUGUAGAUGGGUCUUCAAAACAAAGAAAGACUCAGAAGGCAACAUUGAGAGACAUAAGGCAAGACUUGUUGCUAAAGGAUUCACUCAAAGAGAAGGAAUCGAUUACAGAGAGACCUUUUCCCCUGUAUCUAAGAAAGACUCUCUUCGAGUAAUUUUGGCAUUAGUAGCUCAUUUUGAUCUUGAGUUGCAUCAAAUGGAUGUGAAAACGGCGUUCCUGAAUGGUGAUCUAGAAGAAGAGGUUUACAUGAAACAACCUGAGGGAUUCUUAUCUAGUGUUGGUGAGCACUUAGUCUGCAAGCUUAAUAAGUCUAUCUAUGGAUUGAAACAAGCUUCCCGCCAGUGGUAUUUAAAAUUUCAUGAGGUCAUUUCUUCAUUCAGCUUUGAAGAGAAUGUCAUGGAUCACUGUAUAUACCAGAAGGUCAGUGGGAGUAAGAUUUGUUUCCUUGUAUUAUACGUAGAUGAUAUUCUGCUUGCGACUAAUGAUAAGGGUAUGCUAUAUGAGGUGAAACAAUUUCUCUCAAAGAACUUUGAUAUGAAGGAUAUGGGAGAGGCAUCUUAUGUCAUAGGCAUAAAGAUCCAUAGAGAAAGAUCUCGAGGCAUUUUAGGCUUGUCUCAAGAAACCUAUAUCAACAAAGUUUUAGAGAGAUUUAAUAUGAAAGAUUGUUCACCAAGUGUAGCUCCCAUUGUGAAGGGUGACAAACUUGCUUUGAGUCAAUGCCCCAAAAAUGAUUUUGAGCGGGAACACAUGAAAAAUAUUCCAUAUGCUUCAGCAGUUGGAAGCCUUAUGUAUGCUCAGGUUUGCACUAGACCUGAUAUUGCAUUCGCUGUUGGAGUCUUGGGAAGAUAUCAAAGUAAUCCAGGUAUUGACCACUGGAAAGCUGCAAAGAAAGUGAUGAGAUAUCUUCAUGGAACAAAAGAUUACAUGCUCAUGUACAGACAAACUGAUUGUCUGGAAGUGAUUGGCUACUCCGACUCAGACUUUGCUGGUUGCGUUGAUUCACGAAGAUCAACAUCUGGUUAUAUUUUUAUGUUAGCCAGUGGAGCUGUAUCUUGGAGAAGUGCCAAACAAACCUUGACUGCUACUUCCACUAUGGAGGCUGAGUUCGUUUCUUGUUUUGAGGCUACCUCGCAUGGUGUAUGGUUGAAGAGUUUCAUAUCUGGCCUUAGAGUUGUGGACUCUAUUUCUAGGCCAUUAAAGUUGUAUUGUGACAACUUUGCUGCAGUGUUUAUGGCUAAAAACAACAAAAGUGGAAGUCAAAGUAAGCACAUCGACAUCAAGUACUUAGCCAUAAGAGAACGUGUUAGAGAAAAGAAAGUGGUCAUUGAACACGUCAACACUGAGUUAAUGAUUGCUGAUCCUUUAACUAAAGGCAUGCCACCAAAGAAUUUUAAGGAUCAUGUAGUGCGAAUGGGACUUGGUUCCAUGAUGUAAUUUCAUUGUACGUACAUUUGUUAUUUUCAAUGAAACUCUUAUUCAGUUAGAUAUUUUCUCAUAUGGUUUUGUGCACAUAUUUAUUUAUUUCGAGAAAAAUCAUUCGGUUUAGAUAUAGAAUAAACAUAUGGUUUAUUCAUUAAGUUGAGAGCUAGUGUUGAGAGACUUGAUAUAUUGUGGUACAUGGAAGAUACUACUCAUCAUCAGAGGACCUAUCGCCAUGACUCAUAUAUUAUGUUUCUUGUUAUGGUUGAUGUUGAGUUAAAUGGACCAAGUGGGAGAAUGUUGGAAGCCCACGUUAUGUGCACGUUGCACGUUCCUUUAUAUUUUAUUACUUUGGAAAAAUUUGUUACUUCUGAAUCUGGUCCAUUUUCCAUCCACAUUCAUCCCAUAUCUUUGCAAAUAUAUUUGCAACCACCUUCAGUAACAAAUCACGUACCCAUCAUUUAUCUCACGUACCCAUCAUUUAUCUCACGUACUGAUAACUUCUUAUCUCACGUCUGAUAACUUCCUAUCUCACGUUCUGAUAACAAGUUAAGAGCUCUGUGAUGGACAGACUCUAUAAAUAGGAUGGGGUGCUCUCAGUUUUGUAUCACUAAACCCACUUCUCUAUUUAGAAAAAAUACACCAUCUAUUCAGAGUGAGUAAGGGUCUGGAAGAACAAAACUGUCUUUCAGGUUUGUGUGUGCGCCGCUUCCCGUUCAAUUUGCAAUGGCUGGAGGUACGCUCGUAAUUUUUUUUAAUUUCCGCUGUUUGAUCUAAAUAUGCUAUUUAAAUUUAUUUGCAUGUUUAGAUCAGUAUAUGUAUAUUUUUACAGGAUGAGCAUAACAACAAUAACAAUGAUGACGAUGAUGAUGGUGAUGAUGAUGACAACAAUGGUCAUCAUGUUUCUCAACAACAACGGACAAUUACACGUCAGCAUCCUAGAACAAGAGGAGGUAGAGACCGUAGACCGAGAGGACAACAAACACAGACAAAUCCAGUCCAACAAGAUGAGAGACCCAGGCGCAUUUCUAGAAGAACUCGUUGUGGGACAUCGUCUUAUUAUUAGUUUGACAAAUAUGUAAUUUUUAUUUAAAUAUAAUCAAUUUUUAAUUUAAAGUCUUUCAAUUUUUUUAAUGUAUUUUUAUUGAUAGAUUAUUUAAACUUUAAAUAAAAAAAAUUUAAAGUAAACUAUAUUAACUUAAUAUUAUCACAAAAAAUAUACUAAUAAAAUCAACUUAAUAUUAUUUAUUAUAUAUUUAAAUAUAUUUUUUUAACUUUUUAUUUUUAAAAAAUAAAAUCAUAAACAUUAUUAAAUUAAAAAAAACAAAUUUACAAAAAAAGGUUAACAAAUUAAAAAUAGGCUGUAAAUAGUAAAACAAUGUUUUUUUCUUAAAAAGGAGAGAUUACGACUUUGAAGUCCUACCUCAAAAAAUUAAAAAAAUAAAAUAAAAAUUUUACGACUUUGGUUUUUUUUUUUAAAAUACGACUUUAAAGUCGUAAAAAAAGUUAUAUUUAUACUGAAGUCAUAAAUAUUUUUACGACUUCAGUUAAAAAAAUAAAAAAAAUUAAAAAGGCGUAACAGGUGUUACGACUUCUGACUCAGAAGUCAUAACAAUUGUUACGACUUACCCUGUUUUGGGUAAUUUUUUGAAAUAUACCCCCAAAUGGAAAAUUUUGAAUUUUUUUACCCCCGAUUGGUAAAAAAGCCGAUCUCUCACCAUCCUUUUAAUUAUUCUUGUCAUAAGCAGCACAUAACAUAACACUGUUUGAAGCAAUUUUAAUGUGAACUCCUUUGGAUGGAUGCUAAUUCCCAGGUUUUAUCUUAAAGUUGUUCUUCUGACAAUGUCAUCCAUUUUUAGCUUUAGGUUGUUAACCAAAAUACAAGCAAGGUGGCAGCUGUUGCUGAAGAAUUCUGAUUAUUUGUGUCCUCUGAUGUACAGAUACUUCAUGGUUACAUAUCCAUAUUUGUAUCAUACUUGUAAUGAAUACCCAUAGCAUAUAAUAAGGCUUCCUAAGUCGGGUAUGCAUUAAAUCUAGACUUUUAUUCAAACUUCUUAUAUACAAUAUUUCUUUAAAUAGGGAAACAAUUGUUAUCAUUAAGUUUUUUAAUAAGUUCGAUAAGAGAUUGAACACCAAUGAUGAUAGGAUGAUGGAGAUGACCCUUCAAUAGAUAUCAUCUAUAUUAAGAUAUAAAGAAAUUAAUAAAAUAUAAAUAAUAAUAUAAUUUUAUGUAUCACAUUGCACCUAAUACUUGUAUGAGUUGUAUCCAACGCCAUGAAACAAAAUGUGUCAGAUAUCAGUUAGAUAAGAUUCAGUUCAGCAGGCAGGUUGGAUAAGAGUAUUGCUUAUGUAUAUCUUAAAAGAAAGUUUCCUAUUUGACAGAAUGUGGGUGUUUUUGUCCACCUAGGAGCUUUUUACCAUGUAAUCUGACAUAGGCUUUAUGAUCUGCACUAAUCUUUUGAAACUUCAUUUUGUCACAUGUUAAUAAGUUGAAAAAGAAAAUAUUGUUUUAGGAGCUAAAGAUGAAUAAGCAGCUAAAGGAAAGUUAUAUAGAAUUAGUAGUAAAAGAGAAGAGUGUAAACCUAUUUGCUAUUUGCUUCAGUACUCAAGUGCUGGUUCCGUUACCAAAUUUCAGUGGUUUUGGUUGAAUAUGUAAGUCAGUGGAAGUGGUGCUGAAUAGUGGAGGGAAUGUUUGGAGUACAUGAUUUGAAAAGGGGAGAAUGAUUAAAAGAAAUAGAAAAUUGACUGACCAAUAUUGAAGGUUUCAUAGGAAUGUUGAAUGUUAGUAAAUUGGAAAGAUGUUACAUACCAUUCAUCUUAUUAGAAGCAUAACUGUUCCUUUUUGUAUAUUUUCUGUUACCUUCCUUUCCUUCAAAAUAUGGCCUUUGAAUUUUGAACCAUUAACUGAGUUGGUAUAGUGGUAAAGUCAUGUAGAUUUUUGUUUUCGUUUUGUGGGGAUAUGAAUGAGAAAAAUCCUUACAACCAGACAAAGCUGUGGCUCAGAAGAAAGAGAAACAUGCCUCACUUCUAGAAUCACUGGAACUAACAUCUUGUAAACAAACUGUUAUACCAAACUUUCCUAAGGUGCAAUUCUCAACCAUUAACCAAUUUCAUCUCAAACAACACUAUCAGUUCUUCAGUCAUGAACUUCCCAUACUGAAAAUUUGUCACCUAUUUCUUUUAUAGGCAGUGGCUUCUUAUGAGAGUCACACUCUCUGAACUUCUAAUGUAAAACUUGACUUUUCAUUUUGUGCUUUAUAAUUGUUAUCUCAUGCAUUGCCCUUUUAAGAUAAGGUUGUUGUGCAUUGUUUGGUUGAGUACAACGAUUUACUGAUGACCAUAACUAUUUGUGGAUCUUAUAUUUUCAAAAGUGUAUGCUUGGUCAUUAAUCAACCAAGCUUGAUAAGCUCCAUCACCUACCAUCCCCUUCUAUGCCAUAUACACAUUUUGCUUAUCUACAUUCCUACUGUUACUCUCAAACAAGUCUAACAAAUAAUAAGUGAAGUUAAUGAACUUUUUUAGUAAUAUUAUUAUAAGGAUUGGUCAAUGUAAUGGUGAACAGAGAAGCAUGCUUUCAGCUACCCAACAAAAUGGAUAAGAGUGUCAGUUGAUAUGGUUCUCUUGUUUUUUUUUUUUCAAUGCAAAAUCACCUUUAAAAUAUAAAAGAUCACUGUAACAAAGGGACAAAGGGUUUUCACCUAACCCAUGCAUGAGAUAUGAUGGUCACAAAAUAUGUUAGGUUUAAUAUGGAAUGAGGGCACAGUACAAACCACUCACAAAUAAUAUCAAACUCCACCACCAUCACACAUUUUACGUUCUUCCAAGGAAGAGAUAAGAUAAUGAAGCCUCCUCCACGUGUCACUUCCACAUGGUACCUAACGAUAAGGCUACCAUUCAAAAUUUUCCUCACUCGUGUGGCCAAUAUGCUGUAAUGUCAUCACUUAUUCAAUCCAACGGUUGUAACUUCUCAGCAACCAAUCCCCUCCAUUUCACACCAUCGGAUUAGUACUACACAAAUCACACUAUUAUAUAUAGUAAGUUUGAGCAGAAGCUUGGAUAUCUGGCAGCAGAAGAACAAGUAGUUGAGAACUAAGAAGGAGAAGCAAAUGGCUUCCUCAAUGAUCUCUUCCCCAGCUGUUACCACUGUCAACCGUGCCGGUGCCGGCAUGGUUGCUCCAUUCACUGGCCUCAAGUCCAUGGCUGGCUUCCCCACCAGAAAGACCAACAAUGACAUUACCUCCAUUGCUAGCAACGGUGGAAGAGUGCAAUGCAUGCAGGUAUGACAACUCCACACAUAUAAAUACACAAGAGGCACCAAAAUGAUUAUAAUUCAUGUUACAUAUUUAGGCAUGUACCAAAAUGUUACUUAAAUAAACAUGUUAGUCAUAGGUUGCUUAAAUUUUAGUCAUAGGAAAAUUUGCACAUGUGCUAGUUAAUCUGUUAACCCCUUUACUCAAUUUUCAUGCAAAUUAAUUACUAGGUGUGGCCACCAGUUGGCAAGAAGAAGUUUGAGACUCUUUCCUACCUGCCAGACCUUGAUGAUGCACAAUUGGCAAAGGAAGUAGAAUACCUUCUUAGGAAGGGAUGGAUUCCUUGCUUGGAAUUCGAGUUGGAGGUCAAUUUCUUGCAAACACUUUUGGUUUAAUCAUAGAUUUUCUUAUUCUUAGUUUGUUUCAACUUAUUUUCAAGAAAUAAUGGCUUCUCUUGCUAGUGUGCUAAAAGUACUUUUGGAAACAAAACAAAAAAUGGUUGUGUUCCAAAAUUUAAAUUUAUCUAACAGAUUUUUCUAUUUGAGAGUUAUCAAUAUGUAUCAAAUCUGUUCCUAUCUCUGACCAAAUUUUAUUCUUCCAAAACAAGCACUUGGUUUUGAGUUUUGAUGGUUGAUCUGUUUGUUUGCAGCACGGUUUCGUGUACCGUGAGCACAACAGGUCACCAGGAUACUACGAUGGACGCUACUGGACCAUGUGGAAGCUGCCUAUGUUUGGUUGCACUGAUGCUUCUCAGGUGUUGAAGGAGCUUCAAGAGGCUAAGACUGCAUACCCCAACGGCUUCAUCCGUAUCAUCGGAUUCGACAACGUUCGCCAAGUGCAGUGCAUCAGCUUCAUCGCCUACAAGCCCCCAGGCUUCUAAGUGUGAAAAAUUUGCAAAGCAUUUGUAGCCGCCACCCCACUUUGUUUGUUUGUACUUAAACUACAUUCCCAUUUGUUUUUGCUUUUUGAGAUUUCAUCAUCCUGUAUUUUUGGUUUCUGUUUUCGGACUUCAAUGGAAAUUAAUGGAUGAGAACUAAUGAAUAAGCUAUUGUGUUGUGUUGCUUUGUUUCAAAAUAACUUCAAUAACCCAUCGUCCUUGCAUUUCUCUCUACUGGGCUGAAAUUAAUCAUUUCUAAAUUUAAGUUAAUUAAUUGUGUCUCUAAAUGAUGGUUAACAGGGGAACUCUGUGUUAUUCAAGUGCACUGCUUAGUUUAGCUGAGCUUGGCCUUACUUUGUCACAAGUCACAAAUCUGAUGUAUGAAUGUUCUUUAUACUUUGGUCUUCCAAGAAAUGAAGUUCAAGACACAUAGUUUGUAAACAUGUUGCUAGGAAGCUACUGAACUUUCAAAACCAAAUAUGAACUCGAUAAUUCUUGGAAACACAGAUAUUUUGUAUAGUAUAUAGCAACAAAAAACCACUAAGGAACUGCUACCAAAUCGUUUUGUUAUUUAUGUGCAAAGAAAGCGAUAUCAAAUUCAAAUUUUUAUUGGUUUCAGAAUCUUUUCUUUCCAAGCAAUAACCACCAACUGCAACGAAACCGUUUUGUUUGUUCCAUUUCUCACUCUCCUCACUGCAAUGUUCAAAUUCUGAUUUGGAAAACAGCACAUAAAAACACAAGAUUUGGUCAUGCUCUGGUUCUACCAAAUACUACAUUUGUUUCUAGAAUUGCCAGAAUCUGAUCCUUUUGCUGACAAUUAAUCUCUAGAAGAUUCUUUUGCUUGUAACUUGGUAGUUAUGGAUUAGCAACUGAUAAAUAAAUCAUUUAGUGGGCUCUAUGUUGUGAGUAGUGAUAGGUAACUUAUGUCGACACCUUUUAGUAGAUUGCAUUAAUAUUUAGACUGGACCCUUUUGAUAGCUACAUUUGUGAACAAGAAUACAAUACGAUAAAGAAAUAGAUAAGAAGUUUCACCUCCUAUACUCCCAUGACCACAUCAUGACAUAUUCAAUGCCAAUCGUGAAUAUACAAAUCAAUAGGAUUUGUUUUCUUCCAAAUAUUUAUUUGUGGACGUGAAUCUACUCACCCUAGAAGCAAGUUUCGUUAAAUUUCCUUUGUUUAAUAACUUUUUGUGAACAUUCAUUCUUUUUUAAUUCAACUUUUAUAUAAAAAUAAUUAGACUCAAAUUCCUUAAACAAGGUCUCAAGUUCAAAUUUUGUGAAUGAAAAAUAUAAUUAAAAGAAGAGACAUAAUUGAAGUAGUCAGUCAAGUUAUGACAAAGCCUUACAAUUCACAAAAUAACUAAAAUAUUAUAUCAAUCAACUUCAUUUUAAUGGAUAGUAGUAUUAUUCUUUUAAAAUACAAGUAAAUGUUAACUAUAAGAUAAUCUUUAUGGUAAUAUAUUACAAAAUAUAAUAGUUAAGGGUCUCUUUGGGGGAUUGUUAGUUGUUAGUUUCAUUUGUUUUUAAAAUAACAAUCAAUUUUUAGUUUUAGUAUAAAAAGUUUUUAAAACCAGUCUUUAAAAUUUGAUUAGUUUUCUAACUAUUAGUUUUAAGAUUAAGUCAUUUUAAAAUUUUCUAAUCUUUUUAAAAUUAAUUUAAGAGUGUAUUUUUAUAUAUGAUGAUAACGACACCAACAACAACAAUGGUGGUAUUUUUGGUGGCGAUAGCAAAGUCAAUAGUGAUAAUAACAGUGUCAAUGAUGGCAGUGAUACUAGUGGUGGUGUUGGUGUUGAUAGUUAUAAUGCAGUAUUGCUAAUAAUGGUAGUGAUUGAUAGUAAUGGGAGCAGUGAUAGUGUUGACAACGAUAGUAAUAGCGGUGAUGUUGGUUGUUGGUGUCAAUAACAAUGGUGACAGUGUUGAUAAUAAUAGUGAUUGUGUCAAUGAUUAUGAUGAUGAUCAUAAUGACGACAUAGAUGGUGGUCCUGGUGUUAGUAGAGGCAAUGAAAAGUGUCAUUAUCAAAUGUAGAGAGUGUGUACUUUUUUAAAAUUAAAAUCAAAAUUACAAAUAUUUUUUGCCCAAAACUUUUGGUUUUAAAAAUUACAUUUAAAAAUAAAAUAUAAAAAACUCACAAUUACGUGACCAAACCCUAAGUCUUUUAAAUCAAUUAGUAUUCUAUAAAGAAAUAGUAUUUUUGAAGUAUUUAUAUAAUUUAAGUAUUUACUUAUUCUUAGAGUGAAUAGAUCCCUUUCGUUUGUUUUAUUCAUCAUACAGAAUCAAUAAUACAGUGGAAUCCUUCUGAAUAUUUUCUUUUAUAUAUAUAUAUAUAUAUAUAUAUAUAUAUAUAUAUAUAUAUAUAUAUAUAUAUAUAUAUAAUGUACCUGGAAAAAAUAAUCUUCCAUUAGUGAGACAGACAAAUAUAACCUUAUUUCCAUAGAGCCUGCAAAAACCUAACUAUCCAGUCAAUAUUUUAUAUUUCCAUAGUUUUUCUGACAAACCAACUUCUUUAAUAUAUUUUUCAAAAGUUUUCAAAUAAGUUAUAUAACAUAUCAUAAUAUUCAAGGUUUUCCAAGAGGAAAUUUAAAAAUUGUUAUUUUGACAAGAUAAGUGCUACAUAAUUGUGUGGUCUAUACCGACUAAUGAGUCAAGGCAUCGUGACUAUGUCGUAACAAAAAAGGUAAAGAAAAACAAGUCAUUAUCAUAGCAUUAUUUGAAGUUGAAGAAUAUUACGUAGUGUGAUAUGAUUUAUUUAUGACUGUUUUGGUUGUUUCCGUUGCGUUUUAUGAAUGGAAGAUCAAAUAGCUAGCUAUAAAAAGACCCUAAACAGAUAACAACCUAUUGGUAAUUUUUUUUUGUUUUAGGCUAUUCAAUUAGAUAUAGGCUCAUAUAUGUAGAUUUUAUAAGUUUAAGCCACAAAAAAUAUAUUUUUAUUAAAACAAUAAAAAGAUAUUGCCGUAGUGUUUAUACGAGAAAUGGCGCAUAGUGAGGUGCUCGAUCGAGUCUCUAUCAAUUUGCUUUUGAUGUGUGCAAAGGAAAAGAAAAGAGAAAAGAGGAAAGUUACAAAGUGAAUGCUUAGAUACUUAUAUCUUAAGUAAAUCCUUGUGUCUUUAUAAUAAAGUUGGAUAAAGACACAUUAACACUCAUCUUAUUUUUUUAAUUCCCUGAGUAUUUAACUCAAUUAGAUACUUAAAGAUUUAAAUUUGAGGCUGUUAUUAGUUAAAUUAAAAUAAUUUCACAUAAAUUGAUUCAAACACAUAUUAUUUGACAUCUUAAGAGAAAAAGAAAAAAAAAUGAAAUGUAAACAAGAUAAAUUAUAUGAUAUGAUAAGAAAGAAAAGACAAAAAUAAAUUGAAGAUGUCAAAUAAAUAUCCAUGUAUCAUUAUUAAUUAAGUUUCAAAAUCAAAGACUGAUACAUGAUUUUUUUUUUAAAAUUCAAAAUAUAUCUCAGUGAAAACUAUUUAAUGUUUAAAAUAACAUUCAUAUAUCAAUGUUUUAUUUGAGCACUAGUUGUUUUGAAUUUAUUUUUGGCAUCUCUCUCAUUUCCUUUUUCUUGAUCACUGCUUCCUUUUUCCCAUUUAUUUUCCCGACAAAACAAUUUUAGUACAACACAUCCUACAUGCACCAUCUAAAGGCUCUCUCACAAACCCAGUCUAAUUAAGGACAAAUUAAUACGGAGAAAUUAAUUAGUUCUCGACUACUACUGUAUAUUUAUAAUAUUGAUUAAUCUUUACCAAACAUGAUACGUAUUAAAGUUUUUUAAUUUAAGAAAAAAUUAAUAAUGCUAAAUUGUAAACACUCUUAGAUUGCUUAAUAAUUUAUUCUCUUAAAAAAUUAUUAGAUGUCCAAAACCAUCCUAGACUCUAUUAAAACAAGGCCACUUAUAUAAUAAAAACAUAAUAUACAAGACUAUUAAUUUUUUUAUUAUUAAUUAAAAAACCUGAAUAUAUAUAUAUAUAUAUAUAUAUAUAUAUAUAUAUUAUCGGUAAAUAUUAUUAGUUUUUGUUAACAGAGAAAAUCAAAUUUAUGACUUUUUUUUUUCUUUUUCCAUCUCCCAUAAUCUUCUAAUUCAUCUUAUAUUUUCAAAAUUCUGAAAAGGUAUCAUACAAAUUGAUUCAGGCCAUAGAGAUGUAGUGAUCCGAAACUACUUAAUAUAUAGUUUCUUCCACACUCACGGCACUCAAAUAUUUCAUUUCCUCACACAUAGACUGCACCUCCCCCCUCACACACUCACACACUCACUCAUUCACAACACCACACUGACUUAUUCAUAUUCAUCCGUCACAUGAAAGGCAAUGGCAAGCACACACACAAGUUACACAGCAAAUCCAAACUCUUCAGUGGCCUUAUUUGCACCAUGCAACCAUAAUAUCCACCCAUUAUAGAUCUUAUAGACAAUAGCAUAUAUAGCCACACCAUAUGCAUUAUGAAUCCAUGGAACAAUCAUAUAUCAUUCGUGAAAAAAAAGUAAAACAAGUCUUCAAAGCUUUUCCCAACCAUAGAACUUCUCAACCAAGUCUUUAAACCUUCACGUGAAUCUGUCAUCAAGACAGCCCCUAAAUUAAGCUUGAGCCAUCUGUGUCAUACACGUAUAAGAGGUCACGCAUGGUUUACAUCAAGUAAGAAAAGAAGCUAUCAUAAAGAUAUUACUUCUAUUUUUUGUUGUUGAAUAAGUCUAGGGUAUAAUAUAUUGUUGAUUUCUCAAAAUAGUUGAGAACGAUAGUUUUAGUUCUUAUUAAAAUUUAAUAUGUUUUUAUUCUUUAUAUUUAUUAAAAGUGACAUGAUUUUAAUUCUUUCAUCAUGAACUAAAAACACAUACAUCUGAAUAAAUAUAAGAACUAAUAACACACACACACACACACACACACACACACACAUAUAUAUAUAUAUAUAUAUAUAUAUAUAUAUAUAUAUAUAUAUAUAAUUCUAUUUGUAUUUUAUCUCUUGCUUGGUUGUCGUGGUAAAGGCGUAAGGCAUAGCCGCAUGGAUAUGAACUUAUCAUAGGGCUCCAUUGAAUCAGAUCAGUUUAAACUUAAAGCUUUUGAAAAUUAUUAUUAAAAAAAUGAAGUUUUGAGGACAUCAAAAUUACGUCACUGAAAGAGAAUAAUGACUUCUUUUAACUUUUUUUUUUCCCUGUUGUAAACUUAGGAUUUUCAAAACCCGAGUUCCAAAUUUGCAAUGGUUUCUUGUUUUUGAUUCGUAAGUGGAUUACACAAAUUUCAUUUUGACGCAAACUGUUGGAUUAUUUUAAUAUUAUGUUCUAGUUGUAAUUAAAAGCCAUUAGGAUUAAUUUAGAAAACUAAGAAUAAAUCUAUAAUAAAUUUCUCUUAUCUUUUCAAAAUACUCAUUAGUCUUUUUAAAAAAAACCCACACCGAAUAGUAUUUUUUAGCCAUAAAAAAAAUAAGGGAACGAAAGACUGAGGGAGGAAAGCCAUUUUAAUUAAAAAAAUAGAAAAUGAAAAAAAUAAAUUGAAAACACAAGAAAAAUAUCGGGCCAGAAAAUAAAUAUGAAUUAUAAUAAUCAAGAGCUUCAUGCAUGCUUAGUAGUUUUCUGUGCAUUAAAGAACUCUAGAGAAAUUAUGUGUUAUGAUCUAUUCUUACAAAAACAUAUGCCAUAGCCUGUGAACGGGAUCCGUGUUCAUGGUCUCUUGUAUAUGCUUUUGUUCUUUAAUUGUUAAUAAUUAAGAACACAUGCCGUAGUGCAAGUUUAAAUCAUAAAGAGUUAUGGAUACCCAUAAUAUUCUAAGAGAUAUAAAAUAAAGAAAUAAUUAAGUUUUUCAUAUUUGAAAUAUAGUUUAUUUUUAAAAAAUUACUUAACAUUCUUUUUUUUCUCUCUAAUACCUAAAAAAAUUUUGCAUUUCAUUUUAGUACUUGUCGUUAGUCCACAUCCAUUAAAUAAUGAUAUAGCAAACGGAGUAUCACGUCAUCACACCUAAUUACUAAACACAUAUGCACAAACAUUCACAUCAUUAAUUUUUGUUUUUGUUUUUUUAAUAUUAAAAAAUGAAAGCCAAAAAGGAGAGGGGGAGUCGUCCGUGGUGGUGUGGGAGGCGCGGCCACCACCGUCUUGGACACUCUUUGGAACUUCACCUUCGUCGCCGCCAUCGUCACCAUCUUCUUGAGCUAUCCACUGGAUAGGGUCCAUCGUCAAGCGAUGAUUUCCCACAGAACAAAAAAUCUGCUAUGCUUCACUUUCUUGCUUUUGCAUUUUCUUGUGGAAAAAAAAUCCUCACAACAAAAAUAGGUUGUCCUUUUCUUUGAUCUACCAAAGCUUUAAAUUUUCCUUAGGUGCGUACUUCAAAUUCUUCUUCUCCUACUCCUAACUGCUCCUUUUUUUUUUUUUUCAAAUUCUCUGUGCGUUUCUAAGGAUUUUGCAUGUUUUGUUCUUCUCUUUGCUGUGUGUUUUGACUUUUAUUGUUUGCGUGUGUGGCAGUUUGGUUUGUUUGUGAGUUUGGAGUGUGAUGCCACCAUCGGCGGUGAUCACGGAGGAGGAGGGGCAGAGCAAAGAUGUCUUCACUGAUAUUGAACUCGCGGAAGUUGAAUUGCCAGAUUUAGGGGCUCUCUGUGCCCCAGGUAAGGAGGUUCCUGUAGUUAUACUCGUCCACGAUUUCACAUAUCAACGCGAACUCCUCCUUGAGGUUAUCAUUCCAAACUUCCUUGAUUUGAACCGAAUCGCCUUUUGGUAAAAUCAACAUAUCAAACGAACAAAUCUGAGUAGCAAAGUGAGAAUCACAAUCAAACCCCCCAUAUCUGUAACAAAAACAUGCGGAAACAAUUCAGAUCUCAAAACCUAACAAAUCCAAAACAAAAAUCGAUGAUAUUUCAUUGAACGAGGAAACAAAUAUAAACAAAAUCAACAAGCCGCGAUACAUAAAGAGGAUUUGAGUGAGUAGAGCUUCGAAUCGGGGGCAUGCAAUCAAGCUUCGUAUCGACGACGACGACAACAACGAAGGCAGAGUUCCAGAGAGUGUCCAAGACAGUGGUGGUCGCCGCCUCCCGCACUAUAACAUCCCAAUUUCGUGAAUUAAAUUAAAAAGGUUUUUCAUUUAAAAUAGAGUUUUAGAAAAAAAAAUGAUGAGGUUUUUGUAAUUAAAUAAAUAAGGAGAAAUAACUUUAUUAAAAUAAUGGUUUGAAGGAAAAUAAAAAGGAUAUUUGAUUUAUUCAUUUGAUAGGAAAUAACAUAGAGUAUUUGUUAAUAAAAUAAUAAAAAUAAAAAAUAGAGUAAAUAAUAAGCUAAGAGUACCUAGCUAUAAAUAAAGACAUGCUAGGUUAUUUUUCAGACUGACGGUAGUCUCUGUGGUUUCUCUUCCUUUCAGUUUCUUUUUUCUUUCUCCUCCUCCCAAAACUAUUUUUCCCGCAUACACUCAAGCCUAUCUCAAUAAAAUUAUGAUCUCGGACUCGUUAAACGUUGGAUCAUUGUGAAAUUUGAGUACUAGGUUUAGAACUUAAUUCCAAAUAUUCUCACCGUUGGAAUUUGCGAAACUAUAUUGGAGCUGAGAGAAACUCCCUUCGUAUUUUAGCUUUCUCUUUUCCCGCAGAGACCCGAAACCUAUCCCGGUAAAACUAUUAUCCUGGACUAGUUAACCGUUGGAUCAUUGUGAAAUUUGAACACCAAGUUUGAAAUACAUUUCCGCAUAUCUUCACCAUCGGGAUUUGCAAAAUGAUUUCUGGGGAGGGAGAAACACUCAUUGCACGUAGACAGUGGAAUGAAGGAUUCAAAUUCUUUUCCUUCUCUCUAAUAUUUGGAAACCUUAUCAGAACAACCAGAGAAAAAGCUUGAGGAAUCUCAGGAAAUUGUUAGAGAUUCCACUAUUGCUGUCAGAAUACACACGUGAGCCCGCUUAGAGGUAAGGGAUGAGUUAUUCAUAAUUGGAGAGUAGUGAGAACAUGUGUAGGGAUCCUUAGAGUAUCAAUUGGAAUGAGUUUUUAGGUUGUUUUUGCAAAUUUUGAUUCUAUCUUUACAAUUGUAACUGUGAAUUAUAUAUUUUUUUACGAACCAAUUGAUGUUCCAAUUAGAAAUUGCUGUGAAAUUCAUGUGUUCUUGUGUUGAGUGUGAACCUUAAAAAUUGAGUUCUUUUUAUUAACGUAAAUUAUACUCUAAAUAAUAUUCUUUUAACGGCUUAUUUUAUACAAAUUAUUAUCUUGUUCUGUAUUUUUCCACAACGAUAAUCAACAUGUUAUGUGUUUAUAUAUAUAUAUAUUGUAAUACAAAAAUAAUAAAUUAAAGAAAGUUGUAAAGGUUAAUGUCUAGUAGUAAUUUCUUUUGAUGUAAUCUUAAAUUAAUUGUUAUAGAAAUUCUUUUUGAUUGAAAAUAAUAUAGUUUGAUUUAAUAUAUAUAUAUAUAUAUAUAUAUAUAUAUAUAUAUAUAUAUAUAUAUAUAUGUUUUGUGUCAUGCAAAUAUUAUUAUUGUGUGAAUAUAUAUAUAUAUAUAUAUAUAUAUAUAUAUAUAUAUAUAUAUAUAUAUAUGUUUUGUGUCAUGCAAAUAUUAUUAUUGUGUGAUGUGUAUAUGAGUUAUGAGACGUGAUAAAUUAUUAUAAUAAUAUUAUAAUAUUAUUGUUGAGAUCAAGUAUAAGUGUAAAGUUAGACAUGUGUUACUUUGUGAAAUACACAUGAACAUGUGAUGGUGGAUUAUGAUAUUAUGAGAUGUUAAGUUGUGGUCAUGAGAUUUGGUUGUGAAUAAGUGUGUGUUUAACACUUGAUGUGAUAGUAUUUGUGUUGUGAGCUAUGAAUUAUACAAUAACCCAAUCAGUGUUUACCUUGAGAAAAAGUGUUUAUGCGUAGUGUUAAAGGAAAAGUGUAGGUUUCCUAGUUAGGAACCAAUGUUAAAUUGUAGCGCAAUGUGUUAAACGUGUUUGAAACAUGAGCGUGAGGUCAUGAAUAUUGUAUAAUUCAUGAGCAAUGUCUGCAUGCAAAAAUUGUUUUAGGGGUUGAAACUGAAUCAGGAAGGUGAGGCCCUAACGGAUUCUUCGUAGUCUAGGCCUUGAGGGUAAAGACACUCAGUUUGAGUGCUCCUUUAAGCCUAUAUUGAUCUCAUAUGGUUGGAGCAUUCUCACAAAACAGAGUUAUCCUGACUGGUCACCUUAUGAUUUUACUUAGUGAGAGUGACCUGACAUACCCAUUGUAUGGUGUGACUUGUUUGUACUCCUAAGUGCCCCGGGGUGGUUUUUCACUGACAUGGUACCACAUUGCAUAUAGACUUGAGUCUUAGCAUAACUAUUGCAUAACGCUUGCUAAUUGUUUACUAUGAAAUUGAUGAGUGUUAUUAUGUCUUGAUCAGAGUAUGUGAUUCAUGUGUAAUGUGAUUGAUGAUUGAAAAGUGAAUUUUAAAUGACAAAGUGGUGGAAUUACGUGAGUUAUGUUUAAAUAAGUUAUAUCUCAUUUAUAUGAUAUGUAUAUCUAGUUGUCUUGUUUCUCUAUUAGUUAGAAAUGUGAUAACUCACUCCUCGUGUGUUGUUUGUGUUUGAAUCUUGUGAUGAUCUCGAACUUUGUGUUCGGGGGAACAUAUGACUAGGUGGAUUGCUUUAAGGAACCUUAUGCUGAAGGAUGUCGGGACACAAUACUCUGAUAGGACGUGACAUCACGGCAUAAGUUUCUAUAUUAAUUGCAUGAAGUCUUGAACGACCUUGUUUUAAGUCGAGAUAUUUUCGUAUUUAUUGGACAAGUCAUUUUAUGAUGUUAGAAAAGUAAAUGUGAGCCUUUUACAAUUUUGAAAUGCUUUUAUUUAAAUGUGCUUUAAAAACUUUUAAUUAAUUCUAAAUUCUUAUUUCUUUUAUUAUUAGUACAUAUAUGUAUGGGGUAGAGGGUGUCACACGUACCGCCACGAACGACUCUCCCUCUCUUUUUUGGCUUUCAUUUUUUUAAAAUAAAAUAAAAAAAAAUUAAUGAUGUGGAUGUCCGUGCCUACAUGUUUAGUGACUAGGCGUGAUGACGUGACACUCUAUCUGCCACUUCAUCACUCAAUAGAUGUGGACUAACAACUGGUACGAAAAUGAAACGCAAAAAUUUUCCUAGUAAAAAUGAUAAUAUUAGGUAGUUUUUUUAAAAAUGGAUUAUAUUCAAGGUAUGAAAAACUUAAUUAAGUCUAAAAUAAACUAUCCUUUUUGUUAUUGUAAAAUAAAAAUUUGAAGACCAUCUAAUUCACCUCAUAAUCAGUUUCAAGUCCAACCAAUUCUAUUCAUCCAUGCUUCACUCAGGUUCUUUUGAGACCUUUUAAGAAAAAGAAAAAGGAAAUGACGAGGCCCUUAUUUAGAUGUAAUAGAGGUGUUUAAAAUUAAAAAAAAAGAUCGUCAGCAAAAAAUUGAAAUGAAUGUGCAUGCAAAGUUAAAACCUAAAAGAUUAAUCGAUCAAUGAUGGAACACCCAAAUAGUCGUAUUUUAGUUUCUGCCAAGCUCCAAAGGGAAAAAGCAUUUUGUAAAAUCAGUCAAUAAGUUAGUAGAUAAAUAUAAAUUGACACAAAAAAAUAUAUGUAGGUAUUUGAGGUAAAAAGUGAUUAAAAAAACGAGUGAGAAUAAAAGAAAGCUACUAACUUAUAAACUAGAGCUUAUUUUCGUAAGUUAAUUGAUACAGUUUAUGAAAAUAAACUACAAGUUAAUAAAAUAAACUUAAACUUGUGUACUAAACAAACUUAUAAGUUGAUUAAAGUAAUUUGUAAGCUAUUAGAGUAUCAUACGAAAACAUUUAGUAUUCAUUCAGAGUCGCAAGUUGCUAGUUUUGGAACUUGUAUUUAGAAGUUUCUCUCGGUGCUUUAAAAAUUUGGAGGUAUUUAUGGUCUCAGAUUAAGACUUGUCACUUCAUAUUAAUUUUUGCUUAAUAAUUGCAUGUUGUUCCUUUCCUUUAUUUCAUUUUUGUCAUAUAACUAGUUACACUAUUAGAAAAUACACCUUCUACAUCAGUUAUUUAAGACCUUUUACAUUGGUUUUUAACCGAUGUUGAAAGUAUUAUCGUUAACAUUGGUUUUACAAAACCGAUGUUAACGUAAAAUUGACAACAUUGGUUAUCUAAAUAACCAAUGUUAUAUAAUAAGAAUUACACCAAAAAAGUGUAUGAAUGUUGAUAGGUGACAUUGAUUUUUCCACAAAACCGAUGUUAACUUAUAUAUUAACAUUAAGACCUUUUACAUUGGUUUUUAACCGAUGUUGAAAGUAUUAUCGUUAACAUUGGUUUUACAAAACCGAUGUUAACGUAAAAUUGACAACAUUGGUUAUCUAAAUAAUCUAUAAGUUAACAUCGGUUUUUACAAAAACCCGAUGUUAACGUGUAGAUUAACAUUGAUUUUUCCACAAAACCGAUGUUAAGUUACACAAACAACAUCAGUUUAUAGAAUCCACAACUGUAUAACAAAUAUGCUGAGACAUUGACCACCAUGUGCAAUUUUGGAGAGAUCUUCGUGCUUGAUGUACAAUGGGAAGUCUGGAUUAAACACCCCGAACACGGUAGCAUCCCACAUAACCUAGAGAGGCUUCAAGAAAAGCUGUGGGAUGGUCAAUGUCAUCAAAUACAGGGGAUCAUUGACCUCAGGAUCCGGCCUAUCUGGAGGCUUUGAUGGAGACACAGUUGCCUGUUUAUCAAACAUAGUGAAAUAACAUAAUUUAAUUACAGUGAACAAAUCAACUGAAAAAAGCAUAUAAUCAUAGUAAAAUACUUGUUCUAAUACACGCUUCACGAGAUAUGUCGGCCAAGCAAGGAAAGUGUUCAGUGCCUGCCCCACUAGUUGAACCUCGUCAAUGGGUACAGGAACGGGAGCCUCUGCAUCUUUAACCUUCUCAACACCAACCUUCACGUGGCCAUGCAACAAAGGGAUGUUGUGAACAACUGUGGAUCCCUCAUAAACUUUUCCUAGGACAACCAGGCGGGAAGGAUUUUCUUCGAUGUACAGCCCGCAUUUGUCUGAGUCACCCGUCUUUGGAUCGGUCGGUGAGGGAUCAACGCAACUCCCUUUUGUGCUAACACAGGCAGCUAGGGGACCAACCUCAGGCUCCAGAGGCAGUGCAAGUCCCUGUGAUUGCAUCUGUGACUGAAGCUAGGACUACAUCUAGUUGAAGGAUGCCAUGAGCUGCCAAGUCACUUUUUCUGUGAUUGACUCCUCCAACUGGUCCCUGAUUUGUUGAGUGAGCUGCUCAAGUUCUUUGGGAGGGAUGAAGGAGGAAUUGCGGGAGCUUUGUAGAGUGGAGCCGAAGUAUUGCUUAAUGGUGACACCGGCUCUAGCAGCAUGCACACGGCCAGGGUGUUCUGGUCACCCAAUGGUAGCAAUCAAGACAUCCUGACGACCAUGGGGGACAAACGAACCCUGUGACGCCUGCUCCUCCAAAGAAUCUUGUACGUAACACAUAUAUUUGUCCAAGGCAUUCACAUAAUAAACAAACAUAAUUACAAUUCUUAAUUUACAUUUGACUUACAAUCUUCUCAGCGAUUUCCUUUGCGGCCUCAGAUGUCAUCUACCCAGUUUUCUUGGUGUGAGCCAUCUUCUACUUCACGUGUCGUCUGAUGGGAGAUGGAGGGUUAAUGACGCCCUUAGUGCUUCCGGACUGAGCAGCUUCCUCUAGUUUUUUCUUUGUCUUCUCAACCAUUAGCUUCUAUUCUAAAUAAUCAUAACCCCCACAAGACAACACGUGGGGGGUGGUGUUUUGCUUCUAGAUGGCCCGUGCUUUUUUCCGCACAUCCAGCAAAAUUCAAACAUUAAUCAAAAUGAUUUCUACAAUCUAUUAUAAGAACUGAAUUUUUAGUGGAAACAAUUCAAAUUACAAAGUACAUACCUCCCAUGAGGGAUCUCGGCGGGUCUGACAAAACCGGACCCAUUUCUCCUUGCUAAUGUCGUACUUUCACAAAUAGUGUCGUCCACACCGUCCUUGUUGGCUGCAAGUGCCCAUUUCCUGGUCAAAUCGGAUUUAAACUGCCUCCACUGCUUGCCCACCGUCUGAAGACUUUCUUCUUUGUCCUACUGUCAGAAGAUUCAGGGAUUUCAAAUUCCACUUGACAAACAAUAAAUUAGGUUUUAUUGUUAGUAAAUUAUAAAUUUUGGCUACUAAACAAAAUCAAAGAAGAAAACAAACAUACCUGAAUAUCCUCCCAUAUCAAAUCCUUCUGAGCCGCAGGGACUUCCUUCCAGGUCUCGUAUGUCACGUCGACCUUAUCACGAGCGACAAUCCCCAAAUAUGUUCUUAAUUUCUACUUUUAGGGACCGUCGGCCUUGCCAGUCGCAGGAUCAACGUGGACCACUGGUCUGCACACCGGUGUUGCUGUCAACCCAUUUACAUUUGAAAACACACACAGUAAAUUUGACAUAGUUAAGCUCCCAAAUUUCAUUAAUGAACCCAAAGUAAGGGAUGGAAGCUACACAGGGAUUGUCAUCAUGCACACUUGCGAAGUGCUGACAUUCAGCCCUUAGGGUGACCUCGCUGUUUUGCAUUGUACUUUUGUCGUCUUGUGCUUUUGUGAAAAAGGAAUACUUGUUUAUGUUGUAUCCUUGCCAAGUUAUAACAUUUCUUUUAGGCCCAUCUGCUAGCUUUCUAAAUGUUUAUGAAGCAUUUUCAUCAACAAAGAUUGUAUCUUUAAACCAAUCAGAGAAAGUCUUGUUAUGCUUUUUCAAAACCCAAUUCUUUGACAUUUUUGGAUUAUUUUGUUUGACUAAAGCUUCAUGCUGAAGUGUGUAUGACAAAACUUCAUUACUGUUGUUCAACACAUACAAGUGAGCUUGUAAUAAAUCUUCUACACUUGGAGUGAUAACAUGCAGUCCUCUUGAACCCUUACCACCCACUCUGUCGUUAUGACGAGACUUAGAAAGGCCAAUAGGUUUAGCCUUUUCAAUGUACUCUGAACAAAAUUCAAUGGCUUCUUCUGCAAUGUACCUUUCAACAAUAGAUGCUUCUGGAUGAUGUAGAUUCUUGGUAUACCCUUUUAAGAUCUUCAUGUAUCGCUCAACCAGGUACAUCCACCGCAACUAAACAGGACCACAACAUUUGAUUUCUCUGACCAGAUGAACAAUUAAGUGAAUUAUGAUGUCAAAGAAAGCAGGAGGAAAAUACAUCUCCAACUGGCACAGUAUAAUUGCAGCCUCAUUUUCCAAGUCAUCAAACUUGACAGGAUCAAGGACUUUGCUACAUAUGGCAUUGAAGAAAAAGAACAGGCGAGUUAUGACUAACCUGACUUUGUUAGGCAAAAUGUCUCGUAGGGUCACGACUAACAAUUGUUGCAUCAACAUGUGACAAUCAUGAGACUUUAACCCUACUAGCUUAAGCUCCUUCAACUGCACAAGGCUCUUAAUAUUUGAAGAGUAUCCUUAUGGGACUUUCACCCGACGCAGACAUUGACAAAAACUUAUCUUCUCCUUUCUGGACAAAGUAUGACAAGCUGGAGGCAAAUAUAUUUUUUUCCAUCAGACCUUGGAUGCAACUGCAAUCGUAUACCCAUGUCAGCUAGAUCAUUAUGGGUAUUCAAACCAUCUUUCCUCUAGCCUUGAAUGUUAAGGAGCGUCCCAAUGACAUUGUCACAUACAUUUUUCUACACAUGCAUAACAUCAAUACAAUGUCUAAUAUCUAGAUUAGACCAGUACGGAAGAUCAAAGAAAAUGGACCUCUUCUUCCAUAUGCAAGUCUUACUUUUAUCCUUCUUUUUCGUGCUCUUGACUUCUAUUAAAUGCUUUUUUCAAUCGCCUGUAAGGGUGAUGAGGUUUUAGAAAACGUCGAUGCCUAGUGUAAACUGUUUUUCUACCAUGUUUUAGUUGUAUGUAGCUUGUGUCUUCUUCACAGAUGGGGCAUGCAUAAUGACCCUUAACAUUGUAACCGCUCAGAUUCCCAUAUGCUGGAAAGUCAUUAAUGCUACAAAAAAACAUUGCACGCAUUUCAAAAGUCUCAUUGCGAAACCCAUCAAACACUAAAACCCCCUCCUCCCAAACCUUUCUCAGGUCUUCAAUCAACGGACUUAGAUAAACAUCAAUGUCAUUUCCUGGCUGUCUUGGGCCCGAUAUUAUCAUAGACAACAUCAUGUAUUUUCGCUUCAUGCACAACCAAGGAGACAAAUUGUAAAUUACCAGUAGAACUGGCCAUGAACUGUGUUGAGUGCUUAAAUUGCCAUAUGGAUUCAUUCCAUCACUGGCUAAUCCUAGCCUAAGAUUUCUUGCCUCUUUGCCAAAAUCCGGAUACAAACCAUCAAUCUUCUUCCACUGGGAGCAAUCAGCUGGAUGAUAGACCAUUCCAUCAGAGUUUCUCCCAUUUGCAUGCCAGGUCAGGUCUUUUGCGUCGUCUCCAUUUGCAAAAAGACGCUUAAACCUUGGAAUGAUGGGAAGAUACCACAACACCUUUGCUAGAGGGCCCUUCUUUGAGUUUUCAUCAGAACUACAGUCCUCAUCAUCCUUCACCUUGUGCCGUGACGCCCCACACGUAGGGCAUUUGGACAUUUCUUCGAAUUCAUGCCUGUACAGUAUUUAAUCAUUCAGGCAAGCAUAAAUCUUCUGAUACUCCAUACCCAUCAGACACAAUAUCUUCUUGGCCUGAUAGUAACUUUUAGGCAACGUGUUUUCCUCUGGAAGCAGCUCAUGAACUACUUGAAGCAGUGAAGUAAAGCUUUUGUCCCUCCACCUAUAUCUGGCCUUGACAUUAACCAAACUUAACACCACCGACAACAACGUCAAGGAAUUCUUGCACCCCGUAUAUAGAGGCUUCUGUGAAGCAUUUUGCAAUCCUUCAUACAUAGGGGCAUGUGCUUGCUAAAAAGACUCUUGCCCAAGGUCACGAAUCAUAUCCUCCAAACGAUCUCCCAUUUCUACAUCAAACGGUUUAGAUUGGGACCCACUCUACAUGUCUAUCAAUUCACCAUGCCAUAUCCAUGUUGUGUAAUUCUUCUUAAUCCCAUUACACAAUAGAUGCUCUCGUAUGUCGUCCAGUAGUUGUCGUCUUCCGUUCAAACAAUUGAUGCAAGGACAAUAAUAUUUUCCAUCUUCAUCCGGUCAACCUCUUUCUGAAGAAAAUUGCAAGAACUGCUCGACGCCUUCCUCAUAUUCUAGGCUGAUGCGACUUUCAUUCAUCCAACUUUGAUCCAUCUAAGUAAUAACUCCGUGAUGCUCACAAAGUUAUUCAAUGCAUGAAAAUCUCACUUUUUUAUUAUAGGUGUGGCCCUAUCCGAUUCAGGAGGACAGUCUUUUAUGGUAGCUUCAUACGUCAGGGGUAAUUCUAUUUUGUUAAAUUUGACAAAAUUUUGGCAGCAUUUCGCAUUGGUCUCCAAGUACACGAUAUGAAAUUAAUUUCUUGAUAAUCAAGUAUGGACUCAGAGAACAACUCGAAAUGCAUUGUACAGAAAUUUCAUCAAAUUAAACAAAAUAAUGUUAACCUUAACGCAUGAAUCUACCAUAAAAAUAUCAGUCUCUCCAAACUGUCCAAACAAACAAUUCAAGAUUGAAUACAAUGAUUAAUGCAAACUGUCCGCAAGAAUCAUUGCAUUCAGUCUCAAACGGGAAUCUAAGGUUCACUCAUCAUGAACACAAUUUGUAUAGCAUAUAUCAAUUGUCAUUAAUGACAAUGAACAAGUAAUAAAAAUAUUAAUUGGUAACAAACAUUUGUACCUGUGAUGAUGAACAACACGGUCCUAAAUGAAAGCAAGAAUCAAAGAUAUAACUCAAUGACCACCUACGUCAAUCAGCAAACUGAUAUAAAUAUGUGACAAUGAGUAGGCUUAAAGUUUAAAUUUGCUUUAAGUGCUUCAUCAAAUGAGUAGGUUGUGUGUGUGUGUGUGUGUGUGUGUGUGUGUGUAAAUAUGUGACAAUGAGUAGGCUUAAAGUUUAAAUUUGCUUUAAGUGCUUCAUCAAAUGAAUAGGUUGUGUGUGUGUGUGUAAAUAUGUGACAAUGAGUAGGCUUAAAGUUUAAAUUUGCUUUAAGUGCUUCAUCAAAUGAGUAGGUUGUGUGUGUGUGUGUAAAUAUAUGACAAUGAGUAGGCUUAAAGUUUAAAUUUGCUUUAAGUGCUUCAUCAAAUGAGUAGGUUGUGUGUGUGUGUGUGUGUGUGUGUGUGAAAGUUGCAAUCUUAGAUUUAUAAUGCUCUAAAAUCUGAUAGGAAUAUAGAUAAAGCUGUAUUGUUGACAGCUGUGUAACUUACUUAACAGCUUGCUGCUAAUUAAUAGUAAAUAUUAUAGAGAUUCAAACCUAGCUUCAGCUUUCACAAUGGUGACAAGGGCUUCCCAAAAGCAAGCAGUAGAGGUACUCCCUAUGCCUUGCAGCUAAAGCAGUUGCAGAGAAGCAAGCAAAAGCCAAAAUAGUUGCCACAAAUGCACUAAUGAUAAGGCUGCAGAAUGAAGAAAAAUGACAAAACAUCAUUCAAAACUCAACACUAGUCACAGAAGCAACUGGCCAUUAAUCACAAAGCAAUUAACUCAACAAAUACCCCAAUCACAAAUCAAUCAUUUUCCCCUUUCCUAACAACAACUACUUUCUGGUUUCCUCAUUAAGUCCUUCUUUCCUUAUAAUUGACAAACUUGAUUCACUAAAUGCAUGCAAUCUACUCUUUAAAGGUUUAGUUUGAUUUCUCACAUUCAAUUAGUUUUUUGUGAUCUACUCACAAAACCUUAGAAUAUGCUUUCCCUGGUCACAAAGAGUUUGAAACAAUGUCCAUUUAUGUUAAUGAUGUUAUCCUAGUUAUAGGUCCAUCUUAUCUAAACCACAGGAUUGGUAAUUUGAGUAAAUUACGCAGUAAAACUACAAAACUGGAUCAAUCAAUAGAGAGAACCAUGCUCAAGUUGCAAUGAAUGAAGAUAAUACGAAGACAAUGCUAAUGGUACAUAGACUUCUUGCUUAUGAGUAAAUGGCUAAUGGUUCAUUGGAUAAAUGGAUAUUCAACAAGAACAAAGAGGAGUUUAUGUUGGAUUGGGAUACAAGGUAUAACAUAGCACUUGGAACAGCAAAAGGACUUGCUUAUCUACAUGAAGAUUGUGAGUCAAACAUUAUUCAUUGUGACAUCAAACCAGAAAACGUGCUCCUAGAUGAUAAUUUCAGGGUCAAGGUUUUUGAUUUUGGUUUGGCUAAGCUCAUGACACGUGAACAAAGGCAUGUGUUCGCAACACUUAGAGGCACUACAGUGUAUCUUGCACCUGAGUGGAUCACAAACUGUGCCAUAUCAGAGAAAAGUGAUGUUUAUAGCUAUGGUAUGGUGUUGGUAGAGAUCAUUAAGGGGAGGAAAAACUAUGAUCCCAGUGAAACUUCAGAGAAAUCCUAUUUCCCAUCUUUUGCUUUUAAGAUGGUGGAAGAAGGGAAUGUGACAGAGAUUCUUGACUCAAAGGUGGAAACUUAUGAAAAUGAUCAAAGGGUUCACAUUUCUGUGAAUGUUUCAUUGUGGUCCUAAUCAUAAAUAUUGCUCUAAUUAUAAAUAUUGCUUUAAGUAGAGACAUGGUCCUAAUCUCUUACAUAGACUAUGACAUCCUAAGCCUAGGAGUACCACCAAAGACAAACUUUAAGGCAAUCCUUACUUCUCAUAUAGUUUUUAUUUCAUUUUUAGUGAAUUCAAUUUAUAGUAACAGCUAACAAGGUUUUAGGCUAAGCAAUCCAAAACAAAAUGGGAUAAAUACCUUGGUCUUCAGAUUUCACCUCAAUAAACACAGCUGAUGCUUCACGUGGUUGCAACUUUUGAACCAUCUCUGCAGCUACUUCCUACAAGAAACAACACAGAUUAUAGACAAUUGUUAAAUAUAUAUUGUAGACAACUAUAUUGUGUACACAACUGUGUAGGUAAAAGGCUAUUUUGAGUGUGUGUGUGUGUGUGUGUUAGGUUGAGUGUGUAUACAACUUUAUGUGUUGUCAUGUUGAGUGUGUGGGAAGCUGAGUAUCUAAUCCUUAUCCAAAGGUAGCCUUCCCCUCUCUCUCUCUCUCUCUCUCUCUUUCUCUGUACUAUAUGUGUGUGUGUGUGUGUGUGUGUUAAUAAAAAGCUAAUGUAUGCUGAGUGUGACAAUUAUCUCCACUCAUUCAAAUUCAAGUUCUGGAGUAUCUCAAAUCCUUAAGCAAUGUAGUCCUAAAUUUUCAACAACAAUGAUGGGUAAAUAUUAGGAACUAGAAUUAAGUUAGGGCUGAAAUUAACAAUGGGGGGACAGCACAGAUGAUGAUAGCGUAAGUAUAGGAGCAGUAGAAAAAGCAAGGGAUUAUUUUGCACUGAUGAUGGAUAAGUAUGAGAUCGAGCCAUCGUGCAUAAGUAGAAGCACAAGUUUUUGGCAAUUGAACCAAAUGAAGGAAGAAAUCCAAGAAAAAGAAGCAAAGGAAGAAUCUCAGCAAAAGGAAGAAAAGAUGCUGCCAAACCCUACCUGGAAAACUCAAUCAGGUUGCUGCAAAAUCAAUUUGCAAAUCUGGACCUAUAGUUUUUAAGCCACAAACUGCAAAUAUCAUAAGAAAUUAUGCAACCUACAAGCAAAGGAGAAAUGGUAAGACUUUCAUUUUUAGUUGUUCAUGACUCAACUAAAGAAUCAGGAUGCAAAUUUGAUUACACAAAUUGAAUAUAUUUCAGAUUUAGAUCUAGACAGCUAUUCUCCUAUCCUCUAACAUCAAAGAUGUUUAUUCUUUAAGAAAAAGAACAGAAAAAAAGGAAGCGACAACGCCCAAUGCUCUCCCUUAUGUUGUUGGAGAGGCUUGUCUCUACCCAUGUUUACAGCAUGUAAAUUCACAUACCCCUCUUCAGUGACUAGGAAGUUUCUUUAACAACACAGAGAAACAGGUUGAGGAGAAAAGGGCCAAUUGCACCUGAGCAAAUGUUCUAUUCUGUUUGUUACUAUUAUACUUUUCUGAUGUGUAUUCGGUUUAGUAAUAUGUGUAUGAUAUCACAACAUGUCUAUAUUUAUCAAUGUUUCUUGUUGAGUUUGGAGGGAGUUAGGAGGGAAUAGCUUGAUUGAUAUUGCUUGUGGUGUACUGCUUUUUCAGAGCAUUUGGUUAUAAGUAUUUGAAACUAAAAAGGAAGCAUUUGGUUAUAAAGAAGAUAAAAAAAAUUGAAAAUAAAAAGGAAGAGUGCCAUUUAAGUGUUGAAAGCUUCCACAGUGUUGGGUUGUUUUUGGCAGGUAGGAAGAGAAGCAAGUUGCAACAAAUGAUAAUUGGGAGUAAAAAAUUCAAAAAGCAAACUCAAGAAACAUGUUCUAAAUCCUAUGUUAAACCGGAUAGCUCAUUCAUGAACUUGAUUUCAAACAUGAUCAAAGGAUGCUCACAAUCAACUCAAGAUGAGGAAAAGUCUUUGGCUCUUAACCUUGAAAAUCCUAAUCAUCAUCUUCAACAGCCAGAUCAGAAACUUCUCAAGUGCAACAAGAAUAAAUAUUUAGAGCUAAAAAAUGCAGGGUUCAGAUCAAAUUUUUAGUCUAUGGUUGGUGCAAAAUUUAAGAAUGUUGGAACAAGAAUGUCUCAAGUCGGAAAGGCUUCUAAAGAUUUUGAGCCAGGUACCAAGGUACAUGGAAUUGAUGCCACUCCAAUAACCUUCUAUACAAAGAACAAUAGCCUUUACAGACAGUAUUUUCAAUCAAAUAAGUUUGAAAUAUCUGAAGGGAGAUUUGAUGCCUGUCCCCCAUUACAGUCGCAGAUAAGACCUAUAAAUUCUCUCAACAGUCAUCAACACUGGAAAAAUAACUCAACAGAGAAUGAAAAAUUGUUACAACUUGGAGCUAACUAAGGAGAAAGAAGGAAUGGCAUUACUAUCAUUACAUUCACCUUCAACUAAACAAAACAGAAAUGAUAAUGAGAAUGUCAAGUCUUGUGCAAUGUAUGAGAGUAAGGAAAUGUGUCAUAGAAGUGAUAAUGUGGAAGGUCUUUGGAUAAAUCGUUUUUUUUUUACCAAAGUCAACUUCCCCCUUGGUAGUUUUUGAUCACCUUAAUGAGAGAGGUGGUUCUGAAGUUCAUUCUGCGUCAAUAUAGAGGAUUCCACUAUCCUUAAGGAUGAUAAGGGAAAUCAAUAUCACACAGCAAAGAUGAAUAAGUUCAAAUCCUUUACAUAUUUCCCUGGAUUGAGAGCUGCAGGGCCAAUGGUGUCCAUGUUUGCAAGGAGAUUAGGUUCCAUAAAAAAGGAAGCAUUUGGUUAUAAGUAUAAACUGGAUAAUAAUUUAUUAGAGAUAAACUAACUAUAUCUUAAUUAACAAGUAUGAUAACAUAAAGUAUUAGCAAAGCUACAUACGAAUCAAGUGUUGCAGCCAAGGCACAACUUGAGGUAGCCAAAGCUAGAUAUACAACAGUUGUUUCAGAUUUAAUAGGUGUGAAAGAGGAGCUGUAAGCAUUGCACAAAGAACCUAUUUCCUUAGUGACUGAUAGAGAUGUAGCUAUUAAGAAAGCUGGAAAGUAGAUUACUUGCAGCUCAAAAGGUGAAUAUCAAACCAACCAUCAACUUCCAGCUAACAUGUGCUUAUUUAAAACUGUCAACGAAGUAUUGCAGCAUUAAUUUGAUAGAAAUUGAUCAAGAACAAUGAUUACACAGAUAACUUGGCAGUUUUGGCUUACACCAUAGCCAACAUUUUUUUUUCUUUUUUGGGACUUGGGUACAUGAAAAUUUAUGGGGAGGAAAAGUUGUUGCAUUCCAAGUUCAUGACAUAGCACAAGCCAUUUGAAAUGGUACUUAAAGUUACACAUGACAUGCCAAUGGGCCUCAUUUAGAUAAAUUUCUCAACAAACACUUAUAGGAAAAAAAAUAGGAGGUAAAAUGAAUGAAAUUUCUCCCUUAAGUGAAAAUCAACUUGUGCACCUAGCUUAUGGACAAAUUAGAUUAGGGAGCUUCUAAAAAAUUAAUGGGAGAAGUUUAAUUCAAUAAACCUCUUUAUUUUCUUAUCUUAUAAAUGCUUGUUAAAAAGUUUAUUCAAACUGGGCUUAAGUAGAUAAAAUUUGAUCCUACUAGUUGAAGUUAACCCUCAUUAACAGAGUCUACAAUUUUUGCUAAAUAAAGCUACAACUGAAACUACCAAGACAUGUUAAUUGUACCUCAGAGAAAGGAGAUUACUUGCAGUUCAAAAGGAGAUAGAGGCUGCAAAGCCUUCUGAAAAUUUGGCAAUAGCAGCAAUUAAAGCAUUGCAAGAAAAAAAGGGUUCAAAUAAAUAAUAAAAUUACAAACAUUGCUUUCAUUAGUUUCAAUCUGAAUCAUUCAUUCACAAAAUUCAGUUAAGAUUCGCUUUUCUUAAAAUCUCAUUUCUCCCUAGAUAUGCUUUGAUAUACAAGUGUGACUUCAAAGUAGGUUUAAGGGCAUGCAAAUACAUAUCCAAACCCACUCUCACUUCUGCAAAUUGGUAAAACCCAAACUCACUCAGCCAAAGCAUACUUCUCCAUCAAAAUCAGGGCAUUGGAUAUGAGUAGCCAUGGUUUAAAGAUUUAAUAGCCAUACCUAGAUAAAACACUCUGAUUGUAAACUUCUGGUGACUCAGAAAGAGUAUCACUAAUUCCUAUGGAUAACGAGUGUUGUCAACUUUCUGGUACCAUCUUCAAUUCCUAUGGAUAAAAAUAAAAUGCAUAUGCUUGUGAUAUUCUUUUUAGAGAAGAAUGUAUUAGGGCACAUUAACAUUAGGUAUGCAGUUUGUUGCUCAUACAGUUAUUCACAAAUCCAAGUCUCAUGCACAAAAAUCUGGAAUUCUCAUACAGUUUGCUGCUCGUAGAAGUUGAUUUAAACUCAAUUAGAUACAUACCUGGCAGCCACUUGUACCUUUUUGUGAAGAAACUAAUAUGGACUAGUAGGUCCAUACUAGAUCUUAGCCUAAUCGCACCCGCACGAUCAACUAUCCAAUGCCCUACGGGGUGCACCUUUUAUACAAGAACACAGUAAGGGUAAGGGAUAUUGCGUUAAAUAUAAAAUACCCUAGCCAUGUUUACUUCACUAAGUGUGCGAUAGAUGAAUGCAAUCAAAUAUUUAUACAGGAUUAGACGAAACAUACCUAGGUAAGGUGGCGAAGGAGAAGAAGCAGAGAGUUGUGACGAUGCUCAAGCUUAGAUGAAACGAUGCUUAGAUGGAGAACAAAGAGCUUCAAGGUAGAUGGAGAACAAAGAGCUUCAAGGUAGACGAAGAACAGAGACCUUAGAUGGAGAAGAAAAGAGAGCGAAAGCUUAGAUGGAGAAGAUGAGAGCGUGAGCCAUAUCUUAACUUAUCAAACGUUAACAUCGGUUUUGUGAAAACCUGAUGUUAACAAACUUAUGUUAACAAACCGAUGUUAACUAAUUAAUGUUAACAUCAGUUUUCCAAUAACUGAUGUUAAUGUCACUUCAUUAACAUCGGAUUUUCACAAAACCGAUGUUAACGGAUACACAGUAUUUACAAUUAUGCCACCGCGUUUACGUUAACAUCGGUUUUGUUAACAACCAAUGUUAAGCCGCCGAUGUUAAAUAUGCCUUUUGUAGUAGUGUUAAACUAGCUUAACUAUAAGCUACUAUUGAGGGUUUUCUCCUAGCUGCAUCAUUAGGGUUUUUUAGAUCCUAAGGCUUCCAUGUUUGUUUUUCCCAUGUGGUUGUGGCUCUACCUAAGCUGAUUUGCUGCCUUAAUUUGACACCUUCUACCCCGAUAUACAUAUUUAUAUAGUAGAAUACAUGAAAAUGCAAAAUUACAUAAAAUGAUUUUAUUCAAUAAACAUAAAAAAGCUCACGUGGGUAAAAUGUUAACAUUCCCGUUAAUCACAAAAUUAAAAACUUAUCAAUUGAGGGUAUGAAAACAUUUCCAACUCAAAACAAGGUUGUUCAAGUUUACCAAAGAACUCAAGUUAAGUAACAAAAUAAAAAAAGUAAAAUGACAUGUUUGGAACAUCAUGCAAUUAAAACAGAAACCCAUGCCCCAAUGUCACAUCCUAUCAUAGUAUUGUGUCCUAACAUCUUCCAGCACGAGGUUCCUUAAAGCAAUCCGCCUAGCCAUCUACUCUUAUGAACACAAGGUUAGAGAUCAUCACAUGAUCCAAACACAUACGGAGUGAGUUAUCACAUUCCUAAACAGGUAAAGAUAGCCAAAGGCUUAUAUAUAUAUAUAUAUAGUAUGAGUAUAACAAGUUCAAAUUAGAACAAUUCAUAUCACUUUAUCACUCUUUGCAUAACAUCACUUGUCCCAAGGAUUUAAUCAUAUUCCACACCUUCACAUUAAUCACGUGUUCAAAACAACAAAUCUCAAGUACAACAUAACAUCUCACACUCACACAAUUCAUUAUCCACCAUCACGUAGCAAGCCACAUGGAUCAUUACACAGGUGUUAUGCAACAGAUACACUAAGACUCACUUCUAUAUGCAAUAUGGUACUAUGUCAGUGAAAAACCUCAUCGGACGCUUAGGAGUACAUGACAAGACAGACCACAUACUGGUAAGUCAGGUCACUCUCACUAGGUAAAAUCAUAGGGAGACCAGUUAGGGUCACCCUGUUUUGCGAGAAUGCUCCAACCAUGUGGGAUCGACACAUGCUUAAAGGAGUACUCAAACUGGAUGUAUUUACCCCUAAGGCCAAGACUCCGAAGAGUCCGUCAGGACUUCUCCCUCCUGAUUCAGGUCUAACCCAUAAAACAUUUUAGCACGCAAACUCUAUCUAUAAACUAUACAAAACACACGACUCCUCAAUUGUUCUCAAAAUAAUUUGAACUCAUUGUGCUUCAAAGUGAUUCAACUCGUCGAGUUCCCACAGUGGACCCCAUCACAAUACUCGUCGCACAUUUACUCGUCGCCCUUAAAGGGUCUUAAAAUCGUGUGAUUUUACAGUUCAUAGCUCAGACCUCAAUGCACACAACAUCUCAAUACAUGUGUGAUCUCUCAAUUUAACACAUACUCAACUUAUCACAUACACUCAAUCUCAAUCACAAUGUUAUAAUCUCAAAGCAACAUGUUAUCACACCUUACAAAUCAUAUACAUAUCACAUAAUAUUAAUAUAUACAUGGCACAAACACAUACUUUACCUAUAAACUAUGCAAUACACACAACUACUCAAUUUUUUUUAAAAUCAUUUUAACUCGUCGCACCUCAAAGUGAUUCAACUCAUCGGAUUCCUACAGUGGAUCCCAUCACAAUACUCGUCUCACAAAAACUCGUCGCCAUUAAAGGGUCUUACAAUUGUGUGAUUGCACAAUUCAUAGCUUACAACUCGAUACAUACAAUAUCUCAAUAAACAUGUAUCUUGCAAUUCAUCACAUAUUCAAUUUAUCACUUACACAAUAUUUCAAUCACAAAUUCACGAUCCUAAUAUAACAAUUUAUCACACUAAUCUAGUAAAUCUUGUUCAAAACACAAACAAAUUAUACAAAAAUGUUUCUCGCAACAUGGGAGAAAAACCCCUCGAACAAUUUCACAUACUCAUAUAAAAAUAAAAGGAAUCAAAAUCAUAGGUCAAAAACAUAAAAACACCAACAACACUCAAUUUUAUCAACCAAUUCACAUCAGGGCAUCAAUUGGUCCAUCAAACAAAAUAAUAUCAUAAUUAUAAUUGUAAAGGAAGAUAUACAAUACAGUAAACAUCCCAAAAUAAACUCUAAUUUGAUCCUCUAAGAUCCCUACACAUGUUCAUUCUAACCCAAUUGCGAUAAACCCAUCAUUUACCUCUAAGCGGGCUCACUGCAUAGUCCGACAGUGAUAACAGGGUCUCUAGUGAUUCUGUAAGAUUCCUGAAGCUUUUCUUUUGGUUUCUCUGCUAGGUUUUCCAAGCAUUAGAGAGAAGGAAAAGGGAUUGGAGUCUCAAUUUCACUGUCUCUGUGAGAGCGGUAUGUCUCUCUAAAAACAUUAUAUCCCAAAUACCAACGGUGGAAAUGUGUGGAAAUGAGUUUCGGAGGGGGUGUCCAAAUUUCUUAAUGAUCCAACGGUUAAAGAGUCUGAGAUCAUAGUUUUACUGAGACAUGUUUGAGUGUAUACGAGAAAAAGAAAGAGUUUUGAGAGAGGAAGAAGGGAAAACGAAUUUGAGAGGAAGAAAGAGCGUAAGGACAUAUCAUAAAUGUAAAAACUGACCUAAUAUAUCUCUAUGUAUAAUUAGGGUACUUUCAGCCUAUUAUUUACUCUAUUUUUCUUUAUUUUAUUAUUUUAUAAAAAUGAACUUUAUUUUACUUUCAUUGAAUAAAAUAACCAGUUAAAACAUUCCUUUAUUUUCUAAAACAUCAUUUAACUCUAUUUAUUUUCUAAUACUAUGAAACUCUUAUUUUAAUUAACAAAAACCCUUUUUCUCUCAUUUAUUUAAUUUCUAAAAACUCUAUUAAUUUUUAAAUAAAUUUCUUUUUAUUUAUUUGACAAAAAAAUGGGGUGUUACACCUAAUAUCAUAUUUAUGCCUAUUUGGUACUUAUGAAAACGACAUCAAAUGGAUCAUGGAAAGAACCUUGACCUCAUUGAUGAGGAAAAGGACAUAUUAGAGUUGUCAGAACAGGAGGAAACAAGUCAACUGGAUAAAAAGGAUGUGGAAGGCUAUUAGCUCGUUGGCAAAUUCUUGAAGCAUGGAUCGAUGAACGUAAGGGUUUUCAAAGCCACAAUGGCCCAAGCAUGGAAAAUGAAGGGAGGACUAGAGGUGAGAGUUGUGGAGAAGAAUCUUUUCACCUAUUGUUUUUCCAGAAGAAAGCAGAGACAUGGUUAUGAGGCUGGCUACAUGGAAUUUUGAUAGGAAGCUAGUGGUUCUAAGUGAUCUUGAUCAAGACAAAAGCCCUAGCAUGGUUUAUCUAAAUUGUUGCCCAUUCUGGGUAAGGAUUUAUGAUUUGCCCCUUAACCUGAGGGUCAAAAGAGUGGCUCAAACAAUUGCAAACACCAUACCCCAAUUUAUGGAGUGGAAUAAGAAUGAGCAGAAUCGGUUGGGUCGCUUUGUAAGAGUGUGAAACCUCAUGGAUGUUAUAAAAUCUCUACGGAGGGGAACACAAUUGAAACAAUGGACGUUGCUACGCAACCUCACCGAGAGACAUAAAUUCCUUAGCUGAAAUUGAUGUGGGCUUGGGAGCCCAUGAGCAAUUUGAUCUUUGUGGAGACUUCUUUCUGAUGAAGGUCUUGACUUGGUGUUCUUUAUGGAAACCAAGAAAAAGGUUACUGAACUGAAUGGUUUGAGAUAAGGGGUUAAAAAUAUGAUAAGGGGGGUUGGUUUUGUUGUGGGGUGACUACAUUGAGGUUGAUAUCAUCUUUUCUCCCAAAACCAUAUUGACGUGUGAAUUUUUGUCCAUUCUCAACAAAAAAAAAAAGAUUCCAAUUCUCAAGUGUGUAUGGCUUUCCUGAGGGGUCUCACAAACACUUCACCUAAAAUUUUAUCUGAGAUUUACAACAUGAGAAUGAAUCCCCUGGGUUAUGUCUAGGGGAUUUUAACAAAGUUCAAAGCCCAAAUGAAAAGAUUGGGGAAAUCCAGUGUGUAUGAGUCAGGUAAAAAAUUUCAAUGACACUCUUAAUGAUGUUAGCCUAAGUGACUUGGGGUAUUUGAGCUAUAAAUUUAUUUGGACAAAUAGAUGGAAAAAAGCCCAACAACAUACAAGAAUGCUUAGAUAGAGUAGUUGAUGAUGCUUAGUGGAGGAGUUGGAGGAAAGAAAUGUUAGGUGUACCAUCUGUCUAGAUUCGAGUCGGACCAUUGCUUGAUCUUUGUUUAAUUCUUGGUGCAAAAAAGGAGGAGGAAAAGAAGGGCAAACAUCUAUCAUUUUGAGCAAAUAUGGUUAAAGGAUAUGAUUUAUGGUAUCUUAGAAAUAGAGGCAAAGCAAAAUGAUCUCCUCCUCAAAGAAGAGUUUUACUGGUCCAAAAGGUCCAGAGCAACAUGGUUGGUCCAAAAGAAACAAAACCAAUACCAUUGAGAAGGUUAAGGAUGGCAAUGGUGACUUCAAAGAUGAUGAGAAAAGAAUUGCAGGUAUUCUAAAUAAUUAUUUCUCCACUAUAUUUUCUUUAUUAGUAACAACUGGGUGCAUGAGGUAUCCUACAUGGUUGGAAUACGAUUAUAUGAUUAAAUGAUAAAUAUUUUAAAUGGAAAGUUUAGUGGGGAGGAAGUGGAGUAAGCAUUCUUUCAAAUGCACCCAACAAAUGCUCUAGGCCUUGAUGGCACCCCUACAUUAUUCUAUCAACAAUUUUGGGACCUUGUUGGUCUAGAUGUCAAGAGGUUGGUGUUAAAUAACUUUAAUGAUGAAGGAGACCCAACCACAAUAAACAAAACAUUGAUUGCACUCAUCCAAAAAGUUAAAAGACCCACAAAUGCAAUUAGAUUUAGACUAAUUAGUCUUUGUAUUAAUGUCAUCUUCAAAAUUGUUAAAGACUAUGGCUAACAGUUGAUGAUGGUUCUUCCUUCCAUGCUCUUAUUGCUUUUGAAUGCUUCCACUAUACGAAGAAUAAGAGAAGUGGAGAUGGAUUUAUUUGAUCAAGGCCAUUUGCAUGGUCUAAAGAUAUGUAUUUCUGCUCCUAUUAUUUCACACUUGUUCUUUGCAAAUGACAACAUUAUUUUUACAAGGCAACACUAGAGGAGGCAAUGUGUCUAGUAAGUAUUCUAAAGACUUAUGAGGGUGCUUCUAGACAGAAAAUUAACCUAGAUAAAUUAGAGCUCUCGUGUAGUUGAAAUGCACCUAGUACUAGAAUUGAUGAACUAACAAUGCUUCUUGGAGAAAAGGCGGUGGAGACCUAUGUGAAAUAUUUGGGUCUUCCUACGUUGAUAGCAAAAUCCGAAACCUAAGUUUUCAAAUUUGUCCGAGAUUGGGUCUGGAAAAAACUCAAAGGUUGGAAGGAGAAGGUUUUGUCAAAGGCGGGGAGAAAAGUGUUGAUAAAAUCUAUGGUUCAAUCUAUACAACCUAUGCCAUGGGUUAUUUCUUCUUGCCACUUUCCACUUGUAGAAAGAUAGAAAGUCUCACAACCCAUUUCUAUCGAGGGAGGGGAUGUUGAUGGGAAGAAGAUCCAUUGGAUGAGCUGGAAAAAUUGACUAGAAAUAGGAACCAUGGAGGGCUUAGAUUCAGAUUUGUUAAAUCCUUCAAUCUAGCCUUACUAGCGAAACAAUAGUGGAUACUCAUUUUCCACCCAGACUCCUUAGUGGACUUUUUUUUUACCAAACAAAGUGAUUUUGUAAAAUUAUAUAGCAAAUUUGGUAUUUUCAAAAACUAUUUAUCAAAUAUGAGUAAUUUUGACUUUUGACAUCAGUUAUAAUUAAUCACCUAUUUCUGGUAAAUAGUUUUCAAAAUCACCUAGUUUGGUAUAUAGUUUUACAAGAGCUAGUUUGUUAAAAAAAAAAGUCUUCCUUAAUAUGGCUAGGGUUUAUAAGGCAUGUUACUUUCCUUCCAAGUGCAUCCUUGAGGCCACGAAAGGUUCUGAUAGUAGCUAUAUGUGGAGUAGCUUACAAAAAGCAAAGGGGAUAAUUGAAUAUAAGGUUGCAUCUGGAGUUUUCGAGAUGGUUUGAUGACCUCAAUAAAAAAUGACACAUGGAUGCCGUGUGUGCCCGGAGGAAAGAUUCCACUUUUUGAAUAUGUGGAUAUUCCUGAUGAAAUGAAAGUUUCGGAGUUCAUUAAUGUUGAGUCGGAUUGCUAGAAUACUUAAACUUUAAAAUUAACAAAAUUAAGACUAUAAUAUUAUUAUUUACUUUUUAAUAUCGACAUUGUUUAACAAUUGUCUAAAAAUUUUACCUAAUUUUUUAUAAUAUAAAGUAGGAAACUUUUGACGUGCUUUUUUCCUCUUGAAAUAAGGGUAUUUUCAACAAUUUUUUUAUAGUUAUUUCAUUAUUUCAUUUAUUUUUUUUGGUGAAUCUUUUAUAUAAUACAAAAUAAGAAAGUUUUGGUGCACUUUUUUCCACCCAAAAUAAGAAUAUUUUUGACAAUUUUUUUGGUUACUUAUUUUUUAGUUAUAUUUUUGGUGGAUGAAUAAAACUGAAACAUUUAAUAGAAAAUGAGUUUUAAAUGCAUAUUUAUUUAUUAGGUAUUGAAAGAAAGAUAAUAGGUUCUAAAUGAGUUUUAAAGCGUAUUAAUAAGUAUUUAAAUUCAUUCAUUGGUUUAUUAUAUUUAUAGAGAUUUAUAAUAUCUAUGAAAAUAACGGCUAGGUGCAUUGGGUCCAUGUUUUGUUAGAGGCUAAACAUGCUUUAGUUAAGUAUCUCUUUGGAACUUCAAAAUUUUACAUGUCUUUGAUGUUGUUCUUGAUUGUAUUUAUCACGUCAUAAGGGUGAAUUUAACUUCUUCAAAAGCUUUUAGACUUUAAUAAUAUUUUCAUUAAUGAAAAAACUAUUAUAUUUUUUUAAAUUGGAAUUUAAAAAUAAGAAUAUCAUAUAUUUUAAAAAUAUUAUUUAAAAUUAAUAAGAAAGUUUUGACACACUUUUUUUCACCUAAAAUAGGUAUACUUUAGACAAUUUUUUUGGUUAUUUCAUUUUUCUUUUAUUUUUUGAUAAAUAAAAAGAGAGACAUUUAAUAGAAAAUGAGUUUUAAAUGGAUGUUUAUUUAUUAGGUAUUGAAAGAAAGAUAAUAGAUAUUAUUGAUGUCAUUAAUGAAUAUUUAAUUUGAAUUCAUCCAUCAAAAUAAUAUGAAGUGCAUUGGAUUCAUGUUUUGCGGGAGUCUAAACAAGUUGUUGAUGUUUUAACUAAGUAUGAGCUGGAUCUUUAGAAUGCUAAGCAAGUCUUUCAUGUUGUUCUUUUACUGUAUUUAUCAUGUCAUAAGGGUGAAUUUAGGUUGCAUUAGUUUUUUUAUAGGCUUAUAACCUUUAAUAAUAUCUAUCAUUAAAAAAAUAUCAUGUUUAUAAAUUUGCAUUUGAAAAUUAAUAAUAUCAAAUUUAAAAGAUAAAAAAGAACUAAAGGUAUUAAUCUGUCAUUAUAGAAUCAUUUAUCAAUUGUAAUUAUAUAUUACCCUAGCUUGAUGGAAGAGAGCUAUGAAGGAAAAUGAAAAUAGUGGUAGCUUGAUCACCCAUUUACAUUACCCUUAUGUUUUAUUGUCAUUGGAGAAUACUUUAAAAAUUAAUAUUUGAGAAUAAUGUCUAUUGAAUGUCUCAUAUAGGAAUAGAGUGAUGUUUAUUAGUGUCCUGUAAUUCUUUUUCUUAAACAAAUCAUUUUGCUUAACUUGCUAAGUAGCUUUAAAUGAUUUAGCUUUUUCCACUUGAAGAAUUAUUCAAGAUUAGAAGAUUUAAGAGGAUUGAAAUAAUACUAAGAUUCUAGCUCAUUGAAUGGAGAAAAAUAAUUUUUGUUGCCAAGAUGUUGCCAAGUAUCACCAAAAAAACCCAACUAGCUUGUUUUUAUUGUUGUUUCCAAACCCUGCACAUCAACUGCUUAUGUUUUUGUCCUUAUGAACUAUGUUUUGUUUAGCCAUCUAAAUUUAGAAAUGAACUUUCUUUUUUGCAACCUUUUCUUAAUAACAAAAGCACCCUUGCCUAGUUGUUAAAUUUACACAAAAGUCUAGUACAAACAAAUCGUUGAGGAUACGAUCUUUGUACUUUGAAAAUACUACAUAGAUUGGUAUGCUUAUCGAUGAUGUAACAAAGCCCCACCCCCAUGGUGGCUCCUCUCCUUGUGCCGCCUACAUCAAGCCCUCCCUUGCCUCUGGAAGCCACCACCACCUUGUCAUGUGCAAAGGCUACGAGUACGACUUCCACCCAGCCACCACCAAUUAAUUAAUGAUAUUUGAUUAUAGAAGUCAUUUUAAAAAUAUUUGCAAAAUAUAUACAUUAAAAUUUAAAUACGGUUAUAAUUUAUCCAAUAUAAAAAUUUUGGGCAUCACACAGGUACAAGAACUAGAACAAUAAUAAAAGUCAGUAGUUGACAACAUCAAUCCACUAAUUUAAGAUGAGAGAGAUGAUACCUACAAAUAUACUUUUAAAAAUUGAAUUUAUAUUUAUAAAAUUAAGAAAAAAAGACAUGCAUAUUUAAUUGGGUUAAAAAGUAAAGAGAAAAAAGAUAUUUCAUUAGGACAUACUAUUGGGUGGAUUUUACAAUAAACCCACUCAACAAAUUGUUCACCAGUAAACUAAUAAUUACAACCAUUAAAUAUAUUUUAAAAAAAAUAAAUUAUUCAAAUUCAGAAUUAUAGUUAAUUUAUCUAGUUAGUUAAAUUUAAUUAUUCUUAUAAUCCAAUUAGAACACCACCAUUUCUCUGAAGAGAAGACCACACCACCGUGAACACUAUCAUACUCUCACUUACUGAAAUCAAAACAAAACACCACUAUCUUCUUUGUCUCAACAAAAAUCAAAACCAAACAAAAUUUGAUUUAGGAAUUUCUUGUUUAUUCAACAAGCACAAUCAAAAUCAAAAUCAAAUCAUCAGCAAAUACAAUCUUAUAAUCAAAAUCAAAUCAUCUACAUAUGUUGUGGGGUGUGUGUGGGGUGAUGUGAGGUAUUUACGGUAUGGUUUGGCUUCAUUUUUGAUUGAAAAGUCAUUUGAGUCAAACAUAAAAAUUUAAUGUUUUCAGUUUGGUUUGGUUUGAAUAUAAUAUCAAAUUCAAAUCAAAUCAAACCAAUCUUUUGUUGUCUGAUUUGGAUUGAUUUUUGUGAUUUUUAAUAUUUUUAAUUUUAUCUUUAUAUGACCUUUAAAAAUAUUUAAUUUAACUAACAAAAAAAAAUUGACACUAAAACUAUCAAACAUUCAAAACCUUAUUUAGACACUAUAGCCCAAUAGUAGCUAAUAGCUUGGUAUACAUUUAAAAAUUUGAUGUAUUUUGACUUCUUGUAGAUAAAUUAUAUGAAGUAUAAACUAAUGCUCUAGUCAAAACAGUAGUUAAGCUCAAAUUACACUUAAAAAUAUUUGUUUUUAUUUUUUAAGUGAUUUUUAGUUUUUAUUUUAGAUCGGAUUGGAUUUGAGCACCCUUAAAAAUGACAUUACUUUACAAAAAAAUGGCGACAAAACGUCACUUUUUAGAAACACAUCAACACUUGGUUAUGCAUUUAAAGGAUUGGUAAAAUGCACAAAAAUUAGGAAAAACAUAAUAGUAUAAUUUGUGGGAAAAAAACUUGAGUUAUAAAAUUCCCAAAAUAAUAAUAGCUAAGUGGUAAAAUGUACACUCAAGCCAUAAAAAUAUAAUAUAAAACUUACCUAGAAAAGUGAUACAAAGAUGUAAAAAUGAUUAAUCCUUUAAUUUAUUCAAAUAAAGAACUUUAUUUCAAAACCAACAUAUUAUGGGAAGAUAUCAGUUGGAGUUGCUACUUUCCUCCUUUCCUUAUUAAUGCAUAUCUCUGGGUGCUUUUGCAUGACCAGGUGGUGCUCAACUCUAGGUCCAUUGUGCCAAAUGUCACCCAACAGGUCCUUGUUAUUACUUGUUCAAGUGCCUUUCUAAGUGCCCUUGUCAGGACCGGGUACUACACAUGCCCCUAAGCUCUAAGGCAUGUGAUAACGACUGUUGAAUCGCUUCAAAACAAAUAAAACUAAGAAAUUUUGUAAUACAUGAGUAACCUAGGCCAACUCAGAAAUACGAUUCAAUUUGGUUUCUACUUCAAUUCACUAAUAAAGAGUAGGGAGAAUUUCAACAAAUAGUUUGAAGGCAAGGUAAAGGAUUGCGAAAACUCAAAAACAAAAUUGUAGAAACAAAACAAAUUUUUUGGAAACAAAAUAACAUAAUAUGAAUCAAGUUUAAUAGCAUCAAUCUAAUUCACCAAACCAAUGCAAAUCGAAUCAUCAUAGUUUUGCAGAGAAUGAUCAUGUUGUGAAAGUUCAAUCAAUGUCAUUAGAGUUAGUUCAAUCAAAUUAAUUUCUAAAUUCAUUGAGAUCGCAAAUUAGGGUGGAGUAUCAUCCAAACAAUUUUUUAUUAAAUUUCAAAAUUAGGAAAUGAAUACAUUACCUAAUUCGUUUUCAAUCCUAAUCAUAUUCAUAAUCAUGAAAAUUUAAAAUAGGAUUGAAGAAACAUAUGAACAUUCACACAAAAUAGAAGUACUAAACCAGAAUUCAAAUUUAGCCUUGCUUGGAGUGGAUCCUAGGAUUGAUUGAGUGUUUUACCUUUCAUGAUCAUCGCCAAUGGAAGAUUCAUGAAAUUUUUGCAAGAAAAAGGAAGAAUAAAAGUGAAAAGAGGAAGAAGAAUGAACAACAAUUGAGAGAAAGAGAUAAAAGAGUUUGAUCUUAAAGCUUGCACAACAAGUAACUAAAUUUGUUUUUGUACAAAAUGAAGUAACUAACUCACUAACUAAAUAAAUUCUACUAAUAUAUAUAGUUACUACUCAGAAGGAAGGGAUGGGUUUUGAUUAGGCUCAUCUAAUCUACCUAAUUAAACUAAUUACACAAAGCACAGUCCAAAUUCGCAACCUAAUUAUUCAAGUGUAGAGGUUCUGACUUCCAAACUUAAUUUGACCCUCGAAAUAGUAGAAUUGGCCCAAGCUUAUUUCUGACAAAAUUGAAUCUCUCUUUCUUAGCUUUCUAGGGACUACUCACAUGCUCCAUUUGGAGUUAUGUAGUGCCUGAUAGACCUUGCACAAGAUAGAUAGGUCAAGUAAGUAAAAAAAAUCCAAAAAUAAGCCACAAUUAUCAAUUAAGCUCAAUCAUUUGCCUAAGACCAAAACUGAGUUAAGAUAGGAAAAUAGGAGUCAAAGAGAGAGGUAAUGUCAUAUGAGUAGAAGUAUUUGGUCCUAGGUCCUUUAAGCUAAGUGCUAUCGGUAGGUCUUGAUUUUGAACUUUUGGAAGUUGCAUUUCUCUAAUAUACCCUUUUUGCAUUCAAAAUCAAUUUUGAUUGAAAGUAUUAAACAAAAUUGAUGAAAAAUCACUUUAAUUGUAGUUACUCCAAGGCUGGAAAGAGUUACCUACAUACGGACUAACCCUUAAAGCUAAGUUAAGCAUUGUAGAGUGAAACAACCAAGAUGUGGCUCUUAAGCAGUUGUGAUCUUGCAUUGACUAGCGAUGCGGCCUAAGUUGUGGUUAUAAAGCUUAGACAAUCUUCAUCUUACAAGAGACUUUAUGGUGUUGAAUUAGGUUAAAAAGCCCAAAUUCUAAAAAUAAUUUCCAUAAAAAUCAUGUUUUCGAUAUCGGAUAUUGUAAAAAAAAAAAAGUUAAAACUAUUGUGCAUUUUGUUCUCUUCUGAACAUACAUAAACAACAUUCUUCCAAUUUAAAAAUAAGAUGUUGUCACGUGAUAUGUGAGGAAGGAAAUAUUACAAUUAGUUGAAACAACUGUGCAUUUUGUUCUUUUCUGAAUACACUUAAACGCCAUGAUUUUAAAUUGUGAUCACGGUUGUGGUUGCAAUUGUGGUGUGUCAGAAAAUCUUUACCCUCAAGGCCUAGACUUUGAUGAAUCCGUUAGGACCUCACCUUUGUUAUUCAGGUCCAAACCCUAAAACAAUUUUUGCAUGCAAACACUGCUCAUGAAUUAUACAAUACCCAUGACCUCACGCUUGUUCUCAAACACGUUUCACAUAUUGUGCUACAAUUUAACACUUCGAGUUCCUAACUUGGAACCCUACACUUUCCUUUUAACACUUUGUGCAUAAACAUUUUUCUCAAAGUAAACACCAAUCAGGUUAUUGUAUAAUUCACAACUCACAACACAAGUAUUGUCACAUCAAGUAUUAAUCACACACUUAUUCAUGACCAUAUCUCAUGUCCACAAUUUAACAUCUCACAAUGUCACAAUCCACCAUCACAUGUUUAUGUGUAUCUCACAAAUUAAUGCAUGUUUAACUUUGCACUUAUACUCAAUCUCAAUAACAAUGUUAUAAUCUCAAAUCAACAUGUUAUCUCACAAUUCAUCAUAUAUUCAAUUUAUCACUUAUACACAAUUUCAAUCACAAUUUCAUAAUCUCAAUAUAAUAAUUUAUCACGCUAAUCUAGUAAAUCUUGUCCAAAAUACAAACAAAUUAUACAAAAAUACUUUUCCCAACAUGGGGAGUAAAACCCCUCAAACAAUUUCACAUAACCAUAUCAAAAUCAAAGUAAUCAAAAUCAUAAGUCAAAAACACAAAAACACCAAGAGCACUCAAUUUUAUCAAUCACUUCCCAUCAGGACAUCAAUUGGUGUGUCAAACACAACAAUAUCGUAAUUAUAAUUGUAAAGGAAGAAUUAUAAUUCAAUAAACAUCCCAAAAUAAACCAUAAUUUAAUCCUCUAAAGAUCCAUACACAUGUUUAUUCUAAUCUCAAUUGCGAUAAACACAUCUCUUACCUCUAAGUGGGCUCACGUGUGUAGCCUGGCAGUGAUAGUCUAGUAGUUUCCUAAUUGCCAUAAACUCAUCACUUACACAAAUUUUGUCCGAGACAUUUGUACAAAAAUUAAAAAAAAUGGUGGUGAUGCAUGUUAAAAUACUAAAUGAGUUAACAUAUUGAAUGAAUAGUAUCACGCUAAAAUUUUAGAAGCAUUGAAAUGAGAAGGAAAAAUAUUUUGGGGUGGCCAAUUUCAUAUUUCAAAUAUUUUAGAAGGAUAAAAAAUAUAUUUUAUCCAAUAAUUAAGUUAUAUAUUUUUUAUUUAAUAAAAUAUUUUUUUAAUUUGUUAGAUAACUCUAGAAUUAGAUUUCUUCAAAAAAAAAACUUUAGAAUCAAAAGAUUUAAUGCAUAUAUGCAUAUAACACAAAUAUACCUUACCAAUGAAUAAGAAAAUUGAGCAUUGAUUUGGCCAAAUAAAAAGUAAUACAGAUUUGUUUUAACUGAAUUAGAUAUAAUAAACAACAAAAUUUAAAAAAGAAAUUUUUAUUCCAAAAAUAAGUCAAGCAUUAUCCAAAAUACUUGCAAGGGAAAAUUAAAUAUGAGAAAUAAUCAGUAAGAUUCUAUAUACAAUUAACAACAUGUAAUAAAUUAAUUUUUUUAGCUUUGGACAAAUGAUCUAUUUAAUUUUUUAUCUUCAUUUUUUGGUUUAUUUUGAUCUUAUCUUUUAGAAAUUUUAUUAUGAUCUUUUAUGUUCUGAAAAAGAAUCAAAAUGGUCCUUUCGUCAAUGCAAAGAUAACGUCGUUAAUGAAGUAAAGAUAUUAAUGGCUAAAAAUUAUCACAAAAUAUAAUUUCUUAUUUUCUUUAGCUUUCUCCUUCCCUUAUUCCCUUGAACCAAAAAAAUAAAAUAAAGAAUCAAAUAGGCCAUUUGAUCUUUUGUUUAAUAUACCUAAACAUGAAUCCAUUAAUUAAAUGAUUUGCAUAUCUGUUUGUCAAAUUUUGAACUUGCAUAAUAUUUUUUAAAUUAAAAAUAAAAACAAUAAGUGUUCCAAAAAUUUGUACUCAAUUUUUUUUAAUAUUUUCAUUGAACAUAAAAUAAAAGACAUAAAGAUUUUUUUCAAUGACUUACAUCAUUUAUCAAAAAAUGUUACCAUCUUCGCUCUAUCCAUUCUUUUAAGUAACCCCCUAUAAGAUAAAGAAAUUUAUCAUAAGCCUUUUUGCAUUUUAUUAUAAGCAUUAUAUAAUAGAUUGGAAAGAAAAUUCAUAAACAGAAUGAAAACCUAUAAUUAUUCUCAAUAUAAAGUAUAUUAGACAAGAUAAAUUUAAGUAUUGAAUUACCUUUCCUUAUAUAUUGUGAUAUACUUGUCUAUCAACCAUAUUAGAAGUAAUAUGAUCGAGUAUCUUGAUCUUCACCAUCUUUUACCAAAAUAUUUAACCCUUUUUUUAUGUAACUCUUGAUAUAGUAACAUAUAAUUGUCCAUGAAAAAAAUUGAGGCAAAAAUAAUCCAACAUGUUUUAAAGAUUGUUCUUGAAUCUUGUUGAUAGUCCUUGCAAAAGAAGUAGCCAAAUGAAAUUGCCUCGGUUGGAACUUGAAAAGGAUCCUUGCAUUAGAAGGAGUUAAUGAAAGUCUUGGAAUAAACACUUUGAGACCAAUGUUGCUUCCAAAUUUAACAUUUCCUUCUAGAACAUAUUCCCCAUUCGUGUGACAAUUAUUAGUCUAGUACCAUUACAUAAUCCUAAUGAUUGAUCAAUGUCAUUUGGAAGACCCGAAGCACUAAUAAUGUUUAAGAACUUUGGAGUAUGCACAUCAUCUGGCCUAUUAAUCUCUUCAUUUUCUGAUGAAGGAGUAUCUAAACUUAGAUUUUUCUUUCCUCCCCAAACAUCAAUGACAACAUGUAACAAUUUCAUUUUUUUGCUAAAACAACCUUGACUCUAAAAAAGGAUGAAUCAUGAAUAUUUUCUAAGAAAGAUGGAUAUAUAAGUAUUACUAACAAUGGAUUCAAGAGAGUUGGUGUCACUUCUAAGCAAAUCAUGGUAUGUGUGGUUUCCUAUAUUAUAUGUUUAAAAGGGACCAGUUUGGGGAUUGUAUUUUGUAUGUUUCUUCCUAAUACUGGUACCAAACAUAGUAAUUCAAAUUAAUUUUAGUGCACCCCUAAAUACCAUUUGGACAUUUACUUAAGUAGAAGAAGCUACCUAAGGAACAUAAUUUUUUUAAAAUUAGUUUAUUUUCUAUAGAUGAUAGUGGUAAAUAUUAUCAUGAGUUGUUUGAUGAUUGUCCAAAUGGAAAUCAAAAAGCUAUCUAGGAUGGAGGUGUUGGAAUUGUGUAAUUUUGUCACAUUGCAUUUUGGCAUAAUUACCAAUAGGUCUAUAGAUCUGAUAAUAACUUUUUUACUCAUUACUUGGUCAUUUUAGGUUCUCAAACACUUGGUUAGAUUCAUUGUUUUGGUUAAACUAAAAGAUAUUACUUUCAUUCUAAAAUGUUUGCUUUUUUGUCAUUUUAGGGACAUGUUUGACUGAAAUCUCCUAUCACUAGUGCAAAAUACACAUUUUAUAACAACUUUUUAAAUAAAAAUUGUUUUAAAAAAUAAUACGGUGGUACUUUCAUAAUUAAAAACAGUUUUUAGAUUGGUUAUAAGAGAACAGAUAUAAACCUAGAUUUUAAAUCGGUUAAAAAUGAAACCGAUAUGAAAGGUUAUCUUUUUAAACCAAUUCAAUUUAUAACUAAUGUAAUUAAAGGGUGUUUUUAGAUUAGUUAAUAAAGUAACUGAUGCUAUAAGACAAAAUUGAUUUUAAAAAGGAUGUUUUUAAAAUAAUCUAGGCAUUAAUUUCAUAUUAUUUUUUAGAUUAGUUAUAUAGGGAUCUAUCUUAAAAACUAAUCUAAUUUAAAAGAUAGUUACCAUUGAAGACCGGUUGAAAUCUAAUGUUAAAUGUCAAAGUUUUUAUAUUUCCUGCAUAGGCAUCGGUCGUACAACCAAUAUAAAAAGUCAUUUUUUAACCUAUGUAAAAAAGUGUUUCUUGUAAUAGUGUACCCUUUUUGUGCUCCUAUCAUGUAUAGAGAUUUUAAUAUCACUUACACGCAAUGAUGAAUCCAGAAAUUAAGUCGUGGGGGCAAUACACAUACAAAAUUUUGUUGCAUUAAAAAUAUUACAUGUUUUAUUUUUAAAAGUAUAAAUAUUCAUCGUAAUUGUUCUUUAUGAGUUUUUGUAUUCCAAAAAUAAUUGAUAAUUUUCUCAUUUUUCAUAUCAAAAUUUUUAUGAUAGUCAAGAUCUAUCAGUUGAUGAAGAAAAAAACCAUAAUAUAGCAUACUAACUACAACAAUAUACAUAUUUUGCACAAUUAGUUUUCAAAUUUGAGUGCAAUAAGCUUUUAGAUGGACAAAUAUCCUUAGAAUAUGAGUCUUAGACAACAAGGGAAAUUAGGAUUAAAAAAAUAUGUUGUUUGAUGAUAAAUAAGUAAAUGUUUAUGAAAGCGUUAGAAUGAUUAUCCUUUAAUUUAUACAUUUUGCACAAUUAGUUUUCAAAUUUGAGUGCAAUAAGCUUUUAGAUGUACAAAUAUCCUUAGAAUAUGAGUCUUAGACAACAAGGGAAAUUAGGAUUAAAAAAAUAUGUUGUUUGAUGAUAAAUAAGUAAAUGUUUAUGAAAGCGUUAGAAUGAUUAUCCUUUAAUUUAUACAUUUUUGCACAUUUGCUAGAUAAUAAAUAACUAAAUAAAUAAAAAUGUUUUUUUAAGAAAAAUAAAUAAAAAUAUUAAAUAUUGAAAAGUGGGAAUAAAAAUAAAAAAGAGAAUCCAAAUAUUUAUUGUUUACACAUUUUUAAUUUAUAUUAAGAUUGAAAUUAUAAUUAUAAAAUCAUAAUAUUAUAGGGGGGCAAAAUAGUACUAUAUAUUCCGUCCUUGCUUUCAUGUUGAUGAUUUCUCUCAAGCCAGCAACACUUACAUUGGAAAGUUGAGGUUAGUCUGAUCUUUCUGCUCUUGUUUCUUUAAAUAUUUGAACUAUUGGCUUGAUUUGUAAACAUUAAGUGCUUAUAAUGGCAAUUGAUUUAUUACUUGCUGCAAUAAUAUAACCGGAAUUUGUAUAUUUUUACUGCAUUGUGUUUGUAAAAUUUAAUUUACAUCAAAUUGUGAUUGUCUUUUUGUUGCAUUAUUACUUGAUCUGCUUCUUGUCCUUGUCAUUAGUGUGCAUAUUUCCUCUCUUGCAAGGUACCAUAUAUAGUGAUGUAUUGUGUUUAAAAAAACAGCUUAUGUUCCGCUGCAUAAUUUUAUGGUUUGCACCUUUAUUUGUUCUUUAUAUCAUGAAUUUAACAUGCUACAGCCUUGAUAGGGUGUGGUCCAACUUCAUGUAUUGAUUGUUAGAUGUAGUAGUCAAUACUAGAAAAUAGACUUUUAACAUCGAUUAUUUUUUACUUUCAACAUCGGUUUUUAUCUAAUGUUGAAACCAUCGACGUUAACAUUAUCCAUGUUAAUAUCAGUUUUCAAAAAAUCAAUGUUAACAUACACUACACAACAUCGAUGUUCACAAAAACUGAUGUCGUAUAAUAAGAAAUAUACAAAAACAGCAAAAACAACAUCGGUUUUGGUCAAAACCAAUGUUGUAAGAUGAAUAAAAACAUCGGUUUUGAAAAAAAACCGAUGUAGAAAUUAUUUUUACAACAUCGAUUUUGCUCAAAACUGAUGUUGAAUAUGCUUACGACAUUGGUUUUGGUCAAAACCGAUGUUGUAAGAGCACUUUCUACAUUGAUUUUAGACCAAUAGAUGUUGUUUUUUUUUUUUUGCAAAUUUUUAUAAUAUUUUGUUUGUUUUUACAAUGAACCAACCAUAACCAAUUUAUAAAAAAUAUAUUAAUUAUAAAUUAAAAUAUUUAAAAAUAUUAUUUUCAUUACAAUGUUACAUUACUUACAAUUUCAUAAUAUUAAUCUAGAUUUAUAAAAUUUAUUUUAAGAAAGCAAGAUAAUUUCUCUAAAGGUCAAUUGUCUCCAAGAAAAAUAAGACUGAUAUGAUAUCCUAAAUGUCUAGCUGCAAAGCUCUUAUAAAAUCCACAGAAGAGAUGAUAUGAAUAUGUAUAUAAAAGCUAAUAGAAUAAAUAUAAAUGUAUAAAUAUGUAUUACAUAGGAAGGAUGAUACCAAUUAAUUAAUAAAUAAAAAUAACUCUUAUUCCAAAUUAAAAAUAGAUAGAAAAGGUUUAAAGAAAGAAAUUACCUCUACAAGAGCAACAAAGGAUGUCAUCAUCAUGGCAAAGGCUUCACCUGCAUCAAAUGUAAGUGCUCCCCUUCGAAAUGGAUAAGGAACUCGUAUCCUACAAACACAAAAUACAUGUUGAAUACAUUCCCAUAAGCUUCAAGUCAUAAGGCUAUGACUAAAUAGUAAAUUAAUAGUGAAUAAUAAAUUAAUAUCUCAAGGAUGCAAUAGUCUUGCAUAAAAAUGUCAAUUAUGCCCAUGCUCUAAGCUUGAUUAUCAUAGGGAGUUCAACAUCAAUAACUUGAAAUAUUAUAAAGAGACAAACAAUUAAUCAAGAUCAAUAGCACUAAUUGCACAUGUGUUAUUAGAUUUUAAGGUUGAUACUAAGGAUAUAAAAACAAAAAAAAAUCAUAAAUUAAAAAGAGAAAUACUAGCUUUUAUAUUUUUAACAUAAUAUAUGUUUUUAGUUUAAUGAACAAAUUUAAAUUAAGUUGCAUCCUUGACAUCAAAACCCCUUAAAUUUACACAAUGUUUGGACUUAGGGUGGCUCAAAAGUUGGUAGAAGCUAGUUAAUUGGACUGUGUCAUUGCGCAGACUUUGAAUUCACUUUCACAACAAUGUAAUAGUCAAGUAUCUGAGUGUAGAUAGAAUAAUCACACCUUCAAAGGACCCUUUUCACUAGCUUUCUCUAGAAAGUCUCCUCCACCAAAAUCAACCUUUUUCCUUGGUUCAAAAUCAACCAUCUCUGUUUCGUGAGUGUGCAAAAUCAAAGUCCAAAAGUGAACAAUUAUGACAUUGAAUGACUAGAUUAUUUAUUUACUUUUCUUUUCUAAGUGUUUCUUUUAAGUCCACUAUGGACAUGGAACAUUGGGGGUGGGGGUGGACUGGCUUUUACUACUACCGGGUAAGUUCCAUUUAAACACUUAAAAUAUGAAUUUAGACUUUUCAAACUGUUCAGGACAACCACCAUGUUUUUUUUGCAUAAGUCACACUUUCAUGUACUAAAACAAGUCAUUUUAACUUCAUUCGCUCCCCAAACAUUAGGGAUUUCAUGUACUAACCACCUAGCACUAAAAAGAUGCAACUGUUGGUCAAGUGGCCUCAAUAAAUUAAGAGGAGGGUGAAUUAAGUUUCAAAAUUUCUCACUAACAAACUUUUAACCUGAUGAGGACAUGACCAAGAGCAAGGGCAAGGAUCCACUUGAUGGACUUGGAGGACCUAUGACAAGGGCUAGAGCAAGGAAAGCAAAAGAAGCUCUUCAACAACUAUUGUCCAUACUAUUUGAAUACAAGCCCAAGUUUCAAGGAGAAAAGUCCAAGGUUGGGAGUUGUAUCAUGGCCCAAAUGGAGGAGGACUAAAUGACACCACUUUGUCUCAAUUUUAGAGUGUUUAGUUUGUCUAAAUAAUGGCCCAAUCCUUGUAAAGUUGGCUGACCAAAAAUAUGUUUUGGGUUAAUCAACUAAAGGGGCUUUAGUUUGGUUUAAUUCAAGUUGUAAUAAGGGCCCAAUUGGCAACUUAGGCAUCAACCUUUGGGAGACCAAAUGGUGAUUGGCUUGAUGGCUUUUAGGGUGACUUUUGGUUGCCACAAUUUCAGUUACACUCAGCCAUUAAGUUCUUUUCAUUCCCUAUGUUAAUGGAUCAUUACUAAAUCUAAGUGGAUUGUAUUUUCCUUUAAUGAAACAUAUGUAAAAUCUGAUGGUAAAGCUUCUUUAUAUGCUGAACCAUUUUAUCAAUAAAGACAAGUUAAGUUUUAUUCAGAAAAAUUAGAGUUUAUCUCUUUUAUCUUAGUGAGAGUGAUUCUCCUAAGUUCUUGAGUGAUUCAAGAACACCCUGGCUAUAUCAAAGGAAGUUCACAUCCUUUGUGUGCUGCCCUCGCCGGAAUGAGUGAUUCUUUCCUUCCACCAUUUCAUCUUCAACCUUAUUCUUUCAAACCACAAUUCUCGAAAAUCCAAUUCUGCCCAAAAUUAUCUUGUGACAUAAUUCUUGUUCUACUUGCUCAAAUUAAGUGAUUCUUGAGCCUAAAUUGAAAUUCAAAACGAGAUCUUCCACCUCGUUUGGGAAUCACCUCAUUUGGAACUCUGUAGCUUGAGUUAUAGUCAUUUCUAUAUUUCUGUCCAGCCGUCACUUCACCUACAUUUUUACCAUCUCAUUCAUCCCUUUUAUGUCAAGAUCCACCUUAUUAAGGCCUAAGAAAUUAGCCACUGCCCAACCCUUGAAUCUUGCCAAUUUCCCAUCCUUUUCUUAAUCAAUUUCCAAAUUUUCCAUCAAGGUUUAAUCCUAGACGAUCUUAAGUCAGCCCUUGUGCAAUGAAGGUUCAUAUCAUAACCCCCUUCUAAAUGAUAGGCUCAGAAUGCAAAACAAGAAGCAACAAUCAAUUUAAUAAUGUUUUUUUAAACAUGCAAGACAAAAUUUAUUGUAAUAACAUAAAUGAGAUAAGGGAAGAGUGAAAUGCAAACUCAAUUUAUAUUGGUUCGGCCACUUCCAGUGCCUAUGUUCAGUUCUCAAGCAAUCCACUUGAGAUUUUCCACUAUCUGUGUAAAUCCUUUAUAGACUUUGAACACACCUUGAGAUCCCUCACCCUUGUGUUCAAAGAUUCUCAAGGAGACAAACCGUCUCUUGAUUACAACUGACUUUCUGAGAUGAACAGAAAGAUUUCUCUCCUUUAGAGUGGAUGAUACAAAUUGAAGAUCCUAAAGGAAUUUCUCUUUUUUAGAGAUGAUAAUACAAAUUGAAGUUCCUAGAUGAACUCUCAAUAGAUUUGCAAGUGUUUGCCCAACAGUUGUUGAGAGAGCAUUUGAUAAUUAAGUUCUCUUAGAAUAUCUCUCUCUUGUUUUUCGAAGUCAAACACACAUAUAUAUUGGCCCUUCGUGCCUUUUCAAAAUGGUUUGAAGAGAUGUGUCUUUUUAAAAAGUUUUUUCUAAAAUUCUUCACUGGUAAUCGAUUACUCAGUUAUGUUUUGAAGAGUCAUGUCUUUUCAAAGUGUUUUCUGAAGUGUCAUUGCUAGAAAUCGAUUACAAACAUCUGGUAAUCGAUUACAUGAUUCAAAAUUCAAAUUCAAAAUCCUUUUUAAAAGUUUUUUUUCAAAAUUGUCUUUUGGUAAUUGAUUACACUGCCUGGUAAUCGAUUACAGCUUUUAAGUUUCAUAUUCAAACUUUUCUGAAAGCUGUUAAAACUAUUUUUGCUUUUGGUAAUCUAUUACAGCCUCUGGUAAUCGAUUACCAGAGAGAAAUACAUAUUUUUCAAAAUGUAAUAUUUACUUCAAAACUUUAUAAGAUAUUUGAAAGCUUAAGUCUUUUAAGGCCAAACCUUUGCAACCUUUUUAAGAGAUUCUUUUAACAUAUAAAGGUUUAUCGUAAAUCGUUUCUCUUGAUUUCUUGAUCUUGACUUGAAUCAAUGUUGAAUAGCUUUAAUCUUUUGGCAUCAUCAAAAUCUUCAUACAACAUAUGCACUUACAAUAUCCCUUUUUUUGAUGAUGACAACAAUCUGAAAACAAGAUAAACGAUAUACGAUUUGUAAUGCUUGCACUCACUCUUACUCCACCUUAAAUUUGCAAUUUAUUGCCUAGUUUUUAGAUAAGAUCUACCCUAGUUUCUCUCCCCCUUUGGCAACAUCAAAAAGCCAAAAAGACUGGAGUAAAUAUCAAAGCCACAAAAUCUAGAGCAAGCAUCAUAACCAAAAAACCAAUCAUCCAUUGCAAAACAAAAACUAAAUAUCCAAAGCAAAGCAUAAAUCAAAUGCUAAAUAUCUAAAGCAAAGUAUAAACCAAAUGCUAAAUAUCCAAAGCAAAACACAAAAUUAACCAAAGUGCUAAAUAACUAAAGCCAAAUACAAGGCAAAAAGAGUAAAAAUGUCUAGAAAAUUAAGAACGUAAAAUACUAGAAAUGUCUAAGAAUCCGCAGGAGGAUCAAAGCAACGUUGAAUGAAGCUCAUGUCGUCUUCAAGACAUAUGAUAUGGGAGUCCAUGGCAUCAAAGCGAUCGUCGAUAAAAGCUCAAAGAUCCCGUAGCUCAAUGAGGACGUCAUUCAAUAAGGAGGAAGAGGUAUCUCGUUGCGGUGGUGGAGAGGGUGUGUGUUCAUCGAGAAUGGGAGGUGGCAGGUCUUGCUUAUGAACCCAUUGGCCAUCCAUAUCCUUCCAGUAUCCGAAAGAAGUAACAACACCAGCACCAAUAGCAAAAGAUCUUUUAACCUUAACAAAAGGCUCAUCCUCUAAAGGAACAUUGAAAUGUUGAAGAAACAAAGUAACAAGAUGAGGAUACAGAAAAUGUGCAUUGGCCAGUAAUGCCUUAUGCAUAUGGUACCAAACAAGAUGGGCCCAGUUAAUUUGGCAACCCGUUUGAAGAGCAAUAGCAAGAUUAAAUCCUACUCAGAGGCCUGAGCAAGAUUGGUGGACCGGGGAAGCAAGACUUGACAAAGGAUAUAAUGCAUGAUGCGACACUCAAAGGUGAAUGAGCCAGCAAGCAAUCUGUCGGUCAUAUCAGCAUGGUCAUUACAGAUCAUUUUACAAGCAUCAUGACUAGAAUAAACAUGUUUUCAAUCAUCAACUAGAGUGCCCUCAAAAGGAACACCCUGACUGCUUAGUUUAGUAAGAGAAUAAAAUAGAGAUUGAUCAACAACAAUAGGUAUUUGAUGCACCUCAGAGAAAAUGACUCCAUCCUGAAUUUUCAAAUUAUUAUAAAAGACUCUAACUAAUUCAGGAUAAUACAAAAAUGGCAUAGACAUAAACUCAACUAAUUCAAAAUUUUGAAACACUUGAUAGCAACCAAAGGUUUCCCCAUCAAAGAAUUUUACAUCUAAAUACUUAGGAUCGAGAAUGACACGAUUGGAGAAUUGGGAAUAGUACCUUUGAUGCUGGUCAUUAGAAGAAAACAAAGUUAAUGACCUGUGAGAUGAAAAAGAAGGAGGAUUUGGUGCUGGUGGGUCACCGGAUGUGUCGUGGCGACAUUGGCCUACAGCGGUGGUGGUGGAGGAGGAUCCCUUUCUCUUCUUUGAGGAUUCUGCCAUUUUGAGCUUGUUUCUGAAAAUUUUGAUCAGUGGGUUUUGUAGAGAAUUGAAAAAGAAGAAAUUUGAGCUUUGUUUGAAGUGAUUUGGACAAGAAACGAGAAAGUUAUGGAGAUUUGAAGUAUUGAGAAAAAGGGGCGCCGUCAAGGAGAGUGAAAGAAAAAAGGGCUGCACAAGGAGAGAGCAAAAUGCAGUAUUUAUAGACAGGGACGAGCUGUAAUCGAUUACAGCUCAUGGUAAUCGAUUACAGGCGUAACCUGUAACUGACCAAGCCCGCUGGUAAUCGAUUACAGCCUAUUGUAAUGGAUUACAGGGAGUGGUAAUCAAUUACCAGACCCUAAAAACAUGGAUUUUUCAUAAAAAUCUAACUAUUUUUCACUCACAAAACACACAUUUAGUAUAACAAUCAUCAACAACAAUCAACAAUCAAAAUAUACAAUCAAACCAAGUAUAAAAAAUUCUCAAACACAGACAUCAAAGAUAAUCAAAAUUUCAAGAACAAUCAUCAACAACAAUCAACAAUCAUCAUAACUAUCAAAACAUAAUUAUCAAAGACAAUCAAAACUCAAGUGAAAACAAUCAUUAAACCUCAAUCAACAAUAAUCAUUAAAAACAAACACAAUCAUCAAGGGCAAUCAAAAGUUUAACAAUCACAAGAAAAGAAAAUAAUAAACAAACAAAUUAAUUAUUUAUCUAAGUCAUUGAUAUCUAGGAGUCCUAAUUCUCUUCUAAUAGCAAAUAAGGUUUCUUUGGGGAGAGGUUUUGUAAAGAUAUCACCUAACUGAUUCUUUGUGUCAACGAAUUCUAGUACACAAUUCCCUUUUUGAACAUGAUCUCUCAAGAAAUGAUGCCUAAUCUCAAUAUGCUUGGUUCUCAAGUGUAGAACAGGAUUUUUGGAUAGGUUUAUUGCACUCGUGUUAUCACAUCGAAUGAGAAUAUGAUUAAGAAUUAAUUCAUAGUUAGAAAGUUAUUGUUUCAUCCAAAGUAUUUGUGCACAACAACUGCCAGCAGAAAUAUAUUCCGCCUCAGCAGUGGAUAAAACAACACUAUUUUAUUUCUUACUAUGCCAUGAAACUAGAGCAGAGCCAAUGAAAUGACAGGUUCCACUAAUGCUCUUUCUAUUAGUUUUGCAACCGACAAAAUCAGAAUAAGAGUAUCUUAUUAGAUUACAAGUGGAACUUUUAGGAUACCAUAAUUCUAAAUUAAUAGUGCCUAAUAGAUAUCUCAUGAUUCUUUUAACUACACUAAGGUGAGAUUCUUUGGGAUUUGCUUGAAAUCGUGCACACAUACAAAUACUAAACAUUAUAUCAGGUCUACUUGCAGAUAAAUAAAGAAGAGAUCUGAUCAUACCUCUAUAUUUCUUUAUGUCUAUUGACUGAUCGGUUUCAUCUUUAUCCAGAUAGCAAGCAGUACUCAUUGGAGUAGUCAUAUGUUUAGCAUUUUCCAUCCCAAAUCCAUCAUUGACAUUCCAAAUUCAUUUUGCAUAUCUUGAGAGAAUUCCCUUUAGAUAUGUCACCGAUAAUGUUAUCAAGAGGGUGGUAUCUAGAAGUUCUCCACCCUUUUGGAAGAUAUGCACUUGAUUUUGUUUCAUCAAUUUGAAAGUCUUCAUCAUUUCCUUUUCCUUUGCCUUUGUGAUCUUCACCAUGAAUAUGCAUUCCUUCUAAAGAAUUUGAAAUAUCAUCUAGAGUAUCUUUUCUUGGCAAAAUUAGGUUAGUUUCAUCAAAAGCAACAUGGAUAGAUUCUUCAAUGAUCAUAGUUUUUUUGUUAUAAAUUCUAAAUGCUUUACUGUGCAAGGAAUAUACCUUCAUUAGAUUUUGCAUCAAACUUACCAAGUUGUCUUUGCCGUUGUUUAGCACAAAACAUUUACAUCCAAACACAUGAAGAUGAGAAAUGUUCGGUUUUCUAUCGUUGUAUAAUUCAUAUGGAGUUUUCUUUAAGAUUGGUCUAAUUAAAGCUCUAUUCAUAAUAUAGCAUGCAAUAUUUACAACUUCAGCCCAAAAAUAUUUAGGAAGGAUUGUAUCAUUAAGCAAAGUUCUGGCUAUCUUUUUUAAAAAUCUAUUUUUCCUCUAAACUACUCCAUUUUGUUGAGGGGUUCUAGGUGCAGAAAAAUUAUGUUCAAUGUCAUUUUCAUCACAAAAUGAUUCAAAAUCCUUAUUUUCAAAUUCUCCUCCAUGAUCACUCCUAAUUUUGAGAUUUUUCUUAUUUUGAAUAAUUUUAGCAAGUUUCUUGAAAGCAUGAAAAACAUCUCUUUUAUGAGUGAGAAAUAAUGUCCGUGUAAAUCUGGAGUAAUCAUCAACUAUAACAAGAGGAUAGUAGUUUCCUCCAAAACUCAUAGUUCUAGAGGGACCAAAAAGAUCCAUAUGCAAAAGUUGUAAGGGUUGAGUUGUAGAUACAAUAUUCUUUGAUUUGAAAGAAACCCUUACUUGUUUUCCUUUAUGACAAGCAUCACAUAAUCUAUCUUUUUCAAAUUUAGGUUUUUGUAAACCAAUAACUAAAUCUUUAGAAAUUAGUUUAUUUAAAUGUUUCAUGUUUAUAUGGGCAAUUCUUUUAUGCCAUAACCAAGGAUCAUCAUCUUUACUAAGAAAACAUUGAUCAUGAUUUAGUGUUCUAUCUAAAUUUAUCAUGUAAACAUUAUUUGAUCUAUAGCCUAUAUGUUUUAUAUUUCUAUCAUGUUUGUUUUCAAUAACACAAUUAUGAGAGUCAAAUAAUACUAGAUAAUCUUUAUCACAUAAUUGACUAAAACAUAGUAAAUUGUGCUUAAGACCAUUAACAAGUAGAACAUUUUCAAUGGAGGUAGAUGAAUUCGUACCUAUUUUUCCAACUCCAAGGAUUAUACCUUUAUUGUUGUCGCCAUAAGUCACAUGUCCACUAUUCUUGGGAGAAAUAUGAGUGAACUUUGAUGCAUCUCCCGUCAUGUGUUUAGAGCAUCCACUAUCUAUGUACCAACUCUUCUUCAAAGAAACCUCUUCAUCGCUUUCAUAAUUUUUGGCCAUUAGACUCAGAUUUAUAACUUCAUUUUCUGAAUCUUCGGAUGAAUGUUGUCUUCCUAAGUGAUGUAUGCCUUCUUUGCUUUCUUAUCAUUGAAGGUUUUCUUUUAAGAUCUUUCUAUUCUUUUCUUGAAACUCGGGCAAUAAUCAACUCUCAGAUGUCCUCUUUACGAAGAAACUGAAAUCAUCAUCUUCCUCUAUUUCAUUCAAAUCUUCUUUAUUACUUCCUUCUUGAAUUGAAGGUGAAGCUUUAAGUGUGAUUCCUUUCUUUUUCUUAUCAUUCUCCUCAUGUUGAUUCAGUCUCAUUAGUUCCAUUUCGUGUUCUUGAAGCUUUCCAAACAAAGUUGCAAGAGACAUGUUAGUAAGAUUUCUUGAUUCUGUAAUAGCCGUUAUCUUUGAUUGUCAUUCCCUGCUUAAACAUCUUAGAACUUUAUUAAUAAGAUCCUCAUUGGGAAAUAUCUUUCCUAAUGAUGCAAGAUGAUUUACUAUGUGUGUGAAUCUCUUUUACAUAUCUUGUAUAGUUUCAUUUUGAUUCAUUCUAAACAAUUCAUAUUGAUGGGUUAGGAUAUUUAUUCUAGACCUUUUUACAUCCGUUGUUCCUUCAUGGGUUACUUGUAAGGUAUCCCACAUUUCUUUUGCAUUCUUGCAAUUUGAUACUCUAAAAUAUUCAUCCAUUCCUAAUGCAAAUGUAAUUAUAUUUUUGGGUUUUAAAUUAUAUUGUACCAAUUUCUUUUCCUCUUCAUCCCAUUGUUCCUUAGGGUUUUCUAUAGUUGCAUUUCUUGCUACCAUAGUAGGGAUGUAAGGACCAAUUUCUAUGGCUUUCUAGAUGUUUAAAUCAAUAGCCUCUAUAAAAAUUUGCAUACGGGUUUUCCAGUAAUGAUAACCCACACUAUUGAAUAUAGGAGGUCUAUUUAUAGAGUUCCCUUCGGGAAAUAAAAAGUUUGAUGAGGCCAUGACUAUUCUGGAAGUUUCUAAACCUUAUACAAGAAUUAAGCUCCGAUACCACUUGUUAGUCAAGUGGCCUCAAUAACUUAAGAGGGGGGUGAAUUAUGUUUCAAAAUUUCCCACUAAUAAACUUUUAACCCCCUUCUAAAUGAUAGGCUUAGAAUGCAGAAGAAGCAGCAAUCAAUUUAAUAAUAUUUUUUUAAACAUGCAAGACAAAAUUGAUUGCAAUAACAUAAAUGAGAUAAGGGAAGAGAGAAAUGCAAACUCGAUUUAUAUUGGUUCGGCCACUUCCCAUGCCUACGUCCAGUCCUCAAGCAACUCACUUGUGAUUUUCUACUAUCUCUGUAAAUCAUUUACAGACUUUGAACACACCUUGAGAUCCCUCAUCCUUGUGUUCAAAGAUUCUCCAAGAGAUAACCCGUCUCUUGAUUAAAACUGACUUUAUGAGAUGAACAAAAAGAUUUCUCUCCUUUAAAGUGGAUGGUACAAAUUGAAGAUCCUAGAGGAAUUUCUCUCUUUUAGAGAUGAUAAUACAAAUUGAAGUCCUAGAUGAACUCUCAAUAGAUUUGCAAGUGUUUGUCCAAGAGUUGUUGAGAGAGUUUUUGACAAUUAAGUUCUCUUAGAAUAUUUCUCUCUUGCUUUUCGAAGUCAGACACACAUAUACAUAGGCCCUUCGUGCCUUUUCUAAAUGGUUUGAAGAGAUGUAUCUUUUCAAAAAGUUUUUUCUAAAAUUCUUCACUAGUAAUCGAUUACAUGGUUAUAUUUUAAAGGGUCGUGUCUUUUGAAAGUGUUUUCUAAAGUGCCGUUGCUGGUAAUUGAUUACAAACAUCUGGUAAUCGAUUACAUGAUUCAAAAUUCAAAUUCAAAACCCUUUUUAAAAAGCUAUUUUUCAAAAUUGUCUUUUGGUAAUCAAUUACACUGUCUGGUAAUCGAUUACAACUUUCAAGUUUCAAAUUCAAACUUUUCUAAAUGUUGUUAAAAUCAUUUUUGCUUCUGGUAAUCGAUUACAACCUCUGAUAAUCAAUUACUAGAGAGAAAUACAUAUUUUUCAAAAUGUAAUAUUUACUUAAAAACUUUAUAAGAUAUUUGAAAGCUUAAGUCUUUUAAGGCCAAACCUUUGCAACCUUUUUAAGAGAUUCUUUUAACAUAUAAAGGUUUAUUGUAAAUCGUUUCUCUUGAUUUCUUGAUCUUAACUUGAAUCAAUGUUGAAUAGCUUUAAUCUUUUGGCAUCAUCAAAAUCUUCAUACAACAUAUGCACUUAAAGCAAGAUGGCAACAGAGUAAAUUAUGCAGCAAAUUUUAACCUUUCAAGGUCUCCAACAUGACUUUUUAUACAUUAUUUAAUCACCAAUAGACUAAGGAAUCGUCUGAUAACCUUUGCAACACUAACCAUACCUCUGAGCACCUUAAUUUUAUUAUUUUAAGGACAAUUUAAACUACAAGGCAGCAGUUGCGACUCUAUUAGGAAAAUCAUUAAAUAAAGUCAAGAUAUAAUCUCAAGAUAUCAAAUACAUCAUUGAGUUAUCAUUGAAUGGUCUCAUGACAACACCUUAUAUGUAGGUUAUCAAUAUAUCUAACAUGAGUCGAAGUCAUAUAUAAAAGUUAUUUGGCAACAAGUUCAUCUGCUUAGGAAAUGCACUUAAACCAAAAUCGAAAAUCUUUAUAUUUCCUAGUGAAUCAAGUAAAAGAUUUUCAAGCUGCACAAGGAAAAAAGGAAAAUUAGAAGAAAUCACCAUAAGGGCAAUAGACAACUUUUCAGAUCUCACGCAAUGCAAACCUUUAAAUCUAUGUGAUAAACUCCGUUACAGUGGCAAUAAUCUACAUUGUCAAUAAGUUGUUGGAAAUAUCUUCUAGAGUCAACUUCACUAAGAUGACCAUGAUAUAUCUGCACAAUCAUAUUAUUCACCAUCAAACAUUUCCAAUAUCUCGAAUGGUGAUUAAUAAAAGCCACAAUAAAAUCCACACAAAAAAGGUUCCAUCUUGAGCUACUCACAAUUUUAUAAACAAUUCACCACCCGUGAUGAACUCCAAUAUGAUAUAAAUCUUGGUACAACUUGCAAGAACCUGAAGUAAACAACGUUUCACAACAAAAACAAGUGCUUGUGAGUGGCAUCAACUAACGAGAGAAACAUUAAGAAUUACUUCUCAGAGCAAAUAUUGAGUCGGCAUGGCUCUUCGUUUAAAACAUUUUUUUUUCAUUUAAUCAAGGAAGAUUCUCAAAUAUCAGAAUAUGAUUUUAGAACUAUCCCUCACUCCAAAAGUCCAAACAAUCAAAAUAAAAAAGAAAUUCUAUAAUUCUGGUUUCUGCAUUGCACACUUUUCCCCAACCCUAAAAGCAUGACAUGAUUCAAAUGUUAUUCACAAGCUUUGCAUUUUUUGGGUUUUAAUUUAUUAGUUUAUUAUUAAGUGUCUUCUUGGCAGGGAAAUAGAAAAACGAAAAGAGAACAACAACAACAUCAUUCUUUGAAAAUUAAACCUGUGUUGUUUAUGGAGAUGCUCGUGCAAAGACCUCACAUGAUUAUGGUAAACAUGUGCAUCCCCAAUAAUAUGGAUAAAAUCACCUGGAAUGAGAUCUGACAAGAAGAACACAUAGUAUAAAGAUUGAUUAUUUUAUGUUUAAAUUACUUUUAAUGUUGUAUUUUCUCUUGUGAUAUUAUCAAAAUCAAUAAGCUUCUGAACCUUGAAUCUACCUAGACUGGAACUUCAAUUAAAAACUUAUUGAUAAACUUAUGAAAACAACUCUAUCAAAAAAUCUAUAAAAAUAAUUGAAAAGUGCAAAUAGGCCACUAAAAUAAUCAAAUUAGUUAAGCAAUGGAAAACCUUUUCUAUACAGAGAUAAUCUAUAACAAUUUUUUCCAAAAUUUGUCAUGAUUUCUUAAUGUUACCAUGCUAGGUAGAUGGAAGUUGAUGAGUCCAUGAGAACCUGGAACAGUGCAAAUAAUGUCUAUGAUAUCCCAACAUACAUAUUUAUAUAAUAUCAUACAUGAGAAUGCGAAAUUAAUUAAAAUAAUUUUAUUCAAUAAACAUAAAGGAACUCACAUGGGUAAAAGGUUUACAUUCACGUUAAUCACCAAAUUAAAAACUUAUCAAAUAAGGGUAUGAAAACAUCUCUGGCCCAAAACAAGGCCAUCUAAUUUUAACAAAAGAAAACAAGUUAAGCAACAUAAUAACAUAAACUAACAUAUUCAGAACAUUAUGCAAAUAAUAUAGAAACUCAUGCCCAAUACCACAUCAUAUCAUAGUGUUGUGUCUCAGCAUCCUCUAGCGCGAGGUUCUUUAAAAUUAUCCACCUAACCAUCUGCUCCCACGAACACAAGGUUCAAGAUUAUCACAGGACUCAAACACAAACAACACACGGGGAGUGAGUUAUCACAUUCCUAAACAGGUAAAUCUAAACGAAGCACAUAUAUAUAAUAUAAGUAUAAUGAGCUCAACUUAGCAUAAUUCACAUCAUUUUACCACUCAUUGUGUAACUUCACUUGUCCCAAGGAUUUAAUCACAAAAUCAUUUUCAUACCUUCACAUUAAUCAGGUGUUCAGAACAACACGUCUCAAGUACAACACAAUAUCUCACACUCACACAAUUCAUUACCCACCAUCACGUAACAAGUCAUAAUAGUCAUUAUGCAAGUAUUAUGUAACAGAUACACUAAGACUCAAUCUUAUAUGCAAUGUGGUACCAUGUCAGUGAAAAACCUCGCCGGGAGCCUAGGAGUACAUGGCAAGACAAACUACACGCUGGUAAGUCAGGUCACUCUCACUAGGUAAAAUCAUAGGAAUACAAGCUAGGGUCACGCUGUUUUGUGAGACUACUUCAACCAUGUGAGAUUGACACAAGCUUAAAGGAGCAUUCAAACCGGGUGUAUUUACCCCAAGGUCUAAACUCUGAAGAGUCAGUUAGGACCUUUCCUUCCCAAUUCAGGUCCAACCUAGAAAACAUUUUAGCACGCAGAUUGUAUCAAUGAAUAGUAAAAAACACACGACUCUUGAAUUAUUCUCAAAAUAAUUUUAACUCGUCGUGCCUCAAAGUGAUUAAACUCGUCGAGUUCCCAUAAUGGAUCUCAUCACAAUACUCGUCGUGCAUUAACUUGUCACCCUUAAAGGGUCUUACAACCGUGUGAUUGUAUGGUUGAUAGCUCACAACUCAAUGCACACAACAUCUCAAUACAUGUGUGAUCUCUCAACUUAUCACAUACACUCAAUCUCAAUCACAAUGUUAUAAUCCCAAAGCAACAUAUUAUCACACUCAUGAAUCAUAUACACAUCACACAAUAUUAAUAUAUGCAUGGCACAAACACAAACUUUACCUAUAAACUAUGUAAUACACACAAUUACUCAAUUGUUUUCAAAAUCAUUUUAACUUGUCGCGCCUCAAAAUGAUUCAACUUGUUAGGUUCCCACAGCGGAUCCCAUCAUAAUACUCGUCGCGCAUUAACUCGUUGCCCUUAAAGGGUCUUACAGUUGUAUGAUUACACAAUUGAUAACUCACAACGCAAUACAUACAAUAUCUCAAUACACAUGUAUCUCACAAUUCAUCACAUAUUCAAUUUAUCACUUACACACUAUCUCAAUCACAAUUUCAUGAUCUCAAUAUAAUAAUUUAACACACUAAUCUAGUAAAUCUUUUUCCAAAACACAAACGAAUUAUACAAAAAUGCUUCUCACAACAUGGGGAGUAAAACCCCUCAUACAAUUUUACAUAAUCAUAUCAUAAUCAAAGGAAUCAAAAUCAUAGGUUCAAUAAUCACAAAAAAAAAACCAAGAGCACUCAAUUUUGUAGAAGCAAAGCUUCAUGGAGAAUCAAAGGUAAUUUAAAGGUGUUUUGAUGAUAACAAUGAUGAUAACAAAAGAUGAUGACAAAAGGUGAUGACAAAAAGCUCAAAGAUCAAUCAGAGAACAACUCAGGUGAAUCAAGAACAAUUCAAGAGUUCAAGAUAAGAAUCAAGAAGAAUUCAAGACUCAAGAAGAAAGUUUAGAGUCAAGAAUCAAGAUUCAAGGUUCAAGAUCUCAAGAAUCAAGAUCAAGAUUCAAGAGUCAAGAGAAGGCUUAAUCAAGAUAAGUAUGAAAAGUUUUUCUCAAAAAUUGAGUAGCACAUGAUUUUUCUCAAAACAUGUUUACCAAAGAGUUUUUACUCUCUGGUAAUCGAUUACCAGAUUGUUGUAAUCGAUUACCAGCAGCAAAAUUGUUUUGAAAGAGUUUUCAAAUUGAAUUUACAACGUUCCAAUUAAUUUCAAAAAGCUGUAAUCGAUUACAAUGUUUUGGUAAUCGAUUACCAGUGCCUUUGAACGUUGAAAUUCAAAUUCAAAUGUGAAGAGUCACAUCCUUUCACAUAAAAGCCUUGCGUAAUCGAUUACACUGAUUUGGUAAUCGAUUACCAGUGAUUGUUUCUGAAUAAAUCAAAAGAUGUAACUCUUCAAAAGGUUUUUGACUUUUUCAAAUUGGUUUUAAGUUUUUCUAAAAGUUAUAACUCUUCUAAAUGGUCUUCUUGACCAGACAUGAAGAGUCUAUAAAAGCAAGGUUUUGUUUUGCAUUUUCAUUCAUUCAUUCAAUCUUGAACACUUAUUCAGACAAUCCUUUAUAAGCCUUGAAUCUCUUUAAACGUCUUCUUCUUCUUUGUACCAAAAGCUUUCUGAAGUUUUUCUGGUUUUCUAAACCUUGAAAACUUGUGUUAUUCAUCUUUUCAUUCUCUUCUCCCUCUACCAAAAAGAAUUCGCCAAGGACUAACCGCCUGAAUUCUUUUUGUGUCUCUCUUCUCCCUUUUCCAAAAGAACAAAGGACUAACCGCCUGAAUUCUUUUGUGUCUCCCUUCUCCCUUGUCAAAGAAUUCAAAACGACACAGUCUGAGAAUUCUUUUGAUUCUUCCCAUUCCCUUAUAAAAAAGUGUUCAAAGGACUAACCGCCUGAGAAUUCUUUUGUAUCCCUAUUCACAAAGUAUCAAAGGUUUAACAGCCUGAGAUCUUUGUCUUAACACAUUGGAGGGUACAUCCUUUGUGGUACAAGUAGAGGGUACAUCUACUUGGGUUUGACUGAGAACAAGAGAGGGUACAUCUCUUGUGGAUCAGUUCUAGUGGAGGGUACAUCCACUAAGUUCAAAGAGAACAAGGGAGGGUACAUCCCUUGUGGAUCUUUGCUUGUAAAAGGAUUUUUACAAGGUUGAAAGAAAUCUCAAGGACCGCAGGUCGCUUGGGUACUGGAUGUAGGCACGGGUUGUUGCCGAACCAGUAUAAAAACUCUUGUGUGUUUGCUUCCUUCUUCCCUACUCUUUUACUUUCUGCUGUGCAUUUAAUUUCCGCUUUUACUUUCUGUUAAGUUUCUCUUCUACUCCUCAUUCUCUUAAUUUAGUAAAAGCCUUAGAAGAGUAAUUUUUUAAUUAGUAAAGGUUUAGGAAUAAUUAAUUCAACCCCCCUUCUUAAUUAUUCUGAGGUCACUCGAUCCAACAAAUUUUAUCAACCAAUUUGCAUUAGGAUAUCAAUUGGUCCGUCAAACAUAACAAUCUUGUGAUUAUAAUCAUAAAGGCAGAAUUAUCAUCAUAAACAUCCCAAAAAAGAUCCCAAUUUGAUCCUCUAAGGACCCUUACACAUGUUCAUUUUAACUCCAAUUGCGAUAAACUCAUUCAUAAGCGGACUCACGUGUGUAGUCUGAUGACAAUAACAAUGUCUCUAGCAGUUCCCUGGGAUUCCUCCCUUUGGUUGUUCUGUUAUGAUUUCUAAGCAUUAGAGAGAAACAAAAGGGAUUGGAGCCUCAAUUUUACUAUCUCUGUGCGAGGGACAUUUCUCUCUCUAUAGACAUUAUUUCUCAAAUCCCAAAAGUAAAAAUGUGCGAAAAUGAGUUCUGAAGAUGAUGUUCAAAUUUCACGAGGAUCUAACGGUUAUUGGGAUUAUAAUUUUAUUAAGACAUGUUUGAAUGUAUGCAAAAAAAAGAAGAUAUUAGAAGAGAAAGAAGGAAAAAAAUUUUAAGACAAAGAUGGAGGGUACAAAUGUUUAAAUUAAGUUAGUUAGGAUACUUACUUUCAACCUAUUAUUUACUUUAUUUAUAUUUUAUUUUAUUAUUUUAUAACAAAGGAAAUUUUAUUUCUCUUUUAUUAAAUAAAUAAUCAAUUAAAACAUCUUUUUAUUCUCUAAAUCAUUAUUUUAUUUUAUUUAUUUUCUAAUAUUAUCAAACUCUUAUUUUAAGUAAUAAAAAAUUCUUUUUUUUCAUUUAUUUAAUUUCUAAAAAAAAUUAUUAAUUUUUUAUUUUACGGAAAACGGGUGUGAGAAUGCCAUUGAGAGUGCUACUCUCCAUAUCUUCUCCGUCCGCAAAACAAACUUAACAUCCUUCAAGCAUUUCACCGGCAAAUAGUCAAGUUCACGAAGUUAGUAUAAGACAAAUUGCAAUCAAUAGGUAAGAAUGCUCAGCUCUGCUCCUAGGUUAACCUGUGCUAUGAAGGUACCCGAAGAAUAAAACUAUAAAGAAGCACAUAAGCUACUAAUUCAAGAAAUGAACAUGUGAAGAGUGGUGAAAGCGAUAACGAAUAGAUGAGAAUCGGAUCGGGGCAGCUAAACGAUGUCGUUUAUCAGAGCUUGUGAAGGGUUUGAUCAAGGCACAUCCCGUGUGUCUCAAAGCCAUGGAACAGUUAAUGUCUCACAUUCUUUUUUUUUUUUUCUUUUUCUUUUUGCACCCACUUUCAGAUUCAAUUGGUGCCUUUCUUGGUUUUUUCUUGUACCCUUUGGGGUUUUAUCAUUUAGCUCCAAAAUGGUACCUUUUGCAAUGUUUGCCAUUAUUUUGCAUUUCACUUUUUAGCAUAAUUUAUUUGUUUCUGAAUCAUACUGAGGAAUGUGGUGCUUGUGGUGUUCAAUUCUCCUGUUUUGGUCUACAUUAGGCAUUCUGACUUCUGAGUUUAGUGAUUUUAGGAAUUUUUGGGAUGUCAUGUGUUUUGUCACCUAAUUUUGAUUUUCAAUGUUUAUUUAAAGUUUAGUGUUUUUUUUUUUUUAAUAUAUACUCUCUCUAGUCAUUAGGCAUUAGAAAAAAAACAUAUUUUUCUCUUAUCAUUCAUUUGAUUGAGGUACUAGUUUCAUAAACUCUUAUUUUUUAUACUAAGUUCCAAAUAUAAUUUGAAAAAAAGUUACUUUUUAAUUAAAAUUGAUGCAAUUAAAUAUUGCUAAGUAACUUUUGUUAGUUAGCGUGAAAUGUUUUUUUUUACUUCUUAUAUUUGAGAUGGAAGGAAAUACAUUUUAAGUUGAUAAGGAAAUGUCAGUAUUUAAUCUUUUAAUCUCCUGAAAAAAAAGUUAUAUAUUUUUAGUUUCUUAAAAUGUGUUAAGUGUAAUAAUAUCUGUUCUUUUCUUGGACUUAGUACUAGUAACAUGAAAUACAACGCCAAUUUUAUAAACAAAAAUGAUACAUCGACACCUUAUGCUAAUGUACUCCUAAAGAGAGAAAGAGAGAACAAAGAGAAACGUGAAUGUGAUAAGAAGAGACAUUGAAAAAAAAUGAGAAGUGCCAAUGAAGUGUUUGUAUUAUAACAGAUGUCCCUAUAUCAUUUUUCUUUUAUAGAUGAGGAAUUAAAAAUAUGAUUUUAUUUAAGGAACAUUCUAUUUUUCUAGGAACAUUUUCUUAUUUACAGGAAUAAAAAUAUACUAUUCAAACUUUUUUUUCCUGCAGGGUGAAAAUUUGAGUAUUAUUAUCUUUUUGACUGUGUUUACAAGAGCGCCACCUGCAACAUUUCCUAGAGCUGAAAAAAAUUAGAAUAUGCUCUGCUCUUAAGCAUGAAUAUUUAUCUGAAUUUCUAAAUAAGCGCAGAAACUGCUUAGUUAGGCUUUAUGUUGACAGCUAAAAUAUUGAAAAUGUUGAGUUCAGUAUGAUUGUUGUACCAUUGUUCUCAAUAAUAUUGAUCAUGUUCAUGACUGAUGUUUAUUCAAUUGAUUGGAGGCUAUGUUAGCCUUUAGUGCUGCUCAAGUAUUUUUAUGUGACAGAUCUGUCAUAAUGAAUAUGGUAUUUCAAAUGCAUGUGGAAUAUGGUAUUUUUCUCUAGUUAUAAUGAAUAUUUCUCAUCUGUAGUCUGUUAUACAAAUGUUUUUAUAUAAUAGAUCUGUCACAUUUUUUUCAAAUGCAUUUGGAAUAUGUAUUUUUCUCUAGUUAUAAUUUCUCAUUUAGCUACUUGCUGAGUGGAUUCAAGUAUAAUCUGACACUCUGAGUUCCUUUCCAUAGAAAAAGUGGAAACUGAAAAGAGGUGUACUUUCUCUCAUUCUCUUUCUUCAUUUUGUCUUGCCCUUUCUGGGUGUGGACUGAGUUCUUAAAUAUAGAACUACUCAUGUGAAAGAUUAUAUGUCUCUGCUCUGUUUCUGAUAUGUGAUAUCUGAUAACUCUUUGCUUAUAUGUAUAUAUAUUAUAUAUGCUGGUUUUAUCAACUUGGUAAGAAUUCUUAAAAUGAAAUGUUUGUUACUAAUAGACAAUGUUAUCAAUGGUGGAUGGUGGAAUGUAGCGGAAAGUCAAAAUUCCACCACAUGAACACAGAAUUGUGGCCUAUGGUGCUGUGUUAUGAGUCACACAUUGAGUAGAGUAAACUACUUGGUGUGGUACAUAGUCCUUGAGGUUCUUCACCUAAUGAACCAGUCUUUUGGGUUGAGCUCUUCUCUUGUGCUUAAUCCUAACAAUUAAUGCUUUUGGAAUGACUGAUUCAUAUUGGAUGCAUAGAAUUAGAGUAGGGUAUUUUUUUUCCAAGUUGCCUACUUUUAAAUAUGCCCUAGAUCAUGUCCACUUAGUUCAUAUGGAUGAUUAAUUUUCAGUAGGUUCUGUGCUUUUGAUCCCCCUCCAUCUCUCGUAUUUGGAUUGAGGGUUCUUGAGUUAAAGGAGCAAGGUGUUAGUAAGGAACAAGCAAUGGCUAUGGCAGAUGUAGUAACGUGAACUGGUUCCUGAACAUGUUAGCUCUGCAAUUUGUUUUUCCCUUGUGUUCUCUUAUCCUCUAAUAAUCCACUUUGGCUUUUUUGCUUCCUAGAUGGAGAGUAUCUGACAGAGAAGAGGGCAAAAAAGAAAGCAUAUACCUGUUUGAGGAAAAAACCCAUAUCCUAGUCCUAUCAAGGAAAUACAAGCUGAGGAGAGGAAAUUGUGAAGCAAUAGAAAGCUGAGUCAGCAGAGAGAUUCAGAGAGGGGGUGAUUGGUGAGAUGUAGAGGGGAAAAGUUACACUACUUUGAAAGUUUGGCUCUUGAACAAAUGAUCUUUGACAAUAACAUUUACUGUUCAGCCACUGAAAAGUUAUUUGUUGUAAAUAAGAAAAUCUAUUUGUUGUGUUAGAUAACUGUAGAGGAAAAUUUUACCAAAAUCUUAUGCAAGUUUUCUGUUUUUCCAGGCCACCCAUGUAGGUUUGUUAGUUGGUACAAAAGAACUAAAUAGAUAAUCAAGAUUUGUAUAUUUACUCUUUUUAUUUUUAUGAUUAUGAGCCUCAUGACCAAAAUAUUAUGCGAUUAAUUUUCAAUAUAAUAUAUUUUAACUUGACUUUUUGAAUGUUAAAAAAUUGAAUCUGUUUUAUAAUAUCAAUGUUCUUGAAGUAUCCAGCCAUAUAGAUAGCUUAAGUGUUCAAGUCAUGUGGAUGUGUCAAGUAAACUGUUUGAACUAACAAAACUUUUGUUAGACUUAGUGAGUAGUGUAGGACACAUGUUGUACAGAUGUCGAGAAAGUGUUGGUGCUAAAAAUUUGUCUAAUCACUGUGCUUAACAAGUUUCAUCUUAUCAUUCAGUAACUAUUGUGUUUUUCUUUAGCAGCCUUUUCCACUACUUUUAUCUCUUGUUCUGUUCUUGUCAUCCUCACUUGUACUCAGGGUCACUUGUUGCAUCUUAUUCUCUUGAUCUUUGUAUGUAGUUAAGUACAUUAUCAGAUUUUGUGGCAUGCAGACACGAGAUCUCUCACCAUCCUUUUAAUUAUUUUCAUCAUAAGCAGCACAUAACACUGUUUGAAGCAAUUUUAAUGUGAGCUCCUUUGGAUGGAUGCUAAUUCCCAGGUUCUAUCUUAAAGUUGUUCUUCUGACAAUGUCAUCCAUUUUUAGCUUUAGGUUGUUAACCAAAAUAGAAGCAAGGUGGCAGCUGUUGCUGAAGAACUCUGAUUAUUUGUGUCCUCUGAUGUACAGAUACUUUAUGGUCACAUAUCCAUAUUUGUAUCGUACUUGUAAUGAAUACCCAUAGGCGUAUAAUAAGGCUGCCUAAGUCGGGUAUGCAUUAAAUCUAGACUGUUUUAUUGAAACUUCUUACAUACACUAUUUCUUUAAAUAGUGAAACAAUUGUUAUCAUUAAGUUUUUUAAUAAAUUCGAUAAGAGAUUGAACACCAAUGAUGUUAGGAUGAUGGAGAUGACCCAUCAAUAGAUAUCAUCUAUAUUAAGAAAUAAAGAAAUUAAAAUAUAAUUUUAUGUAUCACAUUGCACCUAAUACUUGUAUGAGUUGUAUCCAAAGCCAUGAAACAAAAUGUGUCAGAUAUCAGUUAGAUAAGAUUCAGUUCAGCAGGCAGGUUGGAUAAGAGUAUUGCUUAUGUAUAUCUUAAAAGAAAGUUUCCUAUUUGACCGAAUGUGGGUGUUUUUGUCCACCUAGGAGCUUUUUACCAUGUAACCAGACAGAUAAUUGGUAUCUUAAAAUUUCAAAGGGUGGUCCUUCACACCUAAUUUGGAGAUCUAAUUUGUUGAUAUGUCUUCACUAAUAGACUGUAUUGCAAAAUUAGUAAAUUGAAGAUGACAUUACUCAAGUUUUUCAUGUGAGGAAGGAAGGGAGCACAAGGAAAACGGUGAAACCUCACUGAUCAGCAUUUUCAGAGGAACCUAUUAUGAAGCACUCAACUUGCUGACAUAGGCUUUAUGAUCUGCACUAAUCUUUUGAAACUUCAUUUUGUCACAUGUUACUAAGUUGAAAAAGAAAAUAUUGUUUUAGGAGCUAAAGAUGAAUAAGUAGCUAAAGGAAAGUUAUAUAGAAUUUGUAGUAAAAGGGAAGAGUGUAAACAUAUUUGCUUCAGUACACAGAGUGGAUGACUCAAGUGCUGGUUCCAUUACCAAAUUUCAGUGGUUUUGGUUGAAUAUGUAAGUCAGUGGAAGUGGUGCUGAAGAUUGGAGGGAAUGUUUGGAGUACAUGAUUAGAAAAGGGGAGAAUGAUUAAAAGAAAUAGAAAAUUGGCUGACUAAUAUUGGGGAUUCAUAGGAAUGUUGUGUGUUAGUAAAUUGGAAAAAUGUUACUCCAUUGAUAUUUUCAGCAUACCAUUCAUCUAAGAAGCAUAACUGUUCCUUUUUAUAUAUUUUCUGUUACCUUCCUUUCCUUCAAAACAUGGCUUUUGAAUUUUGAACCAUUAACUGAGUUGGAAUAGUGGUAAAAUCAUGUAGAUUUUUGUUUUCGUUUUGUGGGGAUAUGAAUGAGAAAAAUCCUUACAACCAGACAAAGCUGUGGCUCAGAAGAAAGAGAAACAUGCCUCACUGCUAGAAUCACUGGAACUAACAUCUUGUAAACAAACUGUUAUACCAAACUUUCCUAAGGUGCAAUUCUCAACCAUUAACCAAUUUCAUCUCAAACAACACUAUCAGUUCUUCAGUCAUGAACUUCCCAUACUGAAAAUUUGUCACCUAUUUCUUUUAUAGGCAGUGGCUUCUUAUGAGAGUCACACUCUCUGAACUUCUUAUGUAAAACUUGACUUUUCAUUUUGUGCUUUAUAAUUGUUAUCUCAUGCAUUGCCCUUUUAAGAUAAGGUUGUUGUGCAUUGUUUGGUUGAGUACAACGAUUUACUGAUGACCAUAACUAUUUGUGGAUCUUAUAUUUUCAAAAGUGUAUGCUUGGUCAUUAAUCAACCAAGCUUGAUAAGCCCCAUCACCUACCAUCCCCUUCUAUGCCAUAUACACAUUUUGCUUAUCUACAUUGCUACUGUUACUCUCAAACAAGUCUAACAAAUAAUAAGUGAAGUUAAUGAACAUUUUUAGUAAUAUUAUUAUAAGGAUUGGCCAAUGUAAUGGUGAACAGAGAAGCAUGCUUUCAGCUACCCAACAAACUGGAUAAGAGUGUCAGUUGAUAUGGUUCUCUUGUUUUUUUUUUUUUUUUUUCCAAUGCAAAAUCACCUUUAAAAUAUAAAAGAUCACUGUAACAAAGGGACAAAGGGUUUUCACUUAACCCAUGCAUGAGAUAUGAUGGUCACAAAAUAUGUUAGGUUUAAUAUGGAAUGAGGGCACAGUACAAACCACUCACAAAUAAUAUCAAACUCCACCACCAUCACACAUUUUACGUUCUUCCAAGGAAGAGAUAAGAUAAUGAAGCCUCCUCCACGUGUCACUUCCACAUGGUACCUAACGAUAAGGCUACCAUUCAAAAUUUUCCUCACUCGUGUGGCCAAUAUGCUGUAAUGUCAUCACUUAUUCAAUCCAACGGUUGUAACUUCUCAGCAACCAAUCCCCUCCAUUUCACACCAUCGGAUUAGUACUACACAAAUCACACUAUUAUAUAUAGUAAGUUUGAGCAGAAGCUUGGAUAUCUGGCAGCAGAAGAACAAGUAGUUGAGAACUAAGAAGGAGAAGCAAAUGGCUUCCUCAAUGAUCUCUUCCCCAGCUGUUACCACUGUCAACCGUGCCGGUGCCGGCAUGGUUGCUCCAUUCACUGGCCUCAAGUCCAUGGCUGGCUUCCCCACCAGGAAGACCAACAAUGACAUUACCUCCAUUGCUAGCAACGGUGGAAGAGUGCAAUGCAUGCAGGUAUGACAACUCCACACAUAUAAAUACACAAGAGGCACCAAAAUGAUUAUAAUUCAUGUUACAUAUUUAGGCAUGUACCUAAAUGUUACUUAAAUAAACAUGUUAGUCAUAGGUUGCUUAAAUUUUAGUCAUAGGAAAAUUUGCACAUGUGCUAGUUAAUCUGUUAACCCCUUUACUCAAUUUUCAUGCAAAUUAAUUACUAGGUGUGGCCACCAGUUGGCAAGAAGAAGUUUGAGACUCUUUCCUACCUGCCAGACCUUGAUGAUGCACAAUUGGCAAAGGAAGUAGAAUACCUUCUUAGGAAGGGAUGGAUUCCUUGCUUGGAAUUCGAGUUGGAGGUCAAUUUCUUGCAAACACUUUUGGUUUAAUCAUAGAUUUUCUUAUUCUUAGUUUGUUUCAACUUAUUUUCAAGAAAUAAUCGCUUCUCUAGCUAGUGUGCUAAAAGUACUUUUGGAAACAAAACAAAAAAUGGUUGUGUUCCAAAAUUUAAAUUUAUCUAACAGAUUUUUCUAUCUGAGAGUUAUCAAUAUGUAUCAAAUCUGUUCCUAUCUCUGACCAAAUUUUAUUCUUCCAAAACAAGCACUUGGUUUUGAGUUUUGAUGGUUGAUCUGCUUGUUUGCAGCACGGUUUCGUGUACCGUGAGCACAACAGGUCACCAGGAUACUACGAUGGACGCUACUGGACCAUGUGGAAGCUGCCUAUGUUUGGUUGCACUGAUGCUUCUCAGGUGUUGAAGGAGCUUCAAGAGGCUAAGACUGCAUACCCCAACGGCUUCAUCCGUAUCAUCGGAUUCGACAACGUUCGCCAAGUGCAGUGCAUCAGCUUCAUCGCCUACAAGCCCCCAGGCUUCUAAGUGUGAAAAAUUUGCAAAGCAUUUGUAGCCGCCACCCCACUUUGUUUGUUUGUACUUAAACUACAUUCCCAUUUGUUUUUGCUUUUUGAGAUUUCAUCAUCCUGUAUUUUUGGUUUCUGUUUUCGGACUUCAAUGGAAAUUAAUGGAUGAGAACUAAUGAAUAAGCUAUUGUGUUGUGUUGCUUUGUUUCAAAAUAACUUCAAUAACCCAUCGUCCUUGCAUUUCUCUCUAGUGGGCUGAAAUUAAUCUUUUCUAAAUUUAAGUUAAUUAAUUGUGUCUCUAAAUGAUGGUUAACAGAGGAACUGUGUUAUUCAAGUACUCUGCAUAGUUUAGCUGAGCUUGGCCUUACUUUGUCACAACUCACAAAUCUGAUGUAUGAAUGUUCUUUAUACUUUGGUCUUCCAAGAAAUGAAGUUCAUGACAUAUAUAGUUUGUAAACAUGUUGCUAGGAAGCUUCUGAACUUUCAAAACCAAAUAUGAACUUGAUAAUUCUUGGAAACACAGAUAUUUUGUAUAGUACAUAGCAACAAAAAACCACUAAGGAACUGCUACCAAAUCGUUUUGUUAUUUAUGUGCAAAGAAAGCGAUGUCAAAUUCAAAUUUUUAUUGGUUUCAGAAUCUUUUCUUUCCAAGCAAUAACCACCAACUGCACGAAACCGUUUUGUUUGUUCCAUUUCUCACUCUCCUCACUGCAAUAUUCAAAUUCUGAUUUGGAAAACAGCACAUAAAAACACAAGAUUUGGUCAUGCUCUGGUUCUACCAAAUACUACAUUUGUUUCUAGAAUUGCCAGAAUCUGAUCCUUAGCUGACAAUUAAUCUCUAGAAGAUUCUUUUGCUUGUAACUUGGUAGUUAUGGAUUAGCAACUGAUAAAUAAAUCAUUUAGUGGGCUCUAUGUUGUGAGUAGUGAUAGGUAACUUAUCUCGACACCUUUUAGUAGAUUGCAUUAAUAUUUAGACUGGACCCUUUUGAUAGCUACAUUUGUGAACAAGAAUACAAUACGAUAAAGAAAUAGAUAAGAAGUUUCACCUCCUAUACUCCCAUGACCACAUCAUGACAUAUUCAAUGCCAAUCAUGAAUAUACAAACCAAUAGGAUUUGUUUUCUUCCAAAUAUUUAUUUGUGGACGUGAAUCUACUCACCCUAGAAGCAAGUUUCGUUAAAUUUACUUUGUUUAAUAAUUUUUUGUGAACAUUCAUUCUUUUUUAAUUCAACUGUUAUAUAAAAAUAUCUCACUAAGUAGAUCAAAUAUGCAAACUUUUAAUCAACAUUAUGUUGAUCCGAGGAUAAUUAAAUUCAAAUUCCUUAAGAAAGGUCUUAAGUUCAAAUUUUGUGAAUGGAAAAUAUAAUUAAAAAAAAAGACAUAACUAAAGUAGCUAGUCAAGUCAUGAUAAAGUCUUACAAUUCAUGAAAUAACUAAUAUUAUAUCAAUCAACUUCAUUUUAAUGGAUAGUAGUAUUAUUCUUUUAAAAUACAAGUAAAUGUUAACUAUAAGAUAAUCUUUAUGGUAAUAUAUUACAAAAUAUAAUAGUUAAGGGUCUGUUUGGGUGGUUGUUAGUUGUAAGUUUCAUUUUUAAUUUUAAACCAGUCUUUAAAAUUUGGUUAGUUUUCUAAUUCUUAGUUUUAAGAUAAAGCCAUUUAAAAAAAUUUCAAUCCUUUUAAAAUUAAUUUAAAAGGUGAUAAUGUCAACAUAGGUUAUGGUUCUAGUGUUAGUAGAGGCGACCAGAAAUGUCAUUGUCAAAUGUAGAGUGUGUACUUUUUUUAAAUUAAAAUCAAAAUUACAAAUGUUUUUUUUCUUUAUUUUGAAAAUAAAGAUAAAAAAGUGUUUUGAGAUAGUCAAUCAUUUCAACUUCAUUUUCUGCCCAAAGCUUUUGAUUUUGAAAAUUACAUUUAAAAAUAAAAUUAAAAAACUCACAAUUACCUGACCAAACCUUAAGUCUUUUAAAUUAAUUAAUAUUCUAUAAAGAAAUAGUAUUUUUAAAAUAUUUAUAUAAUUUAAGUAUUUACUUAUUUUUAGAGUGAAUAGAUCCCUUUCGUUUGUUUCAUUCAUCAUACAGAAUCAAUAAUACACUGGAAUAUUCGCUUAUAUAUAUAUAUAUAUAUAUAUAUAUAUAUAUAUAUAUAUAUAUAUAUAUAUAUAUAUAAAAUGUACAUGGAAAAAAUAAUUUUCCAUUAGUGUAUUAAAAUUUGAAGAGAGACAGACAAAUAUAUCCUUAUUUCCAUAGAGCCUGCAAAAACCUAACUAUCCAGUCAAUAUUUUAUAUUUCCGUAGUUUUUCUGACAAACCAAUUUCUUUAAUAAAGUUUUCAAAUAAGUUAUAUAACAUAUCAUAAUAUUCAAGGUUUUCCAAGAGAAAUUUAAAAAUUGUUAUUUUGACAAGAUAAGUGCUACAUAAUUGUGUGGUCUAUAGCGACUAAUGAGUCAAGGCAUCGUGACUCUGUCGUAGCAAAAAAGGUAAACAAAAACAAGUCAUUGUCAUAGCAUUAUUUGAAGUUGAAGAAUACGUAGUGUGAUAUGAUUUAUUUAUGACUUUUUUGGUUGUUUCCGUUGCAUUUUGUGAAUCGAAGAUCAAAUAGCUAGCUAUAAAAAGAUCCUAAACAGAUAACAACCUAUUGGUAAUUUAUUUUGUUUUUGUUUUAGUCUAUUCAAUUAUAUAUAGGCUCAUAUAUGUAGAUUUUAUAAGUUUAAGCCACAAAAAAUAUAUUUUUAUUAAAACAAUAAAAAGAUAUUGCCGUAGUGUUUAUACGAGAAAUGGCGCAUAGUAAGGUGCUCGAUCGAGUCUCUAUCAAUUUGCUUUUGGUAGGAAAAGAAAAGACAAAAGAAGAAAGUUACAAAGUGCACUCUUAAUCCUUGUGUCUUUAUAAUCAAGUUGGAUAAAGACACAUUAACACUCAUGUUAUUUUUUAAUUCCCUGAGUAUUUAACUCAAUUAGAUACUUAAAGAUUUAAAUUUGAGGCCGUUACUAGUUAAUUAAAAUAAUUCCGCAUAAAUUGAUUCAAACACAUUAUUUGACAUCUUAAGAGAAAAAGAAAAAAAAUGAAAUGUAAACAUGAUAAAUUAUAUGAUAUGAUAAGGGAAAUACAAAAAUAAAUAAAAGAUGUCAAAUAAAUAUCCAUGCAUGUAUCAUUACUAAUUAAGUUUCAAAAUCAUAGAGUGAUACAUGAAUUUUUUUAUUUUAAAUUCAAAAUAUAUCUCAGUGAAAACUAUUUAAUGUUUAAAAUAACAUUCAUACAUCAAUGUUUUAUUUGAGAACUUUGAUAAAUAAGUAUUUUGUUUCAGGAAUUAUGUUUAUACUUUAUAGUGUAUUAAUCCUAUGACAUAUUGUGUGAUAGUAACGAUGAGAAAGGAAAUAAAAAGGAAUAAAAUAGGAUAAAAAUAUUAAAUUCCUACUAUUAUUUGAAAGAAGAAAUAAAAAGUAGAAUUUUCUUAAUUAAUCUCACAUGAAAAUUAAUAUUUCUCCUCUAUAUAUCAAAAAAAAUAUCCCUGCUCAUGGGCAAGAAAGAAAACAAACAAAACAAAGGGCAACAAACAAGGCAUAGCCACUUGCUUGUGUUGGGACCAAAACAAAACAAAACAAAUGGGUCAUUAUUGUUUAGGGUGGUGGUAAGAUAAGGACUAAACUGUAAUUGUCUGGCUCAGCUGCAUACUUCAAAAAUGUGGUGCACAUGGAAACAAGGGGGAGAAGUGGAGAAAAUGAAGACCAAUGUACAUACUUUCUUCCUCAAUCAAUGUAUCAACAAUAUCAGUCCAUGGCAACGUUGUUUUUCAGGAUGUGACUCUCUCGAGGGCCUAAAGGCCCACCAGGUUCAUCAUUCAUCAAGGUUUUGUAGUUUAAUCAUACAAUUUCAAGCACCAAAGAAAAUGAGCCUUGGUAAGUUUUUUUUUCAUCACCAAAAUGAUAUUUUUUUUCCCUUUCAAAUUCUAUGGUUGCACUUGCACACAUUGGAUUUGACAUGUCAAUAUCAACAACUUUUAAUUAAAUGCAGUUCUUGUAAACAUUCAAUUUCAUCGAAACAAACAAAAUAAAAAUGUACAAAUGAGAACAUUUGAAAAAAAGAAGCAUAACCGAUUAUAAAAGAAGGAAAAGUAAUAUUCAAUCAGAAAAGAAAAUUGUGAUAACCAUCUUUUGUUCUCCCAUCUUAUUUUAUCUUUUUGUCAAAAUAAUUUUACAUUAUCGUUCAAUCAUAAAUCGUUACAGAUAUAAAUUUUAAAGUAAUUAUCAUAAAAAUUAAUAAAUUUAUCAUACAUGAUAAGUUAUAAUUGAAUGACGAUGUAUUUUACAUUAAGUAUAACCUAUUUUCUUUUUUUUCUUCGAUUGUUAUAUUCUUUGUCUAAUAAAAAAGAGAAUAUACUGACAUUAAAAAUAAAAAAAAUAGAAAAUUAUAAAAUAUAACAACACAACAAGAAGAAUGAUUAAGGGUAUGUUGGAUUGCUUUUUGAAGUGUUUCAAAUGGAUAAUUCCAUUUUUUCAUGCAAGUAGAAGCAAUUAUUGCUUGCCAUUUGAGUGAACGUUUAUUGAAGCGAAGGGCAACUUUUUUCCCAUCACGUCCUAGUUGUUUUGAAGUUAUUUUUGGCAUCUCUCUAGUUUCCUUUUGGGGGUUGCUAGGUGCACCCAGCAUUAUUGCUGGUGCACCCAGCACUUAUUGUGAAAAGUCACAAAUGCCCUUGUUAUUUUUUAAAAAAAAAGCAGUGCACCCAACGACCCUUUCUUCUUCCUUUUCCGCGAGCCUCUUCUCCUUCAUUCUUCUUCCUUUUCUGCGAGCCUUUCUUCUUCUCCUUCUUUCUUCUGCGAGCCUCUUCAACUUCUUUCUUCCUCCUUCCUCAUUCUUCCGCGAGCCCAUUUGCUUCUCUAGCACGAGGUGGUUGUUCUUCUUCCGCGCAAGCUGCUGCUUCUCCCUCCUUCGAGUGCGCUUCUUCUUCCAUUCUGCCGCGAGGUGCUGCUCUUCUAUUCUUCAUCGAGGUAAGGUCUAUUAUCCUUUUUCUUGUUUGUUAUUGCUUUCAUUGGUGAUUGCUUAAGUAUUUAGGUCAUCCGCAGUAGAGACAAGUUAGGACCUAGGUGAUCCGCAAAUAGGGUAGAUGAUCCGUAGGUUGUGUUUAUGUUGUGUUGAACUUGCGGAUCACGUUGAUCCGCAAGAAGAAAAGGUUGAUUCGCAUGCUUCCCACAGAUCAAGUUGAUCCGCAUGCUUCAUGCAGAUCAACUUGAUCCGCGGGAAGCAUGCAGAUCAACUUGAUCUGUGUGAAACAUUUUACAUUUUUAAAAGUUUAAAUUAGGUUAUAAUUAAUGAAAAAUGGUUUUUAAUGGUUACUUUUGAAGCUUUUGCCUCAAGUAUGAUAUUGUAUAAUGGUUAUUUAUAUCCUGUAUGGUAGUGAAUAUGCAAUUGAAAAUAUGAACACAAUCUAUUAGGUUGUAGCUUCUCAUGUGCCUAAAAAGGAUUAGAAUCCUUAAAUUUAGACAAGAAUUUGUGAUGGUGCUUGUCAUAUGCCUCAAAGCAGUAAACAUCCUGAAAUUGUUGUGUACUAGAUCAUUAACCAUAAAAUGAUGGUGGUAAGUUUAAAUCACUGAAAUAAUACUCCACCUACAAUAAUACCUCCCAACUACUGAGAAAAUCUUCAUAAGAUUUGGAUGAAUUGAAAAAGAAAAGUAUAUGGUCAGAAUAUUCUAGGAAGGAUAAAAAGAACUGUUGCUUUUCGUUGUCUUGGUGAAUUGAAAAAGAAAAGAAAAUAUCAAGCCAUGAAUGUCAUAAUCCAAAAUCCAAAUAGAUAUUUUUCAAAAUAAUCGGAAAAAAAUGAAAUAUCCAAGCACAAAUUGUCCCUUUUAUGUCUAAUGCUCUAGCAGAAUCAGACCUGAGGGUGAGAGUCAAAUUACUAUAUUAUACUCAAUCAAACAUCAAUAUGCAACUGCAGAGAUAAAUCACAUACUUGAGUAAUAGUUAGGAAAUAAUAGAGCAAACACACUUCAUGCAAAUGAUUGACCUCAACUUGCAAAAAAUUAGAAACAAUAGUUAGAAUAUAUACCCAAAGUAGGUCAAUUAAAAUAGUAGUUAGAAUUCAUGUUAUCCACCAAAUCCCAAAAUGAUGCUAACAAAAAUUAGAACCCUGAAUACAUGAUAUUUGAAUAAAAAAUUUCGAUAAGAAUACAUGAUAUGCAUGGGUCAUCAUAGAACCCAUCAUGCAACAUUAGUAAACUGUCUUGCACAACUUAAAGUCAAUCACACAUUUGCAGAUCAUGGUUAAGACUAGAGGAUUAGGCCGUGCAUUAGGUAGGGUUGGUGCCAAAGGUUUGGGGAGAGGAGGGGAUGGUGAUGAUACUGAUGGUGCUCCCCAGGGCCGAAGGCUGACCGCAUCGGCAAGCAGGUGACGAGUACCAGUCAUUCUUGACGAUGAUGUGCCUGUGGUGCCUGCGAACUCGCCUGCGGUACCAGAGGCAGAGGCUGCUGUAGCUGGGGAUGAGCCCAUGGUAGAUGCUGCCACACAGGACACCGGUGCAGAGACUGACGCACAGGAUACCGGUGCAGAGACUGACGGGGACGAGCUUGAGGGAUUUCUUGGUGGACCCAGGGACCCAUUAGUGCUUACAGAGUAUGCUGACCAUGUUGCGGGCAGCGUAUGGUCUGGACAGGUAUUUAUAAUAUUAAAGUUAGUUAACUUUUAUUUUUUUUUAUUUUUUGGUUACUUAUUGACGUUAUUUGAAAAAAUUGUGUGUUCCUUUGUACUUCAAUUCAGGAACAUCUUGAGUUGAAGUUAUGCUCCCAUGGGAGGAAGGUGCAUAACUUGGGCAGGUCUAUUCCUGCAAUUGAGGACAUGGUUGCUGGGACAGGAUUAAGUCCUUUGAUCGCGUGUUCAAUAGACACCGGCGAUCGGGGACUUAUAUCCUCCUUUGUUGAGAGGUGGCACCGGGAGACUUCUAAUUUCCAUCUUCCUGUGGGGGAGGUUUCGAUCACGCUGGAUGACAUCGCGUCUCUUCUCCAUCUGCCUAUCGUUGGCGCAUUCCAUGACUUCCAGCCUUUGUGCACCGACGAGACGGUGUUGCUGUUGGUUGAGUUACUGAUGGUCUCAGCAGAGGUGGCCAUGACCGAGACAGGCCAAUGUGGUGGACCAUACGUACGCCUGUAGUGGCUACGAGACGUAUACCAGUGCAGAUGUCAGACGCAGCACUGGACAGUUGCCGCUCAUGCUUAUCUUCUACAUCUUUUGGGUUGCACUCUUUUUGCUAAUAAGAGUGCAACCCAUGUUCAUGUCGCACACAUACAGGCCCUACGUAACCUCACUCUUGCUGGGCGGUAUGCAUGGAGAGCUGCUGGCCUCGUCCAUAUGUACAAUCAACUUAAUGAUGCCAGUCUCAGCACCAGCCGACAGUUUGCUGGUUAUAUCACCUUGUUACAAGUAAUUAAUAUGUAUUUCAUAAUUUAAUUACAACAAUGUUUUAAUGACUGUAUAUUUAAUUAACAUGUAUGAUUUUCAUGUAAACCCUAUAGUGUUGGAUAUACGAGCACUUUCCUUCAGUUGCAGAGUGCAAUGCUGAUCCGGACUACGACGAGGUGUUACCACGUGCAUGUCGGUGGAUUGCGACAAAGAAGACUGUGAAGAAGCUAUCUACAGCGACGUACAGGCAGUGCAUGGAUCGUCUGAGGAUCCUGGAUGCCUGCUGGAUGCCAUAUGCGGAGCACCGACCUGUGCAGAACUUUCAUCCGAUUUCGUGCUUCUCUGGAAAGCUCUGCAAGGGGCCUGCUGUUGUCAGAUACAGACUGGAGAGGUUUAUGCACCAGUUUGGCUACAUCCAGUGCAUUCCUGCACACCCUGUCCAUUCAUGGGUGUCAUAUGAUGACAUGGACGAUACGUGGACGCACUACUCAGACCAUCUGGAGGCAGCAGGUGAUCUAUGUGUUGUGUCAGGUCAGUGUGCGCCUGACUACAUAGACUGGUUCUUCGUCAUAUCGCAUCCAUUCAUGACUGCACCACAGACGAAUCCUCCUCGAGAUGCAUAUGCGAUGCAGCCCAGUCAUAUCCCUCAUGAGGCAGCACCGACAUCGACACAUGUGGAUCCUGAUGCAAACGAGCCCAGACAUGCAGUGGUAAGUGUUACUAUUUGGUUAGAUGUAUGCCAUUUACUUCAAUUAUUUUAAUACUAAUUUGUAUAAUUUGUUUGUUUUUUAUUUAACAGGAGGCUUGUCAUGCGAUCGCAGAGGCGUUGGAGCAGCAUCUAAAUGUGCUAGGCACAUCUACACAUGAAGAGGUUAUCCAAAAAUGCCUCAGGAUUGUCAGGAGUGUCACUGAAGACCGCAAUGUGUAUGUGAGGUCUCGACGUAGGCGGUGCACGGAUCAACAAUAGUUUAUUCACACUUUAGAUAUCAUUAGUUUUUGACGAUGUAUUUGACUUGACAUUUUGUCAAUUAUGUUUAAAUUACUUGAUCCAAAAUUUAUUUUGUAAUUGUAUGCUAAGAAAUUACAUAGACCCUAAGAAACUCCAUUUUGAGAAAACAUAAAGACAACUAAAACUUCUCUCCACAAAAACACUUAGGCAAACACAUCCAUGAUCCGCGGCACAAUAAUUUGCAAUAGUAAGCUCCAAAUCUGUUCUAAGAUCGUAAGUUCCUUGAUUAGUUGGUUCCUUCUGCAAAACAACCAAAAAAUUUACAAGCAGACAAGGUUAGGGAGGGGGAGGAAGCAAAUCCUUUUUCAAAAAUAAAUAAAUAUAUGAACUUAAUCCAAUAUCACUUUAAUUGUGACUGAAUAUAAUCACAUUAAUUUAAAAUAAAUCACCUCAAGCAGAAAGGAAAUGUUUUAUUAAACCAGUCAUUAUUUAACAAUAGCAAUGGAUAUUUUUAUAUAGCUACUUCAAAUUAACCUCGCACUAAAGUAGUUACCUGCAUAUAUCAGUGACAACUUUCAGUGCUUGCUUAGACACUUGUUGAUUGUGAUAUCUUCAAAUUAGCCAUUUGUCGCCUUCUCUUGGCUUUCCUUGAUAGAUUAUCCCUAUUAAUAUUUGAUCCGCAUGCAUCCCAACCUUUAGGAAGCCCAAGUAAUUCAUCCUUCUUUUCAAAAAUCUAGCUUCUCAUUGUCAUCAUGUCACUACAAAAGUCAGGGUCAGCAUCCUCUACAUUAUAAUAUUUCUCGUCAAAUGCCUUCUUCAUCAUUCUAUCAUACUCCUGUGGGUCAAAUUCCUCUUCAAUUUCUUCCCUGGACAAUGGGAUAAUAUCAUCACCAUGGAUCCCUGCAGUCUUCAUUAUCUUUUUAACCUUUUCCUGUAUUUCCUGCUUAUUCAAAUUCUUUAAGCGUUUCAACUCCUCCUCCCUCUCUUUUUGUUCUAUAGCCAUUCUCUCCUCUUUGCUCUUUCUCUGCUCUUUCCUUGCAUUCGUCUUCUUCCUCAUUGAUCCCUCCACCUUCCGAGCAUGACCCAACACCCUAUCUUCUGGAUUUUCCUGAAAUCUGUAUUCAUAUUCUUCCUAUCUCUUGAGCUCCAUCUCAUCCUCUGAAAUCUCUUGCAAUUCAUCCUCUCCAACAUUCAAAUUCUUCCCACUCUUGCCAAUCCACAAUUUGACCCAACACCCUAUCAAGUUGAUCCGUUGUUGAUCCAUAGAAGGCUUACGGAUCAACUUGAUCCAUAAACCAAACUCGAUCCAUAGAAGUAAAAUCAACAUACGGAUCAAGGUGAUCCAUGGAAGACUCGCGGAUCAACUUGAUGUUAGAGUUUGUGGUCUUAGUUCCUUUGUCCCACAUUGCUUGGUUUGUAAAAACUUGUGUCUCACUAGUGUUAUAUAUAGAGACACCUUGUAAGCUUUUAUGUGCAAGUAAUAAAAGUUCUCCUAGUGUAGCCGUGGACGUAGGCACAUACAUUGUGUGCUGAACCACGUUAAACUGUGUGUCUUUUUCUUUCUUCCCUUUAUUUCUUUCUCUUCUUUUAUUGCUCUAUACUAACAACUGGUAUCAAGAGCUUUUGGUUACUCCACGGAAUUUCCUUAGUUUAAAGGAAUUAGUGGGAGUCUUCUCAGUUUAGAGGAGGCAGUGGGAGCAAUGGCAUUAGAAGAGGGAAAAAUGAAGAUCGAGAAGUUCGAUGGCAGAGAUUUCAGCUUUUGGAAGAUGCAGAUAGAGGAUUAUCUAUAUCAGAAGAAGUUGUAUCAGCCCUUAUCAGGGGUUAAGCCAGAAGACAUGAAGCAAGAAGAAUGGAACUUGCUAGAUCGACAUGCUCUUGGCGUGAUCAGAUUGACAUUAGCCAAGAAUGUCGCGUUCAACAUCAUGAACGAGAAGACUACUGCAGGCUUAAUGAAGGCAUUAUCAGAUAUGUACGAGAAGCCGUCAGCAGCCAACAAAGUAUACUUGAUGCGCCGGUUGUUCAACCUCAAGAUGGGAGAAGGUAUCUCUGUAACUGAUCAUAUUAAUGAGUUUAAUACUAUUCUUGCCCAAUUGGAAUCUGUGCAUAUUAAAUUUGAGGAUGAGGUGAAGGCAUUGAUUUUAUUGUCAUCACUACCGGAUAGUUGGGCUGCAACUGUUACUGCAGUUAGUAGUUCUACAAGGGAGAACACAUUAAAGCUUAGUGACAUUCGUGACUUGAUCUUGAGCGAAGAUGUUCGCAAGAGAGAUUCAGGAGAAUCUUCCAGUCAUGUUUCCAAUUCAGCAUUGAAUACUGAAGGCAAAGGAAGGACUACCCAGAAGGGUCAGAAUGGUCGAGGCAGAUCAAAGUCAAGAGGGAAAGGUCAGAGAAAAUUUCAAAGUGACGUUACUUGUUGGAAUUGUGACAAGAGAGGUCACUUUAGCAAUCAGUGCAAGGCACCAAAGAAGAACAAGUCGCACAAAAACAAGAAGCGCGAUGAUGAUGAAUCCGCAAAUGCAGCAACUGAUGAACUUGAUGAUGCAUUAAUUUGCAGUUUGGAUAGUCCUGUUGAUUCAUGGAUCAUGGACUCAGGUGCGUCGUUCCACACUACUCCCUCUAAAGAUUUAUUGUCUAACUAUGUUUCUGGAAGAUUUGGAAAAGUUUACCUUGCAGAUGGAAAAUCUCUUGACAUUGUCGGAAGAGGUGAUAUCAACAUCAAGACCUCCAGUGGAUCCCUAUGGACAUUGCACAAUGUCAGACAUAUUCCUGCCUUAAAGAGAAAUUUAAUAUCUAUAGGGCAGUUGGAUGAUGAGGGACAUCACACCACUUUUGGAGAUGGAGCUUGGAAGGUAACAAAAGGCAAUCUCAUUGUGGCUCGUGGAAAGAAGCGAGGAUCUCUUUACAUGAUUGCAAAUGAGGAUAUGGUAGCAGUUACUGAGGCUGUCAAUAAUUCAACCAUGUGGCAUCAAAGACUUGGACAUAUGAGUGAAAAAGGAAUGAAGCUUAUGGCGGCAAAGGGUAAGCUAUCAAGCCUCAAGCAUGUAGAUGUUGGUGCUUGUGAACAUUGUAUCCUUGGAAAGCAGAAAAAGGUCAGUUUCUCAAGGGCAGGGAAGACUCUGAAAGCUGAAAAGCUAGAAUUGGUGCACAUAGAUGUUUGGGGGCCAGCCCCAGUGAAAUCUGUUGGAAACUCACGCUAUUAUGUCACCUUUAUCGACGACUCUACCAGAAAGGUAUGGGUUUAUUUUCUUAAAAAUAAAUCUGAUGUGUUUUCUGUGUUUAAAAGGUGGAAAGCAGAAGUUGAAAAUCAAACAGGUCUAAAGGUUAAAAGUCUGAAAUCUGACAAUGGUGGGGAGUAUGAUAGUCAGGAGUUUAAAGACUUCUGUUCAGAACAUGGGAUCAGAAUGAUCAAGACAAUACUAGGAACACCUGAGCAAAACGGUGUUGCAUAAAGGAUGAAUAGAACCUUGAAUGAGAGAGCAAGGUGUAUGUGGAUCCAAUCUGGCUUGCCUAAAGCAUUCUGGGCAGAAGCAAUAAACACAGCAGCAUAUCUCAUCAAUAGAGGACCAUCAGUUCCUUUGAAUUAUCAGUUGCCUGAAGAAGUAUGGUCUGGAAAGGAGGUAAAACUUUCACAUUUGAGAAUUUUUGGUUGUGUUUCAUAUAUACUGACAAACUCUAAUAGUAGAGAUAAAUUGGAUCCGAAGGCGAGGAAGUGUUAUUUUAUUGGUUAUGGAUCUGACAUGUAUGGCUACAGGUUUUGGGAUGACCAAACCAAGAAAGUUAUCAGAAGCAGAAAUGUUACUUUUAAUGAGAACUUAUUUUAUAAGGACAAAUUUUCUGCAGAAUCUACAUGUGCAGGUAAACUGUCAGAAAUUUCUGAGAAAGCAACACUUGAAGAAAUUUCAGAAAGUGAUGUAGCCAACAGAAACCAGAGUACAGGCGUAGAGGUUGAGUCAGAACCAGAACCAUCAACUCCUCCAAGAAAAUCUAGCAGAAUUUCAGUACCACUAGAUAGGUAUUCCCCUUCAUUGCAUUAUUUGUUGUUAACUGAUGCUGAUGAGCCAGAAUGUUUCAAUGAGGCUACACAGGGGAAUGACACUAUUGAGUGGGAGCUAGCGAUGAAAGAUGAGAUGACAUCCCUUCAGAAGAAUAAGACGUGGUCUUUAACUAAAUUGCCAGAAGGAAAGAAGGCGUUACAGAAUAGGUGGGUCUAUAGGCUAAAGGAAGAAUCUGACGGUAGAAGAAGAUACAAGGCGAGACUUAUGGUGAAAGGGUUUCAGCAGAAACAAGGAAUUGAUUUCACAGAGAUCUUCUCUCCAGUUGUAAAGAUGACUACCAUCAGAGUUAUUCUGAGCAUAGUAGCUGCAGAGAAUCUUCACUUGGAGCAGUUAGAUGUUAAAACUGCAUUCUUGCAUGGGGAUUUAGAGGAAGACAUCUAUAUGACCCAACCAAAAGGUUUUGAAGUGCCAAGCAAGGAGAAUCUUGUAUGCAAGCUUCACAAAAGUUUGUAUGGCUUGAAACAAGCACCGAGGCAGUGGUACAAGAAGUUUAAUGAGUUUAUGAGCAACUCAGGAUUCAAAAGAUGUGACAUGGACCAUUGCUGCUAUGUUAAAAAAUAUACUAAUAGUUAUGUUAUCCUUGUUGUGUAUGUUGAUGACAUGUUGAUUGCAGGAUCUAGUAUGGCAGAAAUUAACAGGUUGAAGCAGCAGUUGGCAGAAAACUUUGAAAUGAAGGAUCUUGGUCCAGCUAAACAAAUCCUUGGUAUGAGAAUUCUUAGAAACAAAUCAGAAGGAAUUUUGAAGCUGUCUCAGGAGAAAUAUAUACCCAAGUUGCUUGACAAGUUUUACCUUGGAGAUUCUAAGACCAGGAAUACCCCUUUGGGAUCUCAUUUGAAGUUUUCAAAGAAGCAAUCUUUGCAAACAAAUGAAGAAAAAUGUUACAUGUCAAGAGUACCAUAUGCAUCAGAAGUUGGGAGUUUGAUGUAUGCUAUGGUGUGUACCAGACCUGACAUAGCACAUGCAGUGGGAGUUGUCAGUAGGUUCCUAUCAAAUCCAGCAAAAGAGCAUUGGGAAGGUGUAAAGUGGAUACUCAGAUAUAUGAAGGGUACUUCAGAGAUGUGUUUGUGCUUCAGAAAAGGCAAUCUCACUUUACAGGGAUUUUCAGAUGCAGACUUGGGAGGAGAUUUUGAUACCAAGAAGAGCACCACAGGCUACAUUUUUACCUUGGGAGGUACUGCUGUGAGUUAGAAGUCUAAACUUCAAGAUAGAGUUGCUCUCUCAACCACGAAAGCCGAGUACAUAGCUAUCUCAGAAGCAGCUAAGGAGAUGAUUUGGCUAAAGAAUUUUCUCAAUGAAUUGGGGAAAGAACAAGAUAAUGCUCCAAUGUUUAGUUACAGUCAAAGUGCUAUAAGUCUUGCUAAGAAUCCAGUCUUCCAUUCUAGAUACAAGCAUAUUCAAUUAAGAUACCAUUUUAUCAGGGAGUUGAUAAAUGAUGGAAACUUAUCUUUAUUGAAGAUCUUAGGAUCAGAGAAUCCAGCAGAUAUGUUGACUAAAGCUGUUACAACUGACAAACUGAGGCUUUGCAUUGCCUCAGUUGGCCUUCAAGGAUAAUUGAAGAUGAAGGCGCUGCACUAGGUAAAGAGUCGAUGAACUCGUUGCUUACAAGGAGCUGCUAGAGUUUGGAACUUAGACCCCAAGUGGGAGAAUUGUUAGAGUUUGUUAUCUUAGUUCCUUUGUCCCACAUCGCUUGGUCUGUAAAACUUGUGUAGGCUUAGUCCCACAUCGCUUGGUUUGUAAAAACUUGUGUCUCACUAGUGUUAUAUAUAGAGACACCUUGUAAGCUUUUAUGUGCAAGUAAUAAAAGUUCUCCUAGUGUAGCCGUGGACGUAGGCACAUACAUUGUGUGCUGAACCACGUUAAACUGUGUGUCUUUUUCUUUCUUCCCUUUAUUUCUUUCUCUUCUUUUAUUGCUCUAUACUAACACUUGAUCCGUAAGCCAAACUUGAUCCGUAGAAGUAAAAUCAACAUACGGAUCAAGUUAAUCCGUGGAAGACUGACGGAUCAACUUGAUCCGUGGAAAACUCGCGGAUCAACUUGAUUUGCACUUGGUUCACGAGUCUUCCACGGAUCAACUUGAUCCGCACAAGGAAAAAAAGGACAUUUUUGGAAUUUUUAAAGGAUGCUGAGUGCACCAACAAUAACGCUGGGUGCACCUAACAACACCCUUUCCUUUUUCUUGAUCACUUCCUUUUUCCCAUUUAUUUUCCCGACACACAAUUUUAGUACUACACAUCCUACAUGCACCAUCUAAAGACUCACUCACAAAUCCAGUCUAAUUAAGGACAAGUUAAUACGGAGAAAUUAAUUAGUUCUCUACUACUACUGUAUAUUUAUAAUAUUGAUCAAUCUUUACCUAACAUGAUACGUAUUUAAGUUUUUUAAUUUAAGAAAAAAAUAAUAAUGCUAAAUUGUAGACACUCUUAGAUUGUUUGAUAAUUUUUUCUCUCAAAAAAUUAUUAGAUAUCCAAAACCAUCAUAGACUCUAUUAACAUAAUAUACAAUGCCACUUAAAAAAAACAUAAUAUACAAGGCUAUUAGUUUUUUUUUAUUAAUUAAAAAACUUGAAUAUUUUUUUUAUCGACAAAUAUUCUUUGUUAAUAGAAAAGAUCAGAUUUUAUGAUUUUUUUUCUUUUUCCUUCUCCUAUAAUCAUGUAAUUUACCUUAUAUUUCCGAAAAAUCUGAAAAGGUAUCAUACAAAUUGAUUCAGGCUAUAGAGAUGUAGUGAUCCGAAACUACUUAAUAUAUAGUUUCUUCCACACUCACGGCACUCAAAUAUUUCAUUUCCUCACACAUAGACUGCACCUCCCCCCUCACACACUCACACACUCACUCAUUCACAACACCACACUGACUUAUUCAUAUUCAUCCGUCACAUGAAAGGCCAUGGCAAGCACACACACAAGUUACAAAGCAAAUCCAAACUCUUCAGUGAUGAACCUUAUUUGCACCAUGCAACCAUAAUAUCCACCCAUCAUAGAUCUUAUAGACAAUUGCAUAUAUAGCCAUCAAAGCUUUUCCCAACCAUUGAACUUCUCAACCGAGUCUUCAAAGCUUUUUCCAACCAUUGAACUUCUCAACCAAGUCUUCAAACCUUCACGUGAAUCUGUCAUCAAGACAGCCCCUAAAUUAAGCUUGAGCCGUCUGUGUCAUACACGUAUAAGAGGUCACGCAUGGUUUACAUCAAGAAAAGAAGCUAUCAUAAAGAUAUUAAUUCUAUUUUUUGUUGUUGAAUAAGUCUAGGGUAUAAUAUAUUUUUUAUUUCUCAAAAUAGUUGAGAACGAUAGUUUUGAAAUAUUUUAAAGGAUAAAAACAUAUUUUACCUAGAAUUCUAUUUGUAUUUUAUUUCUUGCUUAGUUUUCGUGGUAAAGGCGUAAGGCAUAGCCGCAUGGAUAUGAACUUAUCAUAGGGCUCCAUUGAAUCAAAUCAGUUUAAACUUAAAGCUUUUGAAAAUCAUUAUUAAAAAAAAAUGAACUUUUGAGGACACCAAAAUUACGUCACUGAAAGAGAAUAAUGACUUCUUCUUCUUCUUUUUUUUCCUGUUGUAAACUUAGGAGUUUCAAAACCCAAGUUCCAAAUUUGCAAUGGUUUCUUGUUUUUGGUUCGUAAGUGGAUUACAAAAAUUUCAUUUUAACGAAAACUUUUGGAUUAUUUUAAUAUUAUGCGCUAGUUGUAAUUAAAAGUCAUUAGGAUUGUUUUAGAAAACUAAGAAUAAAUCUAUAAUUAAUUUCUCUUAUCUUUUCAAAAUACUCAUUAGUUUUUUUUUAAAAAAAAACCAACACAGAAUAGUAUUUUUUUAGCCAUAAAAAAAAUAAGGGAACGAAAGACUGAGGGAAGAAAGCCAAUUUAAUUAAAAAAAUAGAAAAUGAAUUUUUUUUUAAAAACACAAGAAAAUAUUGGGCCAGGAAAUAAAUAUGAAUUAUAAUAAUCAAGAGCGUCAUGCAUGCUUAGUAGCUUUCUGUGCAUUAAAGAACUCUAGAGAAAUUAUGUGUUAUGAUCUAUUCUUACAAAAACAUAUGCCAUAGCCUGUGAACUGGAUCCGUGUUCAUGAUCUCUUGUAUAUGCUUUUGUUCUUUAAUUGUUAAUAAUUAAGAACACAUGCCGUAGUGCAAGUUUAAAUCACGAAGAGUUAUGGAUACCCAUAAUUUUUUAAGGGAUAUAAAAUAAACUAUCCUUUUUGUUAUUGUAAUUUAAAAAUUUAAAGACCUUCUAAUUCACCUCAUAAUCAGUUUCAAGUCCAACCAAUUCUAUUCAUCCAUGCUUCACUCAGGUUCUUUUGAGACCUUUUAAAAAAAAGAAAAAGGACAUGAUGAGGCCCUUAUUUAGAUGUAAUAGAGGUGUUUAUAUAAAAUUAAGAAGAAGAAAAAAGAUCGUCAGCAACAAAUUGAAAUGAAUGUGUAUGCAAAGUUAAAACCUAAAAGGUUAAUCGAUCAAUGAUGGAACACCCAAAUAGUCAUGUUUUAGUUUCUCCCAAGCUCCAAAGGGGAAAAGCGUUUGGUAAAAUCAGUCAAAUAAGUUAGUUGAUAAAUAUAAAUUAACACAAAAAAAUAUAUGUAAUUAUUUGAGUUAAAAAGUGAUUAAAAAACGAGUGAGAAAAAAAGAAAGCUACAAACUUAUAAACUAGAGCUUAUUUUCGUAAGUUAAUUGAUACAGUUUAUGAAAAUAAACUCCAAGUUAAUAUAAUAAACUGUACUAAAUAAACUUAUAAGUUGAUUAAAGUAAUUUGUAAACUAUUAGAGUAUCAUACGAAAACAUUUAGUAUUCGUUCAGAGUCGCAAGUUGCUAGUUUUGGAACUUGUAUUUAGAAGUUUCUCUCGGUGCUUUAAAAAUUUGGAGGUAUUUAUGGUCUUAGCUGGAUUCAGACUGUUAACUUCAUAUUAAUUUUUGCUUAGAAAAAUUUACAAUAGUUGCAUGUUGUUCCUUUCCGAUAUUUCAUUUUUGUCAUAUAAUUAGUUAAACUAGCUUAACUAUAAGCUACUAAAGUGUCUUAUUGAGGGUUUUCUCCUUGCUGCACCGUUAGGGUUUUUUUAUUGAUCCCAAGGCUUGUAUGCUUGUUUUUCCCUUGUGGUUGUCGCUCUACUUAGGGUGAUUUGCUGUCCCAAUGUGACACCUUUUAUUCUUAUAUACAUAUUUAUAUAAUAAAAUACAUGAAAAUGUGGAAUUACAUAAAAUAAUUUUAUUCAAUAAACAUAAAAGAACUCACGUGAAUAAAAGGUUCACAUUUCGGUUAAUCACCAAAUUAAAAACUUAUCAAUUAAGAGUAUGAAAAUAUUUUCGACUCAAAACAACGUCGUUCAAGUUUACAAAAGAACAUAAGUUAAGUAGCAUAAUAAAAUAAAGUAAUAUGAUGACAUGUUUGGAACAUUAUGCAAUUAAAACAGAAACUCAUGCCUUAAUGUCACAUCCUAUCAGAGCAUUAUGUCUUGACGUCCUCCAACACGAGGUUCCUUAAAGCAAUCCACCUUGUCAUAUGCUCCAACGAACACAAGUUUCGAGAUCAUCACAAGAUCCAAAUACAAACAACACACAUGGAGCGAGAAGUGAAUUGUCACAUUUCUAAACAGGUAGAGAUAAACGAAUAUAUAUAUAUAUAUAUAUAUAUAUAUAUAUAUAUAUAUAUAUAUAUAUAUAUAUAACAAGCUCAACUUAGAACAAUUCACAUCAUUUUACCACUCAUUGUGUAUCAUCACUUUUCCCAAGGAUUUAAUCACAUUUCACACCUUCACAUUAAUCGCGUGUUCAAAACAACAAAUCUCAAGUAUAACACAACAUCUCACACUCACACAAUUCAUUACCCACCAUCAUGUAGUAAGUCACAAGGAUCAUUACACAUGCGUUAUACAACAGAUACACUAAGACUCAAUCCUAUAUGCAAUAUGGUAUCAUGUCAGUGAAAAACCUCGUUAGACAUCUAAGAGUACAUGACAAGACAGAUGACACACUGGUAAGUCAGAUCACUCUCACUAGGUAAAAUAAUAGGGAGACCAGUCAGGGUCACGCUGUUUUGCGAGAAUGCUUCAAUCAUGUGGGAUCGACACAUGCUUAAAAGAGCACUCAAACUGAGUGCAUUUACCUCCAAGGCUUAGACUCCGAAGAGUCUGUCAGGUCCUCUCCCUCCUAAUUCAAGUCCAACCCAAAAAAUAUUUUAACACACAGACUCUAUCUAUGAACUAUACAAAACACACGACUCCUCAGUUGUUCUCAAAAUAAUUUUAACUCCUCGUGCCUCAAAGUGAUUCAACUCUUCAGGUUCCCACAGUGGACUCCAUCACAAUACUCGUCGCACAUUAACUUGUUGCCCUUAAAGGCUCUUACACUCGUGUGAUUUUAAGAUUCAUAGCUCACAACUCAAUGCACACAACAUCUCAAUACAUGUGUGAUCUCUCAAUUUAAUACAUACUCAACUUAUCACAUACACCNNNNNNNNNNNNNNNNNNNNNNNNNNNNNNNNNNNNNNNNNNNNNNNNNNNNNNNNNNNNNNNNNNNNNNNNNNNNNNNNNNNNNNNNNNNNNNNNNNNNAACCCAAUCUCAAUCACAAUGUUAUAAUCUCAAAGCAACAUGUUAUCACACCUCACAAAUCAUAUACACAUCACACAAUAUUAUUAUAUACAUGACACAAACACAAACUUUACCUAUAAACUAUGCAAUAUACAUAACUACUCAAUUGUUUUCAUAAUCAUUUUAACUCGUCUUGUCUCAAAGUGAUUCAACUCGUUGGGUUCUCACACGGAUCCCAUCACAAUACUCGUUGCGAAAAAACUCGUUACCCUUAAAGGGUCUUACAAUUGUGUGAUUGCACAACUCAUAUCACAACUCAAUACAUACAAUAUCUCAAUAGACAUGUAUCUCACAAUUCAUCACAUAUUCAAUUUAUCACUUACACGCAAUUUCAUGAUCCCAAUAUAACAAUUUAUCAUGCUAAUCUAGUAAAUCUUGUCCGAAACACAAACAAAUUAUACAAAAAAAUGUUUCUCACAACAUAGGGAGUAAAACCCCUUAAACAAUUUCACAUAAUCAUAUCAAAAUAAAAUAAUCAAAAUCAUAGGUCAAAAACACACGAACACUAAGAGCACUCAAUUUCAUCAACCAAUUCGCAUCAGGGCAUCAAUUGGUCUGUCAAACAAAACAAUCUCAUAAUUAUAAUCGUAAAGGAAGAAUUACAAUACAAUAAACAUCUCAAAAUAAACUAUAAUUUGAUCCUCUAAGGAUCCCUACACAUGUUCAUUCUAACCCCAAUUGCGAUAAACUCAUCUCUUACCUCUAAACGGGCUCACAUGUGUAGUUCGACAAUGAUAGUGGCAUCUCUAUUGGUUCCAUAAGAUUUCUAAAGCUUUUCUUCUGGUUGCUCUGCUAGGGUUUCCAAGCAUUAGAGAGAAGGAGAAGGGAUUGGAACCUCAAUUUUACUGUCUCCAUGUGAGGGGAAUUUCUCUCUCUACAAACAUUAUUUCACAAAACCCAAUGGUGAGAAUGUGUAAAAAUGUGUUUCAAAGGUGGUCUCCAUAUUUUACAAUGAUUCAAUGGUUAAUGAGUCUGAAAUUGUAGUUGUACGAGGACAUGUUUGAAUGUAUGUAGGAAAAAGAGAGGAUUUUGAGAGAGGAAGAAGGGAAAACGAACUUGAGAAGAGAAGGCAUAGAGACGUAAAUGUAAGAAAUGACCUAACAUGUUUUUAUUUAUAACUAGGGUACUCUCAACCUAUUAUUUACUCUAUUUUUAUUUAUUUUAUAAAAAAAACUUUAUUUCACUCUUUCAUUGAAUAGAUAACCAAUUAAAAUAUCCAUUUAUUUUCUAAAACAUCAUUUUACUCUAUUUAUUUUCUAAUACUAUGAAACCCUUAUUUUAAUUAACAAAAACUUUUUUCUCUCAUUUAUUUAAUUUUUAAAAACUCUAUUAAUUUUUAAAUAAAACUCUUUUUAUUUAUUUGACGAAAAUCUGGUGUUACGCCUAAUAUAAUAUUUAUGCCUAUUUGGUACUUACCAAAACAACGUCGAAUGGAUCAUGGAAAUAACCUUGACCUCGCUGAUGAGGAAAAGGAAAUAAUAGAGUUGUCAAAACCGAAGGAAACAAGUCAACUGGGUAAGGUGGAUGUGGAAGGCAAUUAGACGGUCUUCAUCUUACAAGAGAUUUUAUGGAGUUGAAUUAGGUUAAAAAGCCCAAAUUCUAGAAAAUUUCCAUAAAAAUCAUGUUUUCGAUAUCAAAUAUUGUAAAAAAAUAGUUAAAACAACUAUGUAUGCAUUUUGUUCUCUUCUGAACAUACAUAAACAACAUUUUCCAGUUUAAAACAAGAUGUUGUCAUGUGAUAUGUGAGGAAGGAGAAAUUACAAAUAGUUUAAACAACUGUGCAUUUUGUUCUCUUCUGAAUACACAUAACCACCAUGAUUUUAAAUUGCAAUUGCGGUUGUAGUUGAAGUUCAGUUGCAAUUGUGGUGUGUCACAAAAUUUUUAUAUUAUGGGAAAGUGUGACUUAUGCAGUCACAAUAUGAUUAUGGAAAGUCAAAAUAUCUUGACGUUGCGACCACAAUUGUGGUUGUGGACCACUAUUUAAAAUCAUAAUAAACACCAUCUUAAGGCUCAAAAACAAGGAGGAAUUAUUAAGUAGUCGUGUAUUCAAGUUUUUCAAUUUACAAAAAAAAAAAAAAGAUUAAUAACAGUCAACUACACGUUACAUGAUGAGGCUAACCAGGGAGGCAGUGUUGCACUGGUGAGGAGAGUUGCGUUAGGGUUUCAAAUGAGAGACAAAAGGGGUUCUGCACUUGCAAACACGUAGUAAAUGAAUGACCAGAGAACGCAUAGUAAAUGUUCUAUCCUUUGUAACGAUAAUAGUCCAUUUAGUGUUUGUUAAUACAUUUUACAAGUAGAUAUAAAAUAUAAAAAAAAUUAACACUAUCUUGUGCAUUAUAAAAAUAUUUAUAGAAACAUAUAAAGUAUAUAUAAAAAAAUAAUAUUAUAAUAAUGUUAAAGAAAAUAUAUUUUAUUCAUAAAAAAUAAAAUGUAAAAAAUGCAGAAUUUGAAACUUCAUCUUCUUUAAAUUUCAAUCUCAUAUUUAUAUAAACUUUUUUUUCUUCUUCUAAAAACAAGAUAUUCCCAUGAUGAGAAGUUACUACAUUAAUUCUAUAAAUUAGUUAAGAGAUAAUUUCUCUUUUCACACAUAUCAUUUUAUUUAUAAAGAAAUCAAACCACUCGUAUAUUUAAAAGAGUAAAAAUUACUAGUGGCUACAUCCCAUGAGUAAACUAAAAUUAGCUUAGCUAUAAGUUAAGUAAACUUUUACAGGAACUAAUAUAAAAGAAAUUUUAUGAAUUGACUUAAAAAUAAUUAAAAUUUAAAAAAAAAUAUUUUAUUUUAUUUUUCUAAUUUUUAAUAUUAUUUUUAUUUUUAUUUAUAAGUCUCGAAAAUUAAAUUUAUUAUUUUUAUUAAGAUUCAAUUUAUUAUAUUUAUUGUAUUAAUUAUUUUUAAAUUAAAAUAUUCCUAAUUAAAUAAGAGAAAUAUUACAGUGAUAAAUACUUUAUUUAGAAGAGAAAAAAAAUUAUCGUAAUACAUAUGCCUUUUAAAUAACUUUUUACAUUUUAAGAAACGAAUCUCUAAUUUUCAGUCAAAGUUACCUAAAAAAAAAGAAAAGAGAAGAAAAUCCCUUAUUAAAUUAAUUAACAUUGACAAUGGCAUUUCAUUGUGGUAGAAAAAGUUCCCUUAAAUAAUAAAUGAGUACUUGAUCUACAUUUUCUCUCUCUUCAUUCUCCAACAUCUACGUUAUCUCCUCCAAUUCUUUAAAAUAUUUAUAGAAACAUAUAAAGUAUAUAUAAAAAAAUAAUAUUAUAAUAAUGUUAAAGAAAAUAUAUUUUAUUCAUAAAAAAUAAAAUGUAAAAAAUGCAGAAUUUGAAACUCUUCUUUAAAUUUCAAUCUCACAUUGUAAAAAAUGCUGAAUUUGAAACUCUUCUUUAAAAAAGUUUACAUAUAAAGUUUUUAUUUUAUUUUCAAAUGAACUAAUAUGCAAUAAUUUAUAUAAAUAUGUGUUAUAUUUAAAUGAUAAUCAUGAAAUAAUAAAAUUAAAAUUACAGAAUUUCUUUUAAAAAUUUAGUUUAAUUUUUAAAUGUUUACCUUUUGAAUUUGUUAUUGUUUAUUAAUUAUUACAUUUUUUAAAUUAAAACAUAAUUAAUAACUCAAUAUAUUAUUUUUAAAUAUAUAUAUAUAUAUAUAUAUAUAUAUAUAUAUAUAAUUAAAGAAAAAGAGUUGAUAUUAACCUCGGUUCUUUGAAAAUCGAUGUCGUUAAGCACUUUUUAACAUUGGUUAUUUGAAAACCGAUGUUGUAAGUGUUUAACGACAUCGGUUUUCAAAUAACCGAUGUUCAUGGGACGAUGUUAAAACUCAUUUUUUUAGUAGUGAGGGAUUGUAAUGAUCUCAUACCUUCUAAUAAUUUCUUUGCUACAAAGUUGUUUGGAGUUUGGAUGUUUAUGGCAAAGUAUGUGAAAAGGCACCUAAUGGCCUUUUAAGUUGGCAUUUUCACUUUAAAUUAUUGGUUGAGAGACAAACCCACUAACUAAAUAUUUGCAAGCAAUGAAGAAAAAGAAUAACAAUAUCCUCCGACCUUAUGUGUUUAAUAGAGGUUAAUAACUAACAUAGGCAUAAUAACAUUAUCAAUCAAUGUAGAAAAAGCAUUAAUACAUGCAGCAAUAAUUCUCACUGAUAAAUGAGAAUGCAAAUGUUACAGUGAAAGAUUUAAAAGAACAAUUAGCAACCUUGCUAUGAUACUAAGUGCAGGUUUGAAUUAAAGAAGAGUACAAAAGCCUAUUGAGAGAGGAAUGAUCUCUGAGUUGUCGCUGUUUUCGGGUUAAGCAUGGGAAUGAGUAUGUUGGAGUUGAAGUUGGCUUCGGUGGAUUUUCAAACAAGAGCCUUCGAUAUUUCGGUGUGACAAAUGGUAGAUGAGGUUGUUGCUCGAGACUCAAGAGGGGACAGAUAGGAAGAUGAGGUUCUUGCUUUCAUUUCAGUCUCUGUUGCAAUACUCUAAUUAUAGUCCCUAAUGAUUUGGCAUCUUAGUUGCCAGCCGCAUGUGUCAUGGGUAUGCCAAAUAGGCACUUAGCGUGUCACAUAACACAAAUGUUAUUGUAUGUUGUGCAGUCAAAGGGGAAUAAACAUCGAGAAAAUUUACACUAAUGGAUCAUCAAAUAAACACAUAAGUGAAUCUACACCACAUUUUAAUCCAAUGUGUGACUUCACCUUACACUUAAUUGUUGGAUUGAGGAGCGAGAUGGUUUGCACUUCCAAGGAUUAUUUUUUUAAUUUUAAAGUGUUACACACUUUUAGGGACCAAAAUGAUAUUUAACCCUAUAUUUUGAGUAAUACUUGUAUCUGAAUCUGUAUAACUAAAUAUGUCUUGUCAUAUAAGAUUCUUAAAUUUACUUUAGUAGGCAAACUGGAUAAGAUUAUUGCUAAAAUAAAAGCAACAAAAAUGGUGAAACCUAAUUGUUCAGCAUUUUCAGAGGAACCUGUGAAGGCACUCAUCUUGUUGACAUAGGCUUUGUACUCUGGACUCAUCUUUUGAAACGUUAUUAUGUCACAUGCUACUAAUUAAGUUGAAAAAACAAAGUACAUUGUUUUAGAAGCUAAAGAAGAGUUAUUUAAAAUUUGUAGUGAAAAUGUAGUGUGAAAAGCUAUUUGCAAUUUGCUUCAUUAAUAAAGUGGACAACUCAAUUGUUGAUUUCGUUACUAAAUUUCAAUGGUUUUGGUUGAAUAAGGAAUUCAGUGGACUGAGAAGUUGUGCUUAAGAGGAAGAGAGUGUUUGGAUACAUGUUUUGAAAUGGGAAAGAAUGAUUAAAAGAGAUAGAAAUUAGCUUGUCCAACAAUGCUAUUCUAUUGAUAUUUUCUUCAUACCAUUUAUCUUAGAAGACAAAUGAUUCCUUUUUAUAUUUUUUUCUAUUGCCUUCCUUUCCAUGAUCUUUUUUGUUUUAACCAUUAACUGAGUUGGAAUAGUAGUAAAAUCAUGUAGAUAUUUGUUUUCAUUUGGUGGGGGCGAUAUGAAUGAGAAAAAUCCAUACAACCAAACAAAGUUGGGGCUCAGAAGAAAGAGAAACAUCCCUCCCUUAAAGAAUAACUAAGUUAGAUUUCUUAGGAAAAUUUGUUGAUACUAACAUCUUGUAUACAAAUUUCUAUACCACUUUCAUUUUAAACACUAUUAGUUCCUCAGUCAUGAACUUUCUAUAUUGAAAAUUUGUCGUCUAUUUCUUUUACAGGCAGUGGCUUAGCUUUUCAUAUUUUGCCAGAUUAAAUUAUGAGUUACUCUUUGAACUUUUUAUGCAAUACUUGACUAUUGAUUUUUUCUUAUAGUUGUCAUCUCAUGCAAUGCACUUUUAAGAUAAGGUUACAUUGUUUGGUCGAGAGCAACAAUUUACUUAUGACCAUUAUAUAUUCAAAAUGUAUGCUUGGCCAUUAAUCAACCAACCAUGAUAAGCCCCAUCAUCCACCACCCCUUCUAUACCAUAGGCACAUUUUGCUUAUCUACUUUGCUACUGUUACUUUUAAACAAGUCAAACAAAUAAUAUGGUUUUAAAUCGUAGUUGUGAUUACAGAUGUGAUGAGUCAGAAAAGCUUUACAUUGUGCAAAAAUACGACUGAUGCGAUCAUAAUUACGAUUGCGGUGAUAUGAAAAACCUUAACAUUCUGGUCACAAUUAUGAUUAUAGACUGCAAUUUAAUAUGUAUUACUUAAGCUAAUGAACAUGUUGAGUGUUAGUUGAUAUGGUUCUCUAUAUCUUUUUUCCAAUACAAAUUCACCUUUAAAAUAUAAAACAUUACUGUAACAAAGGGACAAAGACAAAGGGUGCCACUUAACCCAUACAUGGGAAAUGAUGGUCAUAAAAUAUGUUAGGCCAAAAUGCAAACUACACAAAAAUAACAUCAACUCCACCAUAGUCACACAUUUAUGUUCUUCCAAGAAAGAGAUAACAUAAUGAAGCCUCCUCCAAGUGUCACCUCUACAUGGUACCUAACGAUAAGGUUACCAUUCAAUUUUUUCCCUUACUCGUGUGGCCAAUAUGUUGAAAUGUCAUCACUUAUACAAUCAAUGGUUGUAACUUCACAGCAACCGAUCCUCUUCAUUUCACACCAUUGGAUGAGUACUACAAAAAUGACACCCUUAAAUAUAGCAAGUUUGAGUAGAAUCUAGCAGCUGAAGCAAAAGUAAUUUAGAGAAAAGAAGGAAAUGGCUUCCUCACCGAUCUCCUCCCCAGUAGUUACCAUCAUUAACCGUGUCGGUGUCAGCAUGGUUGCCCCUUUCACUGGCCUCAAAUCCAUGGCUGGCAUCCCUACCAGGAAGACCAACAGUGACAUUACCUCCAUUGCUACCAAUGGUGGAAGAGUAUAAUGCAUGCAGGUAAGACAAUUCCAAACAUACAAACACAAAAGGCACCAAAAUGAUUAUAAUUGAUGUUACAUAUUUAUGUAUGCUACAAAAUGUUACUUAAAUUAACAUGAUAGUUAUAGGAAAAUAUGCUCAUGUGCAAGUUUGUUAACUCAAUUUUCAUGUAAAUUAAUUACUAGGUGUGGCCUCCAGUUGGCAAGAAGAAGUUUGGGACUUUUUCCUACCUGCCAGACCUUGAUGAUGCCCAAUUGGCUAAGGAAGUAUAAUACCUUCUUAGGAAUAGAUGAAUUCCUUGCUUGGAAUUUGAGUUGGAGGUCAAUUUAUUACAACCCCUUUUGGUUCAAUUAUAGUUUUCUUUAGUUUUGUGUUUGUUUCAACUUAUAUUUGAAGAAAUAAUUGCUUUUCAUGGUAGUGUGCUAAAAGUACUUCCAAUUUUUUUGUAAGUUUAUCUAUAUCGUGUUUGGUUUCACAUUACAAAUGUGAUUUUCAGAAGCUAAUAAUUAUAGCUUUUACAUCACAAGCGACAUGAUUCUCCAUCCUCAACGAGUUUACAAAUAUGAUAUUAUUGGAUAUUUCGAUUCUAAUAUUCUAUUUGAGAGUUAUCAAUAUUUAUCAAAUUUAUUUGUAUCAUGUGGAAGCACUUGGUUUUGAGUUUUGAUGGUUGAUCUAUUUGUUGUGUGUUUGUUUAUAGCAUGGUUUCGUGUACUGUGAGCACAAUAGGUCACCAGGAUACUAUGAUGGACCCUACUAGACCAUAUGGAAGCAUCCUAUGUUUGGUUGCACUGAUGCUUCUCAGGUGUUAAAGGAGCUUCAAGAGGCUAAGACUACAUACCCCAACUCCUUCAUUCGUAUCAUCGGAUUCGACAACAUUCGCCAAGUGCAGUGCAUAAGCUUCAUCGCCUACAAGCCCCCAGACUUCUAAGUUUAAAAAACUUAUGCCCAUUUUCUUUCUUUAUAUUUAAACCACAUCCCCCUUUCUUUUUUGUUUUUCUUUUUUGUUGGUUGCCAAAAGUAUCCUUGGAUGAAAGCUAGAGACUAAUCCCUCGAAUUAUGGAAAUUCAUUUAAUGGGCUAAUCUCUAUCAACUCAUGCUCUUCAUACACACGAACUUGGGGGUUGAACCAAUUCCCAUUUGCUUUUUCUUUUUGAGAUUCAUCAUCUUGCAUUUUUUGUUUAUAUUUUUCAGAAAUGAAUGGAUGAGAAUUAAUGAAUAAUAAGUUGUUGGUGUUUGUUGUGUUGCUUUGUCCCCAAAUAACUUCAAGAACCCAUUAUGCUUGCAUUUCCCUCUAGUGGGUUGAAAUUAAUCUUAACUAAAUUGAAGUUAGUUGUGCCACUAAAUGAAGGUUAGUAAUGAAGCUCAUGAUGUGUUAUUCAAGUACUCAACAUAGUUGAGCUUCGCCUAUACUUUGUCACACAUAUGAUGUGUAAUGUUUUUAGAUUAAUUCCAAAUCACCGUACAACAUUCUUCCACUUAUUUACAUUUGUAUAAAAGUAUUGAAUGCAUUAUAUAUUUAUAAAAUAUUAAAUACAUUUAUUUUUGUAUUGUGUGAUGCCUUUUAUCCUGACAUACAUAUAAUUAAGAAAAACAUAUAAAAAUCUAGAAUUUAAUUAAAUCAAUUUUAUUCAAAUCGCUAAAACGAAUUCAUGUGGGUAAAAAGGUCACAUUCCCUUCAUUGUUACCAAAUAAAACUUAUUAAAAACAUCUCCGACUCAAAACAAGGUCGCCCAAUUUUACAAAAGAACUCAAGUUAAACAGCGAAAUAAAAUAAAGUAAAAUACAUGUUUCGAACAUCAUGCAAUUAAAACAGAAACCCAUGUCCCAAUGUCACAUCCUAUCAGAGCAUUGCGUUCCAACAUCCUCUAACACGAGGUUUUUUAAAGUCAUCCACCUAGUCAUCUGCUCUCACAAACACAAGGUUCGAGAUCAUCACAGGAUCCAAACACAAACAACACACAGGGAGUGAGUUAUCUCAUUUUUAAAUAAAAUACAGAUAAACAAAGACAUAAGCAAAAUAUAUUAUAGAAAUAUUUAUAACAUAACUCAACUUAAUACAAUCAACAUCACUUCAUCACUUUAUCAUUUAAAAUUCAUUUUUCAAUCACCAUUCACAUUACACAUGAAUCACACUUAAGAUGUACCAACACUCACCAAUUUCAUAAUAAACAAUUCACAAGCGUUAUGCAACAAUUAUACUAAGACUCAAGCCUAUAUAAAAUAUGGUACCAUGUCAGUAAAAAAUCACACUGGAGCGCUUAGGAGUAAAUAACAAGACACGUCACCCAAUGGGUAUGUCAGGUCACUCUCACUAAGUAAAAUCAUAAGGUGACCAAUCAGGGUCACUCUGUUUUGUGAAAAUGCUCCAAUCAUAUGGGAUCAACAUAGGCUUAAAGGAGCAUUCAAACCAAGUGCAUUUACUCUCAAGGCCUAGACUCUAAAGAAUCCGUUAGGGCCUCACCUUUUUUAUAAGAGUCCAACCCCUAAAACAACUUUUGCAUGCAGGCACUGCUUAUGAAUUAUACAAUACCCACGACAUCACACUUGUUUUCAAACAUGUUUAACACAUUGCACUACAAUUUAAAACUUCAUGUAACAUCUCAUUUUUCAUAAAUAAAUUAAAAAGGAUUUUUAUUUAUAAAUAAAUAGAGUUUUAGAAAAAUGAUGAGGUUUUAAUAAUUAAAUAAAUAAGGAGAAAUAACUUUAUUAAUAAAAAUAAUGGUUUGAAGGAAAAUAAAAAAUAUUUUAUUUAUUCAUUUGAUAGGAAAUAAAAUAGAGUUCUUGUUUAUAAAAUAAUAAAAAUAGAAUAAAUAAUAGGCUCGGAGUACCCUAGCUAUAAAUAGAGACACAUUACGUUUCCUUUUCCUCUCAAUUUCGUUUUCCCUUCUUUCUCUCCCAAAAACUUCUUUUUCCCGCAUACACUCAAACUUGUUUCAGUAAAAUGAUGAUCUCGAAUUCAUUAAUCGUUGGAAUUUAUGAAACAAUGUCUAAGGUGAGAGAAAUGUUCUUGGCAUCAUAGCUUUCUCUUUUCCCGCAGAGACCCAAAACCUAUCCCAGUAAAACUACGAUCCUGGACUCGUCAACCAUUGGAUCAUUGUGAAAUAUGGGCACCACCUUUGGAACCCAUUUUCACACAGUCUCACCGUUGCGAUUUGCAAAAUAAUGUUUUUACAAAGAGAAAUUAGUCUUUCACGUUGAUAGUAAAAUGGAGGCUACAAUCUCUUCUUCUAUCUAACGCUUGGAAACCCUAACAGAGCACACAGAGGAAAAAAUUGAGAAAUCUUAGGGAACUACUAGAGACGCCACUAUCACUAUCGAACUACACACGUGAGCCCGCUUAGAGGUAAGGGAUGAAUUUAUCGCUAUUGAAGUUAGAAUGAACAUGUGUAGGGAUCCUUAGAGGAUUAAAUUAGGUUUAUUUUGGGAUGUUUAUUGAAUUAUAAUUUUUUCUUUAUGAUUAUAAAUACAAUAUUGUUGUGAGAAACAUUUUUGUAUAAUUUGUUUGUGUUUGGAUAAGAUGAGCAUGAUAAAUAGUUAUAUUAGGAUCAUGAAAUUGUGAUUGAAAUUGUGUAUAAGUGAUAAAUUGAAUAUGUGAUGAAUUGUGGGAUAACAUGUUGAUUUGAGAUUAUAAUAUUGUUAUUGAGAUUGAGUAUAAGUGCAAAGUUAAACAUGCAUUAAUUUGUGAGAUACACAUAAGCAUGUGAUGGUGGAUUGUGACAUUAUGAGAUGUUAAAUUGUAGACAUUCGAUUUGGUUGUGAAUAAAUGUGUGGUUAACACUUGAUGUGACAAUACUUAUGUUGUGAGUUGUGAAUUAUACAAUAACCCGACUGGUGUUUACCUUGAGAAAAGUGUUUAUGCAUAGUGUUAAAGGGGACAGUGUAGGAUUCCUAGUUAGGAACCUAAAGUGUUAAAUUGUAACGUAAUGUAUUAAACGUGUUUGAAACACGAGUGUGAGGUCAUAGGUAUUGUAUAAUUCAUGAGCAGUGUCUGUGUGCAAAAAUUGUUUUAGGGGUUGGACCUGAAUUAGGAAGGUGAGGCCCUAACGGAUUCUUCGGAGUCUAGGCCUUAGGGGUAAAGACACUCGAUUUGAGUGCUCCUUUAAGUCUAUAUUGAUCCCAUAUGGUUGUAACAUUCUCGCAAAACAGAGUGACCCUGACUGGUAGGGGUGGGUAAGCGGGUCGGCCCGCCCCGCGUAAGGCCCGUCUGCAUAAGCCCGCAUUGGUAGCGGACCGGUCCAAUCCGCUCCGCUUCUUACACAGACCAAAUAAAUUGGUCCGCCCCCGCCCCGCGGACUCCGCGGGUCAAACAAGCCUAGUUUUAAAAGAAUUUUAAUUUUAAUAAAAAUAUAAUACAAUCAAAUUAAGUUCAAUACAAAUGUAAAUAAAAUCUCAAUAAUUAGUCAAUUACAUCAAUAAAAUAAAUAAUGUCUUAACAAAAGAAAAUCCAAGCAAUAAAUCUAAAAUAUGAAAUUUAAACAUUUCCAACAACAAAUUAUUUUAUAUUUGAAGUAGCUUAAGCCUUCUCCAUCUCCAUAUCUUCAUCUUCUUUUCCUAAAACUCGAAAUAAUAAUAAAUAUUAGAAUAAAAUCAAGUUAAGUGAUUAAAAGACAAUAAUUAUUACAUAUUAUAUACCCUGCAUAUCAAAUACUAGUAACCAGUUUUUAGUAUAUAUUGUCAACAAGAAGCCUAGUUCGAUAUUUGUUAAGCACAUGUGAGGAGAAAAAAUGUUCUUAGUCUGCUACAACUACUAAAUAUGAUAUGAGCUAUUUAUAUAAUAAAAAUAUAUUGAAAUAUCUUUAAAAAUAUUUAUUUAACAAUUAUUUUUGGCUUAAAUGAUAAGAAUUGAUAUUUUUAUUAUUUAUGACUUUCAGAUAUAAAAAUGAUAGAUUAAAAGAGAAAAAGAUCGAGAAAAUAUCAAAAAAGAAGAUUUUUAGCAAGUUAUCACUUAUCUUUUUUAUCUUAAUCUUUUAUUUUUGUUAUCUUUUAUUUUUCUUAUCUUAUCCUUUUUUAUCUUUAUCAUCUUUUAAUUAAAAUCUUUUAUUUUUAUCUUUAUAUCUUUAUCUUAUCUAAUAUAUUUCUUUAUCUAUUAUUUUAAAAAAAGUUUAAAGUGAAAAAGAGAAAAUCAAACCUAAUAUAAUUGGGUCAGGAUCACACAAAUUAAACCUAUUGUGGGCUGCAGGCAACCUGUGGAUCCCGCGGGCCAAGCCCGCAUAGUCCACGGGUUAAGCGGGGCGGGCCCAAAAAUAUGACAUAACCAUGGAUCGUUUAAAAAAAUUGGUCGGUAACCCGCUCGGACCGCGGGCCCCGUGGGUCAGUCCAUGGACCUGAACCCGUUUACCCACCCCUACUACCUGGUCACCUUAUGAUUUUACUUAAUGAGAGUGACCUGAUAUACCCAUUGUGUGGUGUGUCUUGUUAUGUACUCCUAAGCACCCCAGGGUGAUUUUUCGCUAACAUGAUACCACAUUGCAUAUAGGCUUGAGUCUUAGUACAAUUGUUGCAUAACGAUUGCUAAUUGUUUAUUAUGAAAUUGAUGAGUGUUAUUACGUCUUGACUCAAGUGUGUGAUUCAUGUGUAAUGUGAUUGGUGAUUGAAAAAUCAAUUUUAAAUGAUAAAGUGGUGAAGUGACGUGGAUUGUAUUAAGUUGAGCUAUGUUAUAAUUACUUCCAUAAUUUAUUUUGAUUACGUCUUUGUUUAUUUGUAUUUUUUUAUAGAAAUGUGAUAAGUCACUCCCUGUGUGUUAUUUGUGUUUGGAUCCUGUGAUGAUCUCGAACCUUGUGUUCGUGGGAGUAGAUGACUAGGUGGAUGACUUUAAAGAACCUCGUGCUAGAGGAUGCUGGGACACAAUGCUCUGAUAGGAUGUGACAUUGAGGAUGAGUUUUUAUUUUAAUUGCAUGAUAUUAUUUUAUUUUAUUUUACCUCAUAGAUUUAACAAAAUUUCUUUUGUAAACUUUGACGGCCUUGUUUUGAGCCAGAUAUGUUUUUAAUAAUUUUUAUUUGAUAAUAGUAAAGUGAAUGUGAACCUUUUACCCACGUGAAUUUGUUUAUCAGUAUUUUUAGAUAUUUUAUUUAUUUGUAUAUAUGUCACGAUAGAGGGUGUCACACUUCAAGUUCCUAACUUGGAAUCCUACACUUUCCUUUUAACACUUCGUGCAUAAACAUUUUUCUCAAUGUAAACAUCAGUCGGGUUAUUGUAUAAUUCAAAACUCACAACACAAAUAUUGUCACAUCAAGUAUUAACCACACACUUAUUCACAAUCAUAUCCCAUGUCCAUAAUUUAACAUCUCAUAAUGUCACAAUUCAUCAUCACAUGUUUACGUGCAUCUCACAAGUUAACACAUGUUCAACUUUGCACUUAUACUCAAUCUCAAUAACAAUGUUAUAAUCUUAAAGCAACAUGUUAUCUCACAAUUCAUCAUAUUCAAUUUAUCACUUACACACAAUUUCAAUAACAAUUUCAUGAUCCCAAUAUAACAAUUUAUCAUGCUAAUCUAGAAAAUCUUGUCCAAAACACAAAAAAAUUAUACAAAAAAUGCUUCUCACAACAUGGGGAGUAAAACCCCUCAAACAAUUUCACAUAAUCAUAUCAAAAUAAAAUAAUCAAAAUCAUAGGUCAAAAACACGAAAACACCAAGAGCACUCAAUUUUAUCAACCAAUUUGCAUUAAGACAUCAAUUGGCUCAUCAAACACAACAAUAUCAUAAUUAUAAUCAUAAAUGAAGAAUUACAAUUCAAUAAACAUCCCAAAAUAAACCCCAAUUUAAUCCUCUAAGGAUUCCUACACAUGUUCCUUCUAGCCCCAAUUGCAUUAAACUCAUCAUUUACCUCUAAGCGGGCUCACAUGUGUAGUCCGACAAUGAUAGUGGUGUCUCUAGCGGUUCCCUAAGAUUCCUCAAACUUUUCCGCUGGUUGCUCUACUACGGUUUCCAAGCAUUAGAGAUGAGGAGAAAGGAUUGGAGCCUCCAUUUCAUUGUCUUUGUGUGAGGGACAUUUCUCUCACCAUAGACAUUGUUUCAAAAUUCCCAAUGGUACAGAUGUGUGAUAAUAAGUUACAGACCUGGUGUUCAAAUUUCACAAUCAUCUAAUGGUUAACGAGUCCAGGAUUAUAGUUUUACUAGCACAGAUUUAGGUGUAUGUGAAAAAAAAGAGCUCUGUGUGAGGCAUAUUUCUCUCACUAUAGAUAUUAUUUCGCAAAUCCAAACGGUGGAGAUCUGAUAACAUUAGUGACAAACCUGGUGCUUAAAUUUCAUGAUGAUCCGACGGUUAACAAGUAUAGAAUUGUAGUUUUAAUGGGAUAGGUUUGAGUGUAUACAUGAAAAAGAGAGUUUAGGGAGAUAGAGGAUGGAAAACAAAUUUGAGAGGAAGAGAAGACGUGCCCUAAAUGUAAAAAUUGACUUAAUAUGUCUUUAUCUCUAUUUCUUUAUUUUACUAUUCUACAGAGAUGAACUCUAUUUUAUCCUCUAUCAAAUAAAUAAAUAAUUUUUUUUUAUUUUCUAAGAAUAUAUAUUUAUUUUAUUCACCUUAAAAUCAUUAUUUUAAUCAAUAAAAAAAAUUUUCUUAUUUAUUUAAUUACAAAAAUUUCAUUAUUUUUUUUAAAACUCUAUUUAUUUUUAAUUAAAAUCUUUUUAAAUUUAUUUUAUAAAGAAUGGAGGGUUACAUAUUUAAUACCUUUUUCUAUAAAGUUACAAGAAGAUUUGUAAGAGUAUAUAUAUAUAUAUAUAUAUAUAUAUAUAUAUAUAUAUAUAUAUAUAACAUUAAUCAUGUUCUUGUACUUUGGUCCUCCAAGAAAUAAUGUUCAUGACUUAAUUUGAAAACAACCCCAUUCAAAAUACAACAAAAGGUGCGUUUCUUGUCAAUGUUAAGCAAUAACUAACACCCAUGUUGCUAGGAAGCUACUGAACUUUCAAAACCAAGUAUGAAUCCCAUGAUUCUUGGAAAUACAGACAUUUGUUUAGUGUAUAGCAACAACCAAUAUUGAACUGCCGCCAAACCAUUUUGUUAAUUAUGUGCAAACAAAGAGAUAUCAAAUUCAAAGUUAUGUUGGCUUCAGAAACUCUUCUUUCCCUGCAAUAAUCACCAACUUUACUCCCAUUGAUAUUUAGAUGGACACCCUUUUGAUGGCCACGUUUGUGAACAAGGUUAGUUCAGGAUAAAGAAACAGAUAAGAAGUUUCACCUCCUUUUACUCCCAUGAUCACAUCAUGACAUAUUCAAAGUCAAUAGUGAAUAUACAAAUCAAUAGGACACUUUCUUUUCAAAUAUUUAUUUGUGGAUGAGAAUCUAGUUAGUAUAGAAGCUAAGUUUCAUCAAAUUUGCUUUUCUUAAUAAUUUUUUAUGGACGUUAAAUUUCUUCAAUCUAAUUGUUAAUUAAAAAAUUAUAAGGUAGUAGAUUAAGUAUGCAAAAUUCCUUACAAUUUACGAAACAGUUCAUACUUUAUUAUUAAUGGCUAAAUGAUUAUUAGGUAGUUCUUAUUUAUUUUGUUCAGUUUAAUUUUUUAUUUGUUAAAUAUUUUAUUUUAGUUCUUUAUCUUAUUUUUUAAUUCAAUUUAAUCAUUUAUCUUUAAAAGGUUCAAAAUGAUCAUUUAACUAUUUAAAUAUAUUCAACAUUAUUAAUCAACUUUUAUUUAUUUUAAUGGAUAUUAUACUUUUAAAGUUCAUACUUUAUUUUAAUGGAUAUUAUAUUUAUAAAAUAUAAGUAAAUACAAAUUCUAAUACGAUAAUCAUUAUGAUAUCACAAAGAGUACGUCAUGUUAACCCGUGUUCAAAGCGCACUUAAUAGCAUUUUCCUAUUACAUAAUUGCAUAAUUUUGUCUUUUAAAUUUAUAUUUUAUAAAAAAAGAAAAUUAUUAGGAAGCAUAAAAGACUUGUUAUUAUUAUCCAGUAAAAAGAAGAGUUAUAUAUAUAUAUAUAUAUAUAUAUAUAUAUAUAUAUAUAUAUAUAUAUAUAUAUAUAUAUAUAUAUAUAUAUAUAUUCUGGGUCUUCGAGUGUGGAGCUAUUAAAUAAAUAAUUUAGGGUAAAUUAUAUUUUUUUAGAAGGGUAAACUAUAUUUUUAGUUCUUCUAAUAUGUGAAAUCUGAAAUUGAUAUCUCUAAUAUUUUUGGUUCCAUUUCAGUCUAUCUAUAAUUUUAACAAAUUAUUGUUGUUCCGUUAGUGAAUGCGCUUACAUGGCAACAAACACAAAAUUUGUCCAGAGACAUUUGUACAACAAUUAAAAAGAAUGGUGGUGAUGAAUGUUAAAAUACUAAAUGAGUUAACAUAUUGAGUGAAUAGUAUUACACUAAAAUUUUAGAAGCACUGAAAUGAGAAGGAAAAAUAUUUUGGAGUGGCCAAUUUCAGAUUUCAAAUAUUUUAGAAGGCAGGAAAAUAUAUUUUAUCCAAUAAUUAAGGUAUAUAUGUUUUAUUUUAUAAAAUAUUUUGUUUAAUUCGUUAGAUAACUCUAGAAUCAGUCUUCUUCAAAAAAAAAAAAAACUUUAGUAUAAGAAGAUUUAAUAUAACACAAAUAUACCUUAACAAUGAAAAAGAAAAUUGAGCAUUGAUUUGGCCAAAAUAAAAGUAAUACAUGCUUUUUUUUAACUGAAUUAGAUAUAAUUAACAACAGUAUUUAAAAAAGAAAUUAUUGUUCCAAAAAUAAGUCAAGCAUUAUCCAAAAUACCUGCAAGGGAAAAUUAAAUAUGAGAAAUAAUCGAUAAGAUACUAUAUACAAUUAACAACAUAUAAUAAAUUAAUUCUUUUAGCCUAGGACAAAUGAUCUAUUUAAUUUUUUAUCUUAAUUUUUUGGUUUAUUUUGAUCUUAUCUUUUAAAAAGUUUAUUAUGAUCUUUUGUGCUCUGAAAAAGAAUCGAAGAGUAUUUUCGUCAAUGCAAACAUAACGUCAUUAACGAAAUAAAGAUAUUAAUGGUUAAAAAAUGUCACAAAAUAUAAGUUCUUAUUUUUCUCUUGUUAAUUUCCUCCUUCUCUUGUCCCCUUGAACCAAAAAAAUAAGAUAAAGAAUCAAAUAGCUUAUUUGAUCUUUUGUUUAAUAUAUCCAAAACAUGAAUCCAUUAAAUAUUUUGCACAUCUGUUUGUCAAAUUUUGAACUUGCAUAAUAUUCUUUAAAUUAAAAAUAAAAAAAUAAGUGUUCCAAAAAUUUGUACUCAUUUUUUUUAAUAUUUUCAUUGAACAUAAAAUAAAAGACAAAGCAUUUUUGUUAAUGACUGACAUCAUUUAUCAAAAUUUGUUAGCAUCUUCACUCUAUCCAUUCUUUUAAGUAACCCUAUGUAAGAUAAAGAAAUUUAUCAUAAGCAUUUUUGCAUUUUAUCAUAAGCAUUAUAUAAUAAUUUCAAAAUAAAAUUCAUAAACAGAAUCAAAACCUAUAAUUAUUCUCAAUAUAAAGUAAAUUAGACAGGAUAAAUUUAAGUAUUAUUGAAUUACCUUUCCUUGUAUAUUAUGAUAUACUUGUGUGCUAACCACAUUAGAAGUAAUAUGAUCCAAUAUCUUGAUCAUCACCAUCUUUUACCAAAAUAUUUAAACCUUUUUUUGAUGUAACUCUUGAUAUAGUAACAUAUAAUUGUCCAUGAAAAAAAAUUGAGGCAAAAAUAAUCCAACAUGUUUUAAAGAUUGUCCUUGACUCUUGUUGAUAAUCAUUGCAAAAGAAGUAGUCAAAUGAAAUUGCCUCCGUUGGAACUUGAAAAGGAUCCUUGCAUUAGAAGGAGUUAAUGAAAGUCUUGGAAUAAACACUUUAAGGCCAAUGUUGCUUCCAAAUUUAACAUUUCCUUCUAGAACAUAUUCCCCAUUGGUGUAACAAUUAAUAGUCUAGUACCAUUACAUAAUCCUGAUGAUUGAUCAAUGUCAUUGGAAAGACCAGAAGCACUAAUAGUGUUGAAGAACUUUGGAGUGUGCACAUCAUGUGGCCUAUUAAUCUCUUCAUUUUCUGAUAAAGGAGUAUCUAAACUUAGAUAUUUACUUUCCUCCCCAAACAUCAAUGACAACAUGUAAUCAUUUAUCUUGUCAACAAUUUUUUUUUUUUGCUAAAACAGCCUUGACUCUAAAAAAUGAUGAAUCAUGAAUAUUUUCUAAGAAAGAUGGAUAUAUAAGUAUUACUGACAAUGGAUUCAAGAGAGUUGGUGUCGCUUGCAAGCAAAUCAUGGUAUGGGUGAUUUCCUAUAUUAUAUGUUUAAAAGGGAUCAAUUUGGGGAUUGUAUUUUGUAUAUUUCCUCCUAAUAUUGGUACCAAAUAUAGUAACUCAACUUAAUUUAAGUGCACCCAUAAAUACCAUUUGGACAUUUACUUAAGUAGAAGAAGCUAGCUAAGGAACAUAAUUUUGACAAUGGUAAAUAUUAUCAUGAGUUGUUUGAUGAUUGUCCAAAUGGAAAUGGAAAAGCUAUCUAGGAUGGAGGUGUUGGAAUGGUGUAAUUUUGUCACAUUGCAUUCUGGCAUAAUUACCAAUAGAUCUAUAGAUGUGAUAAUAACUUUUUUACUCAUUAUUUGAUCAUUUCAAGUUCUCAAACACUUGGUUAGAUUGAUUUUUUUGGUUAAACUAGCAAGUAUUACUUUCAUUGUAAAAUUUUUUUUUGUCAUUUUAGGGAUAUGUUUAUAACUGAUGUAAUUAAAGGGUGUUUUUAGAUUAGUUAAUAAAGUAAUUGAAGUUAUAAUACAAAAUCAAUUUGAAAAGGGUGUUUUUAAAAUAAUCUAGACAUUAAUUUCAUAUUAGUUUUUAGAUUGGUUGUAUAGGAAUCCAUCUUAAAAGUUAAUCUAAUGUAAAAGAUAGUUACCUUUGAAGAUCGGUUAAAAUCUAAUGUAAAAGGUCAAACUUUUUUAUCUCCUACAUAGACAUCGGUCGUACAACUGAUAUAAAAAGUGAUUUUUAACCAAUGUAAAAAAGUGUUUCCUAUAAUAGUGUAUCCUUUUUGUGCUCCUAUCAUGUAUAGAAAUUUCAAUAUCACUUACAUGCAGUGACGGAUCCAAAAAUUGAGUUGUGGGGGCAAUACAAUACAAACUUUUUUUGCAUUGAAAAUAUUACAUGUUAUUUUUAAAAGUAUAAAUAUUCAUCGUAAUUGUUCUUUAUGAGUUUUUGUUUUCCAAAAAUAUUUGAUAAUUUUAUCAUUUUUCAUAUCCAAAUUUUUAUGAUAUUCAAGAUCUAUUAGUUGAUGGAGAAAAAAAAACCAUAAUAUAGCAUACUAACUACAACAAUAUACACAUUUUGCACAAUUAGUUUUCCAAUUUGAGUGCAAUAAGCCUUUAGAUAGAUAAAUAUCCUUCGAAUAUGAGUCUUAGACAACAAGGGAAAUUAGGAUUAAAAAAAUAAUUUGUUUGAAGAUAAAUAAGUAAAUGUUUGUGAAAGUUUUAGAAUGAUUUUCUCUUUCAAAAAGAUGAAAGUAGGUAUUAUCCUUUAAUUUAUACCUUUUGCACAUUUACUAGAUAAUAAAUGACUAAAUAAAUAAAACAAAAUUUUAAGGAAAAUAAAUAAAAAUAUUAAAUAUAAAAAAGUGGGAAUAAAAAUAAAAAAGAGAAUCCAAAUAUUUAUUGUUUACACAUUUUUAAUUUAUAUUAAGAUUGAAAUUAUAAUUAUAAAAUCAUAUUAUUUGGGGGGGGGGGGGGGAUAGUACUAUAUAUUUAUUAAACACAAAGUAAAAAGAUAAUGGGGGUUGCCCCAUUCUCAACAAGUUGGAUCCAUCCUUGCUUGCAUGUUGAUGAUUUCUCUCAAGUUAGCAGCACGUACAUUGGAAAGUUGAGGUUAGUCUUAUCUUUUUGCUUCUUGGUUUUUUAAAAUUUUUUACUAUUGGCUUGAUUUGUAAGCAUUAUGUGCUUAUAAUGGCAAUUGAUUUAUUACUUGUUGCAAUAAUAUAAUUGGAAUUUGUAUAUUUUUAUUGCAUUGUGUUUGUAAUUCAUGUUUGUAAAAUUUAAUUUACAUCAAAUUGUGAUUUUUUUUUGUUGCAUUAUUACUUGAUAUGCUUCUUUGUCUUUGUAAUUAGUGUGCACAUUUCCUCUCUUGCAAGCUACCAUAUUUAGUGAUUUAUUGUAUUUAAAAAAAAAAGCUUAUAUUCUGCUGCAUAAUUUUAUGGUUUGCACCUUUAUUUGUUCUUUAUAUCAUGAAUUUAACAUGUUAUAGCCUUGAUAGGAUGUGGACUAGCUUCAUGUAUUGAUUGUUAUAUGUAGUAAUCACUACUACAAAAUAGACUUUUAACAUCGGUUAUUUUUUACUUUCUACAUCGGUUUUUAACAUGCACUACAAGACAUUAGAUUUCACAAAAACUGAUGUCAUAUAGUAAAAAAUAUACAAAAAGAAGCAAAAGCUGCAAAAACAACAUCGAUUUUGGUUAAAACCGAUGUUGUAAGGGACUGAUGUUGAAUUAUGUAUUUCGAAGCAUUUUCUAGAUCAGUUCUGAAAAAACUGAUGUAGAAAACGUCUUUACAUUAUCGAUUUUGCCAAAAACUGAUCUUGAAUAUGCUUACGACAUUGGUUUUAGCCAAAACCGAUGUAGAAAGUAACUUUACAACACGGUUUUGCUAAAACUGGUGUUGUAAAUGUUGGAUCAAGUGGCCUCGGAAUAAUUAAGAAGGAGGGGUUGAAUUAAUUAUUACUGAACCUUUACUAAUUAAAAAUCUACCCUUCUUAGGCUUUUACUAUGUUGUUAAGAAAAUAAAGAAUAGAAAUAAAAACUUAACCAAAAGUAAAAAACGAUUAUUAAAGUGCAUAGCGGAAAUUAAAAGAGUAGGGAAGAAGAAGACAAACACACAAGAGUUUUAUACUGGUUCGGCAACAACCCAUCCCUACAUCUAGUCCCCAAGCGACCUGCGGUCCUUGAGAUUUUUUUUCAACAUUGUAAAAUCCUUUUACAAGAAAAGAUCCACAAGGGAUGUACCCUCCCUUGUUCUUUUUGAACAACCUAGUGGAUGUACCCUCCACUAAGAGAUGUACCAUCUCUUGUUCUCAGUCACAACAACCCAAGUAGAUGUACCCUCUACUUGUACCACAAAGGAUGUACCCUCCAAUGUGUUAAGAAAAAGUUCUCAGGCGGUUAGUCCUUUGAAAUCUUUUGUUUUAGGGAAAGGACAGAAUCAAAAGAAUUCUCAGACUGUGUCAUUUUGAAUUCUUUGACAAGGGAGAAGGGAGACACAAAAGAAUUCAGGCGGUUAGUCCUUCGUUCUUUUGGAAAAGGGAGAAGAGAGACACAAAAAGAAUUCAGGCGGUUAGUCCUUGGCGAAUUCUUUUUGGCAAAGGGAGAAAGGAGACACAAAAGAAUUCAGGCAGUUAAUCCUUCGUUCUUUUGGAAAAGGGAGAAGAGAGACACAAAAAGAAUUCAGGCAGUUAGUCCUUAGCGAAUUCUUUUUGGCAAAGGGAGAAGGGAAUGAAAAAGAUGAAUAACACAAGUUUUUGAACAAAGAACUUUUCUUGGAAGAGAAGGUUUUGAACAAAAACUUUUAGAAAGAUGAAGAGAAGAUGAAAUCAGAAAGUUCUGAAAGAAAUGAAAGAAGAUGUUAAAGAUAGAAUGAUUGAAAGAGAUGAUAGAUAUGAUUGAAUGUUUCAUGCCAAGGUCACAUAUUUAUAGUUUCUUGAUGACUCAAGUCAAAACUUGUAACUUUUGGCAAUUCCUUUAAAACUAAUCACUUAAAAAGUUAUGACUUUUGAAAGAAUCUUCAGAAACAAGUCACUUGAAGAAAUGUGACUUUUGGAAAUGAAUUUUUCGAAAACAGUCACUGGUAAGCGAUUACCAUAAAGGUGUAAUCGAUUACACAUCAAUAGAUGUGACUCUUCAUUUUGAAUUUUGAAAAUCUUAACGUUUUAAAACACUGGUAAUCGAUUACUACAAUCUGGUAAUCGAUUACCAGAGAGUAAAACUCUUUGGUAAUGAUUUUGUGAAAACUUCUUGUGCUACUCAAUGUUUUGAAAAACUUUUUAAUACUUAUCUUGAUUAAGUCUUCUCUUGAUUCUUGAAUCUUUGAGUCUUGAAUCUUGAUCUUGAUUAUUCUUGAAUCUUGAAUCUUCUUGAUGAAACUUUCUCUUGAUUCUUGAAUUGUUCUUGACUCUAUCUUGAAAUCAUUCUCUUGGGCUUUUUGUCGUCAUCUUUGUUAUCAUCAAAACACCUUGAAUCAAUCUUGAUUCAUCAUCAUGAAGCAAUGAAGUUUGCUUCUACAGUAAAGAAUCUUUCUACAUCGGUUUUAGACCAACUGAUAUCGUUUUUUACAAUUUUUUAAUAUUUUGCUUGUUUUUACAAUGAACAAGCCAAAAUCAAUUUAUAAAAAAUAUAUUAAUUUUAAAUUAAAAUAAUAAAAAAUAUUAUUUUCAUUACAAUGUUACACUACUUACAAUCUCAUAAUAUUAAUCUAGAUUUGUAAAAUUUAUUUUAAGAAACCAAGAUGAUUUCUCUAAAGGUCAAUUGCCUCCAAGAAAAAAAUAAGACUGAUAUGAUAUCCCAAAUGUCUAGCUGCAAAGCUGUUAUAAAAUACACGUAAGAGAACAUAUAAAUGUGUAUAUAAAAGCUAAUAGAAUAAAUAUAAAUGUAUAAAUAUGUAUUACAUAGGAAGGAUGAUACCAAUUAAUUAUUAAAUAAAAAAAACUCUUAUUCCAAAUUAAAAAUAGAUAGAAAAAGGUCUAAAGAAAGAAAUUACCUCUACAAGAGCAACAAAGGAUGUCAUCAUCAUGGCAAAGGCUUAACCCGCAUCAAAUGUAGGUGCUUCCCAUUGAAAUGGAUAUGGAACUCGUAUCCUGCAAACAUAAAAUACGUUGAAUACUUCCCCAUAAGUUUCAAGUCACAAGGCUAUGACUAAAUAAUAAAUAAUACGUGAAUAAUAAAUUAAUAUUUCAAGGAUGCAAUAGAGUCUUGCAUAAAAAUGUCAACUAUGCCUAUGCUCUAAGCUUGAUUAUGAGGAGUUCAAAAUCAAUAACCUGAAAUAAUAUAAAGAGACAAACUAUUAAUCAAGAUCAAUAGCAGUAACUACACAUAUGUUAUUAGAUUUUAAGGUUGAUACUAAGGAUAUAGAAACAAAUUUUUUUCGUAAAUUAAAAAGAGAAACACCAGCUUUUAUAUUUUUAACAUAAUAUAUGUUUUUCAUUUAAUGACCAAAUUUACUUUAAUUUGUAUCCUUGACGUCAAAAACCCUUAAAUUUACACAAUGUUUGGACUAAGGGUGGCUUAGAAGUUAGUAGAAGCUAGUUAAUUGGAUUGUGUCGUUGCGCAGACUUUGAAUUCACUUUCACAACAAUGUAAUAGUCUAGUACCUGAGUGUAGAUGGAAUAAUCACACCAUCAAGGGACCCUCUUCACUAGCUUUGUCCAGAAAGUCUCCCUAACCAAAGAUUUUCCUUGGUUCAAAAUCAAUCAUCCCUGAUUGGUGAGUGUGCAAGAUCAAAGUCCAAAAGUGAACAAUUAUGACAUUGAACGACUUUAUUAUUUAUUUAUUUUUCUUUUCUAAGCGUUUCUUUUAAGUCCACUAUGGACACGUAACUUUGGGGGUGGAGGUGGGACUAGAUUUUACUACUACUAGGUAAGUUCCAUUUAAACACUUAAAACCAUCAAUAUAGACUUUUCAAAUUGUUCAGGACAACCACCUUAUUUUUUCUGCAUAAGUCAUGCUUUCAUGCACUGAAACAAGUCAUUUUAACUUUAUUCGCUCGCCAAACAUUAGGGAUUUCAUGUACUAACCAUACCUCUUAGCACCUUAAUUUCAUUAUUUUAAGGACAAUUAAAGUACAAGGUAGUAAAUGUGACUCUGUCAGGAAAAUCAUUAAACAAAGUCAAGAUAUAAUCUCAAGUACAUCAUUGAGUUAGCAUUGAAUGGUCUCAUAACAACACCUUAUAUGAAAGUUAUCAAUAUAUCUAACAUGAGUCGAAGUCAUAUAUAAAAGCUAUUUAGCAACAAGCUCACCUGCUUAGGAAAUGCACUCAAACCAAAAUUUGAAAUCUUUAUAUUUCCUAGUGAAUCAAGAAAAAUAUUUUCAGGCUACACAAGGAAAAAAGAAAAUUAGAAUAAAUCACCAUAAGGACAAUAGACAACUUUCGGAUCUCACAUAAUGCGAAAUAUCUUCUAGAGUCAACUUCACUAAGACGACCAUGGUAUAUCUGCACAAUCAUAUUAUUCACCACCAAACAUUUCCAAUAUCUCAAAUGGUGAUUAAUAAAAGCCACACUAAAAUCCACAAAAAAGGUUCCAUCUUGAGCUAUGCACAAUUUUAUAAACAAUUCACCACCCGUGAUGAACUCCAAUAUGAUAUAAAUCUUGGUACAAUUUGCAAGAACUUGAAGAAAACAACGUUUCACAACAGGAGCAAGUGCUUGUGAGUGGCAACAACUAACAAGAGAAACAUUAAUAUUUACUUCUCAGAGCAAAUAUUGAGUCGGCAUGGCUCUUCUUUUAAAACCUUUUUUCAUUUAAUCAAGGAAGAUUCUCAAAUAUCAAAAUAUGAUUUCUAGAACUGUCCCUCACUCCAAAAGUCCAAACAAUCAAAAUAAAAAAAUUCUAUGAUUUUGGUUUUUGCAUUGCACAUUGUUCCCCAACCCCAAAAGCACGUCACGAUUCAAAUGCUAUUGACAAGCUUUGCACUUUUCGGGUUUUAAUUUAUUAGUUUAUUAUUAAGUGACUUCUUGGCAAGGAAAUAGAAAAACGAAAAGAGAACAACAACAACAACAAUAACAUCAUUCUUUGAAAAUUAAACAUAUGUUGUUUACAGAGAUGCUCCUGCAAAGGCUUCACAUGAUUAUGGUAAACAUGUGCAUCCCCAAUAACAUGGAUAAAAUCACCUGGAAUGAGAUCUGACAAGAAAAACACAUAGUAUAAAGAUUGAUUAUUUUAUGUUUAAAUUACUUUUAAUGUUGUAUUUUCUCUAGUGAUAUUAUCAAAAUCAAUAAGCUUCUAAACCCUGAAUUUGCCUGCACUGGAACUUCAAUUAAAAACUUAUUGAUAAACUUCUGAAAACAACUCUAUCAAAAAUCUAUAAAAAUAAUUGAAAAGUGCAGAUAGGCUACUAAAAUAAUCAAAUUAGUUAAGCAAUGGAAGACCUUUUCUAUACAGAGAUAAUCUAUAACAAUUUUUUCUAGAAAUUGUUGUGAUUUCUUAAUGUUACCAUGCUGGGUAGAUGGAAGUUGACGAGUCCAUUAAAACCUGAAACAGUGGAAAAAAUGUCUGUGACACCCUCUACCCCAACAUACGUAUUUAUAUAAUAUCAUACAUGAAAAUGCGAAAUUAAUUAAAAUGAGUUUAUUCAACAAACAUAAAGGAGCUCACGUGGGUAAAAGGAUCGCAUUCGCGUUAAUCACCAAAUUUAAAACUUAUCAAAUAAGGGUAUGAAAACAUAUUUGGCCUAAAACAAGGCCAUCCAAUUUUUACAAAAGAAAACAAGCAGCAAAAUAACAUAAAGUAACAUGUUUAGAACACUAUCCAAAUAAUAUGGAAACUCAUGUCCCAAUGCCACAUCCUAUCAAAGCAUUGUGUCUUAGCGUCCUCUAGCACGAGAUCCUUUAAAGUCAUCCAUCUAACUAUCUGCUCCCACGAACACAAGGUUCAACAUCAUCAUAGGACCUAAACACAAACAUCACACAAGGAGUGAGUUGUCACAUUCAUAAGCACACAUAUAUAAUAUAAGUAUAACAAGCUCAACUUAGCAUAAUUUGCAUCAUUUUAUCACUUAUUGCGUAACAUCACUUGUACCAAGGAUUUAAUCACAAAAUCACAUUCCACACCUUCACAUUAAUCAUGUGUUCAGAACAACACAUCUCAAGUACAACACAACAUCUCACACUCACAUAACUCAUUACCCACCAUCACGUAACAAGUCACAAUAGUCAUUACAAAGACAUUAUGCAAUAGAUACACUAAGACUCAAUCAUAUAUGCAAUGUGGUACCAUGUCAGUGAAAAACCUCGUUGAGAGCCUAGGUGUACAUGACAAGACAGACCAUACACUGGUAAGUCAGGUCACCUUCACUACGUAAAAUCAUAGGGAGACCAGUCAAGGUCAUGUUGCUUUGCGAGAAUGUUUCAACCAUGUGAGAUUGGCAAAGGCUUAAAGGAGCACUCAAACUGGGUGUACUUACCCCCAAGGCCUAGACUCCAAAGAGUAUGUCAGGGCCUCUCCCUCCUGAUUUAGGUCCAACCUAGAAAAUAUUUUAGAGCGCAUACUCUAUCUAUGAACUGUACAAAACACAUGACUCCUCAAUUGUUCUCAAAAUAAUUUUAACUCGUUGUGUCUCAAAGUGAUUAAACUCGUCAGGUUCCCACAGUGGAUCCCAUCAUAAUACUCGUCGCGCAUUAACUCGUCACCUUCAAAAGGUCUUACAAUCGUGUGAUUGUACGAUUCAUAGCUCACAACUCAAUGCAUACAACAUCUCUAUACACAUGUAUCUUACAAUUCAACAUGUACUCAAUUUAUCACAUACACCCAAUCUCAAUCACAAUGUUAUAAUCCCAAAGCAACAUGUUAUCACACCUCAUGAAUCAUAUUGACAUCACACAAUAUUAAUAUAUGCGUGGCACAAACACAUACUUUACCUAUAAACUGUGCAAUACACACAACUAAUCAAUUAUUUUUAAGAUCAUUUAACUCUCNNNNNNNNNNNNNNNNNNNNNNNNNNNNNNNNNNNNNNNNNNNNNNNNNNNNNNNNNNNNNNNNNNNNNNNNNNNNNNNNNNNNNNNNNNNNNNNNNNNNCAACCAAUUUGCAUAGCACAUCAUCUAGUCAAACAUAACAAUCUUGUGAUUAUAAUCAUAAAGGCAGAAUUAUAAUCAUAAACAUCCCAAAAUAAACCCCAAUUUGAUCCUCUAAAGAUUCUUACACAUGUUCAUUCUACAUUCAAUUGUGAUAAACCCAUCCAUUACCUUUACGUGGGCUCACAUGUGAAGUCUGACAAUGAUAAAAACAUCUCUAGCAGUUCCCUAAGAUUCCUCACGUUUUUCCUCUGGUUGCUUUACUAGGAUUUCCAAGCUUUAGAGAGAAGCAAAAGGGAUUGGAGCCUCAAUUUCACUGUCUCUAUGUGUGAGGGGAAUUUUGCUCUCUACAAAGAUUAUUUCCCAAAUCCCAAAGCUGGGAAUGUGCAGAGAUGGGCUCCGAAGGUGGUGUCCUAGCUUCACGACGAUCCAACGGUUACUAAGUCCAUGAUUGUAGUUUUAAUGGAUCAAGUUUGGAUGUAUGCAGGAAAAGAUAAGGUUUUGGGAGAGGAAGAAAGAAAAACGAAUUUAAGACGGAAAGGAGAAUAGAAAUGUAAAAACUGACCUAAUAAAUCUCUGUUUACAGCUAGGAUACUCUCAGCCUAUUAUUUAUUUUAUUUUUAUUUAUUUUAUUAUUUUAUAAAAAAGGAACUCUAUUUUACUAUUUUAUUAAAUAAAUAAUCAAUUAAAACAUCUCUUUAUUUUCUAAAAUAUCAUUUUACUCUAUUUAUUUUCUAAUACUAUGAAACCCUUAUUUUAAUUAAUAAAAAACUCUUUUCUCUCAUUUAUUUAAUUUCUAAAAAAUCUAUUAAUUUUUAAAUAUAACUUUUUUUUAUUUAUUUUACAAAAAAGCAGGAUGUUACAAUGCCAUUGGGAGUGCUACUCUCCAUAUCUUGACUAUCUUCGUCCGCAAACAAACUUAACAUCCUUCAAGAAUUUCACUGCCAAUUAGUCGAGUUUGCAAAGCUAGUAUAAGACAAAUUGCAAUCAAUAGGCAAGAAUGUUCAACUCUACUCCUAAGUUAACAUGUGUUGUGAAGGUACUCAGAAUAAAACUAUAAACAAGCACAUAAGCUACUAAUUCAAGAAAUGAACAUGUGAAGAGUGGUGAAAGCAAUAACGAAUAAAUGAGAAUCGGAUCAGGUUAGGAAACCCUAAAUUGAAACCAACCUUUCUGUUGAACAAAUUGAAACCCUAAAUCCCAAACCAUUUUAUGUUACUUGCACGAGCAUAGCGCCGAAUCAUGAUAGCAAAGGUUCCAACGAAAACCAACCUUUCUUUUUCUUCUUCUACUUCCCUAUCUCUCUCGGUGUGAUGGAGAACAAGUUUCCAUGCGGCAUCGAACUCCCUUGCCUUCACGAGCGCGUUGGUUACAACAUCAAAGAGCUUGUGGUUGGGCCUGAAGAUGGGUCGUGUUUGGGCCAAAAGGAAGAGCAAGUGCAGCAGCUUGAACAACGAGCUGAAGCGAUCGUACACGGUGAGCAGGAGGGCUAGGUCCAGCUCGAUCCUAGUCUGAUCAAGCUCGGCGUGGAGGGUAGGGCUGGGCGACAAGGAAGGGCCAACAAAGAGGUUGGAGAUGACAAAGAGAGCAUUUGGGUUGGGAAAGGGAGGGACAAGUAUGGAGUUUUGAUUGAGGGUGAGGGAGAGGAGGUGAGGGUCGAGGGGGAGGAGAAGGCUUUUGAACGAGAACAAGUCAGAGAGUGAGUGAGUAAGCGAGAUCGAGUGAAUGAAAGGGGGCUUUUGAACUUUUUCUAGUAGUGCCAACAUCAAUUAUUAAAAAACUGAUGUUAACGUGACGAUGUUAACAUCAGUUUUUGGAAACCGAUGUUAACAAAAAUAAAAUGACAUCGGUUUUUUCAAAAACCGAUGUUAACAAAAUCAAUUUAUUUACAAAAAUAUCACUGCCAUUUUGUUAAAAUCGGUUUUUGAUAAAAUCGAUGUUAAAGUAGCGAUGUUGAAAGCAUUCUUUCUAGUAGUGAGUACUAGAUUGCUCUUUUUUUAUAAAAAAAAAUAUACUAGCUUACAUUAACAUAUUUCAUUAAUUAGACUUUUGAUUAUUUAAUGUGAUUAAUGUGUGUUUAUUAUAUGUUAUAGUUGUUUAGUCUUUAAACAUCAUUGAAACUACAAAGAAUUGAAACUCGUGUGGCCAAUAUGCUAUAAUGCCAUCACCAUUGGAUGGGUACUGUAGAAAUCAUAGCCUUAUAUAUAGCAAGUUUGAGCAGAAGCUUGGCAAUCUAGCUGCUGAAGCACAAGUAAGUAAUUCAGAGCUAAGAAGGAAAUGGCUUCCUUAAUGAUCUCCCCAGCAGUUACCACCGUUAACCAUGUUGGUGUUGGCAUGGUUAUUCCAUUCACAAGCCUUAAAUCCAUGGCUGGCUUCCCCCACCAGGAAAACCAACAAUGACAUUACCUCCAUUGCUAUCAACAAUGGAAGAGUGAAAUGCAUGCAUGUAAGACAUCUCCACACUUAUAUACACACGAGGCACCAAAAUGAUUAUAAUUAAUUCAUGCUACAUGUUAGUUAAAUGAACAUGUUAACUAUAGGUUCCUUAAACUAACAUAUUAGUCAUAAGAAAUUAUGCAUAAUUGCAAGUUUAUUAACCCUUUUACUCAAUUUUCAUACAAAUUACUAGGUGUGGCAACCAAUUGGCAAGAAGUUUGAGACUCUUUCCUACCUGCCUAACCUUGAUGAUGCACAAUUGGCAAAGGAAGUAGAGUACCUUCUUAGGAACGGAUGGAUUCCUUGCUUGGAAUUCGAGUUGGAGGUCAAUUUAUUACAGUCACUUUUGGUUCAAUUAUAGUUUUCCUUAGUUUUGUUUUUUGUUUCAACUUAUUUUGAAGAAAUAAUUGUUUUUCAUGCCAGUGUGCUAAAAGUACUUAAAAAAAAAUUAACUUUAUCUAUAUUGUGUUUGGUUUCACAUUACAGAUGUGAUUUUCAAAAGCUAAUAGUUAUAGCUUUCACAUCCCAAAUAUGAUUCUUCCAUCCUCAACGAGUUUAUGUUACUAUUUGAUUUUUCAGUAGUUCUAGAAUUCUAUUAGAGAGAUAUCAAUAUUUAUCAAACAUUGUUAUUCCAAAACAAGCACUUGGUUUUGAGUUUUGAUGGUUGAUCUGUCCGUUUGCAGCACGGUUUCGUGUACCGUGAGCACAACAGAUCACCAAGAUACUAUGAUGGACGCUACUAGACCAUGUGGAAGCUGCCUAUGUUUGGUUGCACUAAUGCUUCUCAGGUGUUGAAGGAGCUUUAAGAGGCCAAGACUACAUACCCCAACGCCUUCAUCCGUAUCAUCGGAUUCGACAACGUUCGCCAAGUGUAGUGCAUCAACUUCAUCGACUACAAGCCCC